CAGUCUACAAGUAUAAGUCACCACCACCUCCUUCCCCAAUUUACAAGUCACCAUCACCACCUUCUCCAGUAUACAAAUUACCUCCACCACCUCCUCCAGUUUACAAAUCUCCACCACCAUCAAUUUAUAAAUACAAGUCUCCUCCACUACCUCCUCCAGUGUACAAGUCAUCACCACCACCUGCUUACAAGUCUCCACCUCUUCCAGUUUACAGUUCCCCACCACCACCAAUCUACAAGUCUCCACCUCCACCCUACCAUUACUACUACAAUUCUCCUCCUCCUCCUCCUCGUCACUACUAAGCAAUUGUAUGCAAGUUUUUGAGGUAAUAACGCUUAACCAAUAAACUAACUUUCGCAUGAUAAAACUUAUCUCUAUCAAGACAAACUGCCAUGUGUAUCAUGCCAAAUACGUACACCUAGAUCCAUGAAAAUGAAUGGUAGAAAAUUUUCUUAAGAACUAAGGAACAGCAUUAGUAUUCCCUCUGCUUCCAAAAACUUGUGUAUUAAAUAGAUUAAUGAAUUGUUUAACAUGCUCAUUUACUUGAAAAUACACAAUACCCAUAACCUACUGAAUUUUUUGCAGGAAAAGGGAAAGACAAUCUGUGUUUGAGAGCUUCAUGAAGAUGUUGAAGAAUAAGAAUAAAAGCCCAAUGCGAGGAUGUUUCAAGUUUUUCUAUGUUUCCACUUUAAUUUGUAAAUUGAAUUUUGUGACUCAAUUAAUUCCCUGUUUGUGGGGUACGUGUUGUUUUACGUACCAUGCCGUACAGGUUUGUAAGGAUUUCUAUCCUAUUGGCAAAAGUCGGUUCCAUACAAUUAAUCAAUUCAUUUCACUUCUAUUGGCUCUACUAUUUAUGCAUGUUACGACAUUUUUUCUCUCUUUCCCUUAUAUUUUGCCUUUAAUAUUAUUGAAUCAAUAUUAAUAAUGGGCCUUUUUCUUAAAAUUAUACUAUUAUACAUAGGUUGUUUGGUCUAACGCUAAAUUCAUGUUUGUCUUUCUUUUAUUCCCUUUACAUCUCAAAGUAUACUAUAGUUUGUAAUCAUUGUGGUGAUGAUAUUGCCAGCUGGUACUUAUAGUUUAAGGCAGAGACAUGAUAUUAACAACUAUCUCAUUGAAACAUAAAGAAAAAUCAUGACAAGUGUGAGUCUUGGUUAAUGCACAAUUUGUUAGUGGAAUUUAUAUUUAUAAAACUCAAAAAAAAAUUUUGACAAUGCUAUUACUAAUUAAUUAAGGACUUUAUUGCUAUAAUUUAUCGCUUACUAGUUUAAACUAUAAAUGAUCUCAAUACUUUUCUCCAUGAUGUCGAUUUCUUUAGAUUACGAAAGGGAAAAAUUAGUGACAUAUCCCUUACUGAUUACAACAUCAGCAAAAAUUAGUUAUAAAUUUUUCCGGUGGUUUUAAAUCCCUCGGGCACUAAGAUUUUUUGCACAUCGAGUGAAUUGAGGAACAUAGGCAAUUCGUUCUGCAUACCAAGUCCUUGUUUAAGAUGCAAGUACUAAAAUGCAUCCACUUCAUUAAUUUGGGAAAUUGCCAUAGUUUUUUUUAAGCAUUUUGAUUUUUUACAUGAUUCAAAAUUUUCUUAUUGGAUACAAUCACUUUGUAUCAAGAACAUUUUCAAUCAUCCUUUUUAUCUUCUCAAUAAGAAAAUAAAAAUUUAUUCAUGCUUUUCUAACAUAUCCAAUCAUUGAUCUGAAAAAUAAAGAAUUUAAAAAAAAAGACAUUUUCAAUCAUUGCUUACAGGGCAACUUCCCCAUGUGAACCUCUUCAAACAAAGCCAAUAAUAUGAAGGAACAUCUAAAUACACUUUUGCCCUAAAGGCUGGUUGCCUUGGGGUCAAAAUUUAACCUUCGGGAGUAUAAUUACCCUGCCAAAUUUAUUAUUUUUUAUGGGUAUAUAGUUCCAAUUUUUCCUCCUGUUAAGCUUAUAAAUAUAUUAUCACCCAGAAAAUAAAGGAAUCUUGAAUACUAACAUGUCCAUUUACUUGAGUUGUCAUCAAUUUGGCUACUUCGAUUCCAUGAGGGCAAUCCAAUUCACACUUGCUAGAGAAAAUGGUGAUAAAGGCACAAAGAAAAUUAUAUGUAAUAUUGAUUGGUAGUAACCACCUUGUAUUGAUCCCACUAUUGUGGAUACUCGUGCUCUUAUGAAAAAAAAUUAUAAAAAAUUAGCAAAAUUUAAAAGAACAAAGUAAAUUUAUUCGUACAAAUCAGUCAAAGAAGUAGCAUUUUAAAGACCAUGAUGAAAUUAAUACUUUCAAGGUCUCUAUUAGGAAGACUUCCUUUGUUGGUGAAACUACACUAGGUACGGUUACAUGCAGAUGUUUACUGUUUUGGUACCUAAUUUCCUUGCCUUGAGUUGGGUGCAGAUGUUUAUAUUACAAAUAGAUGGUAUCAUAAAUUUGUUGUAUUAACGUCUGUUCUUUUUUUUCUUCCUUAAGUUUUUUUCUUUAUUCUCGUGACUUCAAAAAUACGAACUCAAGAAAUUAACUGCUUCGACAUUAAGGUAUAACUUCACAACUAGAGCCAAUAGAAAUCGUCAAAUGAUUUUUUGACAUCCAAAUUAAGCAAUAAAUUUUGUUUUCAUUUCACGGGAGAUUUUAUAGUUUCUUUUGGGUAUCAUACCUACAAGUGAUAAUUGUCAUUGGAUAGUGAAAGAAGUGUUAAUGAUUGUAAGAUUAAAUAUUGAAAAUUUAAACUAUUUAUCUUUAUUGAGAGAUACAACUUAAAGAAUCGUAUCCAAAAGAGACUAUAGAAUUUUCUCUGUUUUUCAUCAUCUGUAGACAUAAACUUUCUACGGUUGAUGUACUAUAAGGAAAUUUUGCCUAUACAAUGUGAUACCAUUUUUUCAAAAAGACAAGAUGGCAAAUUGCCCCCUUGAACGGAAAAAAUCAUGAUCUUUCCUCAAACUAGUCUACUUGUCAAUUCUUUGAAAAAGAAUACACUGCCCCGCAGAAUUCUAGAAAGUUAGGCAAAACUAGACAAGUUGACAGCUAUAAUCAUACCCAAGAUCAGGAACAAGCAGUUACACAUUUCAAAAUUCGCUGCUGCAACAACUAAUUUGAUGACUUACAACACUAAAUGGUCAAACUUUGAAUGGCAAUGAAUCUUUUGUUGUACAUCAUGAUGUAAUUUUCAUGUUACAUAAUAGAUUGAUAUCUAUGUUCUUUAAAUUAUCAUAAUAAUUAAAUUUAACUGAUAAAAAGAACACAUAUCAAUACACAAAAGUGUGUAACGUGAAUGUUAUAUUAGUGUAUUGCAGAAGACCUAUAGUCUCUUCACAUCUCUUCCUGCAUCUUUUAUGUUUUAUUACCUCCAAAAGCCUUUACAGGGUCUUUACCCUAAAAAUCAAUUCACCGACUCGCAUUUGAUGUCAGAAAUUCUUAAGACGAAUUCUACUUUACUCAAAGAUUGACUGUUAAUAAUGAGACAACGACCAUUUUGUAUUAUUACACCGUCCUUCUUGAUAGGCAAAAGAAAUAGAGAGGAAAGCGGGUCCGUAUAUGGUCUUUUAUUCAUAGAUAAUACAACAUUACGCCAUCGAGCAUUCACACAAUAUUUCAAAGUCAUUGCAUGCCUAAAGCCCCGCUUGAUAAUCCAAUUUCAUACUUAAAUUUAAUGGAUUCAAAUUUUAACACAUUCAAAUUGUUUGAUAACAAAAAAUUGAACGUCUAAAUUAAUUAAGUAACACUAAAUUUUUUAGACAAAACUUGCUCCCAAAAUUAAGUGAUAAGCUAUAUCACUUAUCACUGAAUGUGAUAUGCAUUCAAAUGUAUUAUAUUUAAUACUUAAUAAUUUAAUAAUUUAAUGGAUUCAAAAUUCAGAUUUUAGAUUUCAGUUUUAUCAAACAUACCCUAAGUUGCAAAAUAAUACCAAAACUUGUUAUUAUAUAGCUUGAGAUUCAAAAAUUUAGAGCAUAAUUCUCAACCUAACACAAUUGAAUAAUGAAUAUUCACGAUUGUCAAAUCUAUCAAAGUACAAUUUGAGGACAACCCAUUCCAACGCGUACACAAUUUCUCACUUUUCUAAAGUUGUUGAGAGCUGUUAAAAGAGAUUUACCAUGUUUACAUCUUCCAAGUCUUGGGAGUAAAAAAUGAAGCCACCGAGUGCUAUAAAAAGGGGGCUAGAGGCUGCCUAGAAGCAUAUCAGCCUAAAACAAGAAUUUGUAGUAACAAUGGGGAGCAAAGCAAAAGCAACGGGGUCUAGGCUGACUCCUCUUCUUACCACUGUUUUAGUGGUAUUUGUCGCCCUUGGCUUGCCCUUGGAAACUGCAGCUGAUUAUUACAAGUAUUCAUCUCCUCCUCCUCCUCCUUACCACUAUUCUUCACCACCACCUCCAGUGUAUUCACCUCCACCAACCCCUGCUUAUAAGUUACCCCCACCAUCUCCUCCAGUUUACAAGUCCUCACCACCACCUUACCACUACUCACCACCUCCGGUGUAUUUACCUCCACCAUCUCCAGUUUACAAGUCACCACCACUACCCCCUCCGGUAUACAACUCCCCGCCUCCACCAGUGUACAAAUACAAGUCCCCACCACCACCUCCUCCAGUUUACAAAUCUCCACCGCCACCAGUUUACAAAUACAAGUCACUCCCACCACCUCCUCCGGUAUACAAGUCUCCUCCGCCACCUGUUUACGAGUACAAGUCUCCUCCACCACCUCCUCCAGUGUACAAGUCCCCACCACCUCCAGUUUACAAGUACAACUCACCUCCACCUCCUCCCCCAGUUUACCUGUCUCCACCUCCACCCUAUCAUCACUACUACGGUUCUCCUUCUCCUCACCACUACUAAGCAAGUGCAUAAGUUUUGAGGUAAUAAUACCUAUCCAAAACUUUAUCAACACAAACUGCCAUGUAUAUCAUGCUAAGGACGUACACUUGAUCCAUGAAAAUGACUAGUAGAAGAUUUUUUUUAAGAACCAAAGAAAUACAUUAUUUUUUCGGUCUGUUUUCAAGAAUUUGAGCAGUAUACAGAUUAAAGAGUGUUUUUUUUUUUGUAAACUUGCUUGUCAACUUAAAAAUGCACAUAGCUGAAAGCCAACUGAAUAUUUGCAGGCAAAGGAGAAGGCAAUCGGUGUUUGAGACCUUCAAGAAGAUGUAGAAGAAUAAGAAUAAAAGCCCAAUGCGAGGAUGAUUCCAAGUUUCUACGUUACCAUUUCUACAUCUAAAUUGACUUUAGCUCCUGAGUUCCAUGUUUAUGGGGUUUGUACCGUUUUACGUACCAUGCAGUACAUGCUUGCAAGGUUUUCUGUCCUGUUGGCAAACUGCAGGUCCAUAUAAUAAAUGAAUACUAUUUACAUUACGACACUUUUCUCUUUUUCUCUUAUAUUUUGUCUUUAAUAUUGUUGAUCAUUUUUUUUUUAUCAAAAGCAUCAAAUGCUUAGGUAAUUUGGUCUAAUGCUAAUUGUUUUACUUUUAUUUUUCACCUACACCCCUUUUCAACUCAAAGGAUGCUAUAGUUUGUGAUAAUUGUUUAAGACCGAAGCAUGAUACUAAUAAAUAUCUCAUUGAAAGUCAAGGAAACUAACAUUAGGAAAAGUUUAAAUCUUGAUUUGAUGAAACUAUUUAUUCGUGGAAUUUAGAGAUACAAAACUCAAAUUGUGACGGUGUUGUUGCUAAAUUAUUAAGGACAUUAUCACCAUUAUUUUUCCCUGAUCACUAGUUUCAACUGCAAUGAUCUCAAUCUUUUUGUGACUAAUUCUUUCCUUAAUAAUUUAUAAAGACAAAACUCACAAAGAAUAUGUGACUAAUUCUUUCCUUUCGUCUUCUAAAGAAAAUGCCAACUGUUAGUUUAUCAAGGGGAAAAAGGAUCGACAUCAGUUAUUAUUGAAACUAGUAAGGAAUAAAUAAUGGUGAUAAUGUCCUUAAUAAUUUAACAACAGCACCAUCAGAAUUUGACUUUGAGCUUCGGUCUUAAACAAUGAUCACAAACUACAGCAUCCUUUGAGUUGAAAAAGGAAGUAGGUGAAAAGAAAAGUAAAAAAUACAAUUAGCAUUCCCUCAAAUUGUAGAAAGUUAGGUAGCAUUAUAGACAAGUUGAUAGCGGCAAUUUUACAUUUCAAACUUCACCUAUUCAAUAACUAAUUCGAUGGCUUGCUACAUGGUCAAUCUUUGGACCCCUUCCUGCCUCCAGAUAUCCCUUUCCUCAAUCAGGGGCUUCUACAAUUACCAGUUUCAAUUGUAUGGUAUAGUGUAAAUAUCAACAAAUUAGAUGUAGAUGCUAACAUAAUAAAUGUGAAUGCUAAGACAGCAACAUACAAUCGAACCUGCAAUUGUAUGAACCCCAAUCUCGCUUCCUAGUCCACCAUCUUUCUCUAGGUAAUAAUCUCCCUUCUAAUUUAUUCACAAAAUGCACCUUUCAUCACCUCCAAUAGCGUCGACAUGAUCUUUACCCUAGAAGACUAUUCACCGACUCUCAAUUGACGUCAGAAAAUCUAAGAGUAAUUCUACUUUACCCUAAGAUUGAUAUCAACAAGACAAGGACAAUUUAGAAUUAUUACACGCCUCUUCUUAAUAGGAAAAAGAAAUAGAGAAGAAAGUCAGGCCAGGUCUAAUUUCUUUUCAAAGGCAAUACAACAUUACGAAAUCAAGCAUUCAUUCAUACAAAUAUUUCAUAGUCACCGGUUUGCUGAGUAGAAAAAUUUAGACAAAAACUUAAUAUUAUAUUGUUUAAGAGUUAACAAUUUAGAGCUUAAUCUCCUUGUACUUUGGAGUUAACAAUUUAGAGCUUAAUCUCCUUGUACUUUGGACUAAACUUGAACGUGAAAGGAAAUCCCAAAACCAUAUUGGGCAUGAAUUCACACUUAAUAUACCCAAUAAAAGAUGGCGACUGGUGAAAGGCAGUGGAGACUGGUGGAGAGAUUUGAGGAAUAGAAGCAGACGGAAAAGCAACAAAUUUUUGCCGAAAAACGGUCACUUUCAUGGUUAAUUUUGCUACUCUCCAAUUGUACUUGACCAAUUACAACAAUUUCAUGGAGUUUGAUACGUGAAAAGAAUUUUUUAUAAAUUUUAUUUUGAUCCAUAAUGUUAUCUUUACAUAUAUAAAACAUUUUACAAUUUUGAUUUUGGCGCAGCUAACUUUUGGUUAACAAAAAUGCUCAUGUUUAAAAAACCAGAAAUAAAACAAAACAAGAAACAAAAGAAAUAAGAGGGUAGCAUAGACAUUUUGGAUUUUUCCGUUAAUUUGGAUGAUUUCCACCCACGUUCUAAUUUAAUCCAAAACACAAAGGAAUUACGUAGAGGUUUUAAAUAAUCAGGGAGCUUCAUGAUCGAACCCCAAACCACGUGAUAGCAUACAAGAGUUCUAUUUCACUAUCGGUAGACAAAGACUUUCUAUGGUUGAUGUACCGUAGGAAAAAAUCUGCCUAUACAACGUGAUAGCAUUUUUUCAAAAACACAAGAUGGAAAAUUGCCCCCUUAAACGUGGAAAUUCAUGAUCUUUCCUCGAACAAAGAAUACUCACGCCUAUUCAAGAUGGAAAAUUGCCCCCUUAAACGUCUAUUUGUCAAUUCUUGAAAAAAGAAUACUCACGCCUAAAACACGGCCUCUUCAUCUGCAGAAUUCUAAAAAGUUACGUAAACUCUAUAAACAAGUUGAUAGGUACAAUCGUACCCAAGAUCAAGUACAGAUAGUUGUACAUUCACUGCUGCAAUAACUAAUCUGAUGACUUACAAACAUAUCAUGGUCAAUCGUUGAAUGGUAAUGAGUCUUUUGUUAUGCAUUAGUAUUAGUGUGUACACUCUAAUAGAUUGAUACUUAUACUCUUUAAAUUAUCAUAAUAAUACCCUUAAUUAACUUUAACUCUUAAAAAGAAUACGUGUUAAUACACGAGAGUGUGUAACCUGAAUUGUUACUUAUACAUUAGUGUGUAAUAGAUAGGGAUGGCAGUGAGGGCGAGUGCCCGCGGGGGGCUCUCGGGGCGGGGGCGGGGGAGAAUUUUUUCCCCCCGUUUAGAAACGGGGCAGGGGACGGGGGAGUAUACCCCCGCCCCAUCCCCCGCCCCGCCACCCGCAAAAAAAAUUAUAUAUAUAUAAUUAUAUAUAAUAUGUAAUUUAAUUAGUUAUAAACUUAUGAUAAUGAUAUUAUUAGUUAGAUGUAUUAUAUAAUGUAUAUUAGUGUAUGUAAUAUAAUUAAUAUUAUCAAUUAUACGAAUAAUUAGACAUGUCCACUAAUAGAGUUUAUUAAUUAGUUAUACUAAAUUUACUAAUACAUUUGUACUAAAUUUCUAAUUACACUUAAUAGAAUAACACUUUUUUCUAAAAAAAAAAGCACAAACACAAUAAUGAAUUAGUGAUUGUAUUUGUACCAAAAGUGAAAACUUAACUAUUUUAGUUGUAUUUAUUUCAUCAUGUUGGAUUGUAUUCAAAUAAUUUUUGUUUGAUUGUUUUUAUGAGUUUCAAUUGUAAAAUUAAAAUGAAUAAUAACUUGAUGAUGUGUUGAUAUUUUAGUACUUGAUUAUUUAUUGAUUUAACUAUAAUAAAAUUUUAUUUUAUUAAAAUUUAACUAUAAUAAAAUUUUAUUAACCAAACGAGUUAUUAAUCCCGCGGGGGCACCCACGGGGGAAGCGGGGCGGGGCGGGGGAGUGGGAGGCGGGGGACGGGGCGGGGGUGGGGGGAGUUGUAGGUAGCGGGGCGGGGGAUGGGGGAGGGGUCCCCCGCCCCAACCCCGCCAUCCCCCGCCCCGUUGCCAUCCCUAGUAAUAGACUGGCAAGCAUUGUGGUGGUCAUUGAGAACUUACUGGAGAAAUAGUCCUAUAAGCUGUUCAAUGAGCAAUCACAACUUGCUAAUUGGAUGACUAAUAUAGCUCUAGCUGUAAUGUUUUAAUUAAAUUACAUCACUAACGUUGGGAUGACUUUUUAACCAAAAAAAAAUGCCUUAGUUCAAGCUUUUCCCUUUAUUGUGCAUUUUUUAAAGCAUUUGAUAGGCACUGCAAAUCUGUCAUUUUGGACAUUUUAUUAUUGACUAACAAUGAAAGCCGUGACGUCUACCCAUAACCAACACAAGAUUAAAUUAAUAUUAGAAAAAAUAAUUGAGUAAUUGGAAAAAAAAAAAGAGACUCAUUUUCAUUGAAACCCACCGACAAACUAAACGUGUCCAUGGCUUUUGAAUAGUGCAUUCAACGUUUAAUUGUAUAGUCCAGUUCAUUGCAGAUUACAUGGAGUAAAGAUUGUGCUCUUUCCUUUUUCACCCCUUUUGGAAUCGAUACUGUGGAGAAUUGGGUUUUUCCCUUCUUUUUUUCUUUUCUUUCCUUCUGUGCUUUGCAAAACAUAGGUAAAAAUAUGAAAUCCGAAGCAUUCUUUAAUUGGGAUUAAGUAUUGUUGUUGAAAUUAAAAAGAAAAAAGAAAGAACAACAAAAUUCCCAAUCUGGGUUGAUUGUUGAGCUCUAGAUUGGUUGCAUCGUGCUUCCAUAGAAGCUCUCUUAGUGUGAUACACUGCUUUCAAUCAGUUUAACACGGGAAAAAAAAAAAAAGAGAUGAAAAGCAAAUUUGGUGGGGAUAAUUUCAGAAACCUCCCCUGAAGAUUUUGACUAUUCUACUGGUCUCCCUUCAGAUUUUAAAAAUUACACUAAUCUUCCUUGAAGUUAAUUAUCUUGUAACAUUUAAAUUCAAUCAAUAAUUUAAAAAAUGAUAUUAUGAGAGAGAAAAUAAUGAUUUUAUCAUUGCCCCCCAUCUUACUACAUUAUUUAAUUAAUUUAAUAGCAACCCACACAUUAAAGAAAAAUAUUAAAAUUUGUUGUUUAUCAUUAAAGAUCAAAUCGCUUAUAACAUCAAAUAAUAGUAUAUUAUUUAUAUUUUUCACUCAAUAUAAUAUCCAAAUUACUCUUUUCAAUUACAUACCCAUUGUUAGACAAUCAACAACAAAUAACCAAAAAAUUUGCAACCAAAAUAUUACAAAAAAAUAAACUUUAACAUAUAAAUAUUCUUAUCAACAUAUUAAAGUUAGUUACUGAAAUUUUUAUGCUGUUAAACUUCACUCUUUUUGGUUACAGAUUUUUUUGAUUAUUUGUUAUUAAUUAUGUUUGAUGAUGGAUUUAUAAUUGAAAAGAACAAUUUGAAACUUACAUUAAGUAAAAUAUAUAGAGUGAUAUACUAUUUUUUAUAACAUAUGUGAUUCAAUCCUUCUUGAUAGGAUUGGUAAUAGAGGUAGAGGGGGGAGCCGGCUGCAUCCGGUCUACUUUUCAUAGAUAGUACAAUAUUGCGAAAUCGAUCGCAUUCACGCAAUAUUAUUUCCAAGUCAUUGCAUGGCUAAGCUGCAAAAAAAGUACGAACACAUGUUAUUAUAUAGCUUACGAUUCAAAACUUUAGAGCAUAACCCUCCACCUAACACAAUUGAAUAAUGAACAUUCACGUUUGUCAAAUCUGUCAAAGCACAGUUUGAGGACAACCCAUUCCAACCUGCAAAAGAUUUUUUACUUUUCUAAAGUUGUUGAGAGCUGUAAAAAGACUUACCAUGCUUGCAUCCUCCGAGCCUUGGGAGUUAAAAAUGAAGGCACUGAGUGCUAUAAAAAGGGGAAUAGAGGCUGCCUAGAAGCAUAUCAGCCUAAAACAAGAAUUUGUAGUUAAGAUGGGAAGCAAAGCAAAAGCAAUGGGGUCUGGGCUGACUCCUCUUCUUGCCACUGUUUUAGUGGUGUUUGUUGCUCUUGGCUUGCCCUCACAAACUGCAGCUGAUGAUCACUACAAGUAUUCAUCUCCUCCUCCUCCUUACCACUAUCCCUCACCACCACCACCAGUGCAUAUACCUCCACCUCAUCCUGUUUACAAGUACAAAUCUCCACCACACCCCCAGUACAAGUAUAAGUCACCACCACCACCUCCUCAUCCGGUAUACAGUCUCCUCCGCCACCACACACCCAGUUUACAAGUACAAGUCACCACCACCACCUCCUCAUCCGGUACCACACCCAGUUUACAAGUAUAAGUCUCCUCCGCCACCAGUUUACAAAUACAAGUCUCCUCCACCACCACCUCCAGUGUACAAAUACAAGUCUCCACCACCACCAGUUUACCACUACAAGUCUCCACCACAGUUUACAAAUACAAGUCUCCACCACCACCCCCAGUUUACAAAUACAAGUCUCCACCACCACCAGUUUACCACUACAAGUCACCACCACCUCCUCCCCCAGUUUACAAAUACAAGUCUCCACCACCUCCUCACCACUACUAAGCAAUUGCUUCUGAGGUAAUAACACUUGUUCAAUAUACCCACUUCUGCAUGAUAAAGCAUAUCUCUAUCAACACAAACUGUCAUGUCUAUCAUGCUAAGUGCCUUCACUUCAUCCACCAAAAUGACUGCUAGAAAAUUUUUUUUAUGUUACCAAAGAAAGGCAUCAUUUUUUCCCUCUGUUAUCAAGAACUUGUACAGUAUAUAGAUUAAAGAGUAUUUUUUUAACUAGCUUAUCAACUGAGAAAUGCAUAUAGCUGAUAGCCAGCUGAAUAUUUGCAGGCAAAGGAGAAGGAAACCAGUGUUUGAGACCUUCUUGAAGAUGUAGAAGCAUAAGAAUUAAAGCCCAAUGUGAAGAUGAUGAUUUCAAGUUUUUCUACGUUACCAUUUCUUUAUCUAAAUUGGUUGUAGCGCCUUAGUUCCUUUGUUUAUGGGAUUUGUAUCGUUUUACGUACCAUGCAGUACAUGUCAUGUUUGUAAGGUUUUCUAUCCUGCCGGCAAACCGCAGGUUCCAUGUAAUAAAUCAAUACUAUUUAUAUUACGACACUUUUCUCUGUUUCUCUUAUAUUUUGUCGUCUUUAAUAUUCUUAAUCAUAUUUUUAACAAAAAUAUUCAAACACUUAGGCAAUCUGGUCUAAUGCUAAUUGUAUGUUUUACUUUUCUUUUUCACCUGCUCCCCUUUUCAACUCAAAAGGAUGCAAUAGUUUGUGAUCACUGUUUAAGACGGAAGCAUGAUACUAAUGAAUAUCUCAUUGAAACUCAAGGAAACUAACAUUGCGAAAAGUGUAAAUCUUGAUUUGAUGCAACUAUUUAUUCGUGGAAUCUAUAGUUACAAAACUCAAAUUCUGACUGCGCCAUUGAUAAAUUAUUAAUGACGCUAUCAUCAUUAUUUAUCCCUAACUAGUUUCGACUACAACUGAACCCAAUAUUUUCCCCAUGAUAAAAGUUUUUGACUAUUUUACUGGCCUCUCUUCAAAUUUUAAAAAUUACACUAAUCUUCAUUGAGAUUAAUUAUCUUGUAACAUUUAAGUCCAAUUAAUAAUUAAAAAAUGAUAUUAUGAGAGAGAAAAUAAUAUAAUUUUAUCAUUGCCCCCCAUCUUGCUAUAUUAUUUAAUUAAUUUAAUAGCAACCCACACAUUAAAGAAAAAUACUAAAAUUUGCUGCUUUUCAUUAAAGAUCAAAUUGCAUAUGCCAUAAAACAUAGUAUAUCAUUCUAUAUGUUUCACUUAAUGUAAGAUCCCAAUUGUUCUUUUCAAUUACAAACCCAUUGUCAAUAACAAAUAACCAAAAAAUUUGCAACCAAAAUAUUACAAAAAAAAACUUCAACAUCAUAAAUAUUCUUACCACCUCUAGUGCAUUCACCCUCAUAAAAUAAUUCAAGACCCUACUGUCAUAAAAUGACUGAUCAACUCCCGUAAACCUAAUUUGACAACAUUUAAAUGGAGAACUUUAGCUAAAAGAAUUAUGGUCAAGCUAAAGAAAAAACCAGUUAUUUUCCAACAUAUGCAAUCAUUGAUCAGGGAAAAAAAAAAGAGCAAAAAGACAUCUUCAAUCAUUUAAUAGCUUACAGGGCAAAUUAACCCCUAAGCGAAAACUGGUUGCUCUAGAAUCAAAAUUUUACUUUAGUUACCCAGGCAACUUUUUUGUUGCUUUUUUUUUUUUUUUCCUUUAGUUUUGCCCCCUCUGUCAAGCUUAUAAAAUUAUUAAGAUAAUAAAAGUGCCUUGAAUAGUAUUAAUAUAUCCAUUGACUUGAGCUGUCGUCAGUUUGCGAUUCCAUGAGGCCUUUUCAAAGUACUCAGAAAAUGGGGAGUCAUGAAAUCCAUUUGUUCUAUUCAUUGCUAAGAUGCUUUUCUCUAUAAAGAGACUUCCUAACGAAAAUACUUUGUAGAUUUCUUUACUCCAAGUGGUGCAUGGAAAAUUAAUAUUUUCAAUUAUCAAAUAAAAUUCCCUUUUUUCGGCGUAGAUUUCAUCCAUCCAGCUGUUAACACAUUCUAUAAAUCCGAAUUGACUAAUCUUUUCGUUUCCAUUUUCCAACUUGCGAAUACGGCAUAUAGUGUCUGCUAAACACUAUAUAUUCUCUGCCAAAUAUGAAUACAUAUCACUUUUCUGAGCAAGUGCAGAGUCAUUAUCAUUUUUAUUCCCACCUAACAAAUUAGGGAUAAAAAAGUUAAUAAUCUUUACAUGCUAUCAGGUCACAAGUUAAUAAUCUUUUAAAGAACAUGUUAAAUUAAUUUAUUGGUAUGAAUAGUAGUCAAAGAAGUAUGUUAAAGUUAGUAAUCUUUAAAAUAAUAUGUUAAAAUCAUUCGUACAAAUUAGUCAGAGAAGUAGCAUAAACACCGCGAUGCAAUUAAUACUUUCAAUCUCAAGGUCUCUAUUAUGGAAAUUUGCAUCGGUCAAUAUACACUUGGCAUAAUAUAAUCUCCCAACUCAUUUCUUUACAAAUGCACCUUUAAUCACCACCAAAAGGUGUGGACAUGAUCUUUACCCUAGAAAACUAUUCACCGACAGGCAAAUUGACGUCAGAAAUACUGAGGAAUUCUAGUUUCCUUCGGGUUCAUGCCAUGUUGUAUCCUUCAACUGUAACUCGAUUUCUAAGCUGUAAUUUGUGACAUAAUAGUCCUUAAACUAUGAAACCCUUCUUACUUAAUUACAAUGGUUAAUACAAUGCCCGUGACUAGACAAGUAUGAAGCAACCAUAACAGAAAAAAAAUCCAAAAUUAGAGAAAAGAAAGAAGUUUCGCGACCACCACCAGUUUACAAGUCACCUCCACCACCUCCUCCAGUUUACAAGUCACCUCCACCACCUUACCAUUAUUCCUCACCACCACCUCCAGUGCAUUCACCCCCACCACCACCAGUUUACAAGUCUCCGCCACCACCUUACCAUUAUUCCUCACCACCACCUCCUGUGCAUGCACCUCCACCACCAAUUUACAAGUCACCUCCUCCAGUUUACAAGUCUCCACCACCACCUUACGAUUAUUCCUCACCACCACCUCCAGUGCAUUCACCCCCACCACCACCAAUUUAUAAGUCUCCCCCACCGCCUCCCCCAGUAUAUAAGUCACCACCACCACCUCCUCCAGUAUACAAAUCACCUCCACCACCUCCUCCAGUUGACAAAUCUCCACCACCACCAAUUUAUAAAUACAAGUCUCCUCCACUACCUCCUCCAGUGUACAAGUCAUCACCACCACCUGCUUACAAGUCUCCACCUCCUCCAGUUUACAGUUCCCCACCACCACCAAUCUACAAGUCUCCACCUCCACCCUACCAUUACUACUACAAUUCUCCUCCUCCUCCUCGUCACUACUAAGCAAUUGUAUCCAAGUUUUUGAGGUAAUAACGCUUAACCAAUAAAUUAACUUUCGCAUGAUAAACCUUAUCUCUAUCAAGACAAACUGCCAUGUGUAUCAUGCCAAAUACGUACACCUAGAUCCAUGAAAAUGAAUGGUGAGGAGGGCCAUUUAGGCUCGGAGCGCCCUAGGCCUAGUUCCCCACCAUUUCCUGAAGUGCCGCCUCGGGUAUUAUCCUGGAAGGCGAUCGCGGCCCAUUUACCACCUCGGCUACAAUGUCAGGUCGUAACACCGAGGUGGACAUUGAAUGACAACUACGAAAAGGGGAGAUGUGAUCUCUGACACCUGAGCAAAGGCUGCUCUGACCCGCCGCCUGAAUCUGACAGAAUGUCCCAUCACGUCUCUUCAUGGAGACCGGUCAAGUCCACCUGAUCCACUGACUAUCUCAGAUCUUUUGGGACCCGUGCAAACAUCUCCUCUCUCCUAUCAGUCCCCUAUAAAUACACGAUACUUCUACUGAAAAAGGAGAUGACCAAUUUCUGGUAAAACACACUCCACUCAUUAUUUACUUCUCUAUAUCCGAACUGACUUAAGCUUCGGAGUUAUACCGGGGGAUCCAGCCCCUUUCUUAUCCAAGCAGGUGACUUCGUCCAAGAGAGUUGCCCAAGGUAAAGAUAUUCUUCCAAUUGAGGUGACUCACUCCUGCGGGUCGAAAAUCACCUCUUCAAUUGGCGCCGUCUGUGGGAACCGCAAAGAUAUUAGAAGAUGAAGCCUGCGCGUUCUAGAAGCAGAAAAGCUCUCACUAUCGAGGCUGGGCAAAGCAAUGCAGCUCAACAAGAAAAUAUUUCUGAAGGGCAGGAGUCCCCAAGGACUCAGCCCGCAAACGAAAAAGCCAUAACCCGUAUGGCCGAGUUUGUGACCGAGAACCCCAACAUCUUUGAAGAGUUGGGAAGAUACCUGAAGAGGCAAGGCAAACAAAAGGCCGAGUCCUCUAAAAGGAUGUCAGAUGGGUCUCUUGAGGACUCAUCUGAGGAGGAGUCGGAUGGAAGGCACUUAAGCCGAAGUGCCUCAAAGCGAGCAUUUUCUAAGGCCACUUCUAAGGUAGCCUCCCUGACCAAGGCGUUUUCCCGAGGGCUCUUGGGCCGACGACCCGAGGAAGAACCUCGGCCCUUGGGAAUACCCGGGGUGGACUGCAUGAGGGCUCCACCGUUCACGGAUGAUAUAAACGAGGAAAGGCUUCCUCCCAAUUUUAAGCUCCCCGCAGUACAAUCUUACGAUGGCCGAGGUGAUCCCGAGAAUCACAUCCAUACCUUCAUCUCGGCCUUCCAAAUAUACUGCAUCCCAGACCCUGUCAUAUGUCGGGCCUUUCCAGUAUUCCUCAGAGGAACUGCUCGAAAAUGGUUCUGAGCUCUAGAACCUAGGAGCAUUUCGACCCUGGGUGAAUUAGUGGAGAAGUUUCUCCACCGAUUUGUCUCCUCCCGACCUACGACUAGGACCUCGGCUUACCUGCUCACCGUGCAGCAGAACCCGGGAGAGUCACUCCGGUCGUACGUCCGGAGGUUCCAUGAGGAAAGCGUUCAGAUACCUGACCCCAAUGAGCAGGUAACCCUCGCUGCCUUUACCCAUGGACUCGUUGCCGGGGAGUUCAAUACGGGGAUCCAUAAAAAAUACCCCCGCACACUGCAUGAAUUGUGGUUGAAGGUUGAAAAGGGCAUACAGGCCGAAGACCUCCAUCGCAUGAAGAAAGAGGUCCAAGCCACCCGUCCAAGGGCUGAGCCCAGAAAGGGAAAAGACGCUGGCCGAACUGAAGUAGGGUCGGGAAGUGGCUUCCGAAGUCCUGGCCGAGACCGCCGCAGCGUGUUCGACAGGAUAUCCAAGGGGAAGUCACCUAUUCCCGAGUCCGAGUUGACUCCUUUAAAUACUACCCGAUCUCACGUGUUGUCCGUGAUGGAACAAAACAACCUCGGCAAGGGCCCGCCGAGGAUGUUUGGAAGCAGAGACAAGAGGAACUCGAACCUCUACUGCUUGUAUCAUCGUGACAUUGGUCACGAAACUGAGGAUUGCAACGAUCUCAAGAAGGAGAUCGAGAACCUCAUUAGACGGGGACACUUGAAACAGUUCAUCCGCAGAGGUGGAGGUCACCAACGUGACGAAAACCGGCAUGACAAAUGAGGUGACCAACGCCGAGAUGAGCGGCGGAGCUCCAGAAGCAGUUGCCGACCUCCUGAGGAUCCCAGGGAGACGAAAAGGCCUCCCCCAGACGGAUCUUCGGGACAUGGGCCAACCAUUGCCCGGGUCAUUAACACCAUUGCCGGAGGUCCGACGGGAGGGGACAGUCAGAACUCCCGGAAGAGAACCUAUAAGCAGGCUAACCCGGAUCAGGCCGAGUCGAGUUCUCGCCUGUCCGAGGUGAUCACCUACGGGCUCAGUGAUCCCAUCCCAGCUGCAUCCAGCAGUCAUGAAACCUUGGUGAUUGAAGUCCUCACCAAUAACUACAUUGUGAAAAGGUCUACAUAGACCCGGGAAGUUCAGUUGACGUCAUGUACCUCCGUACCUUUGAGAGCCUUAAAAUGGCUAAGGGGUGCAUGACCCCGCUGAGAACCCCUCUUGUAGGGUUCGGGGGACACGUGGUGCACCCCGAAGGGAUGGUGACUCUGACAGUGACCAUAGGGCAUCACUCUCGCUGUAGAACCGUCCCUGUCAAUUUUGUGGUGGUUAAGGCUGACUCCCCAUACAACCUACUUUUAGGUCGGCCUACGCUCAAUGCCUUGCGGGCGGUCUACUCCACCUACCACCUGAGCUUCAAGUUUCCUACCCCAGCAGGGGUGGCCGAGGUCAGCAGCGACGUCUGUGCUGUCCGGGAGUGCUACCUCGCCACCCUACAAGCAGCCUCCCCGUCUACCUCCGGUGCGAGGUCCGAGAAGAGGUCAAAUAUCCUCUCAAUAGAUAGCAUCGAUCCUCAGUGAGCUGAGAAGGUCCCGAGGCUGGAGACUGGGGAUGAGGUGGAAGAGAUUCCCCUGGACCCCACGAAACCUGAUCAGACAGUUCGCGUUGGUACCCGAUUGCCCGGUCCUAUCCGAAGAGGUAUGAUGGACCUCCUCAGGGAAUACCGGGACGUCUUUGCUUGGGCCGCCGAAGAGGUCCAAGGAGUCCCGCACCAUCUCAUGAUGCAUGACUGAACGUCGACCCCCAAGUCCGUCCGGUCAAACAGAAGAGAAGGCACAUCGGCCCUGAGCGCAGCCAAGCUGUUGGUGAGGAAGUGGACAAGCUUUUACCCGCUAAAAUAAUCCGAAAAGUCCAAUACCCGAUCUGGUUGUCUAACUCGGUCAUGGUCAAGAAGGAUACGGGGGCUUGGAGAAUGUGCGUCGAUUUUACCGACCUCAACAAAGCCUGCUCCAAGGAUUGCUACCCCUUGCCCAAAGUCGAUACUUUGGUAGACUCAGCAAUGGGCUACGAGAUCCUCUGUUUCUGGGAUGCAUUCAAAGGCUAUCACCAAAUUGGGAUGAGUCAAGAAAACCAGGAGAAAACGGCCUUCUACACCGACCGCGGCACGUACUGUUAUACUACCAUGCCAUUCGGGUUGAAGAAUGCCGGAGCCACUUAUCAACGCUUGGUCAACCAAGCAUUCAAGUCUCAAAUCGGCCGGAAUGUUGAGGCCUAUGUAGAUGACAUCCUCCUCAAAAGCCAGACGAACUCCACCUUCCUGGCCGACUUGAAGGAGGUCCUUGACAUCCUGCGGAAGGUGAAAAUGAUGCUGAACCCCAAGAAAUGUGUUUUUGGGGUCACCUCGGGGAAAUUUCUAGGUUACCUCGUCUCAAGGCGAGGUAUCGAAGCAAAUCCGGAUAAGGUGCGAGCCAUCCAGGAGAUGUCUCCACCCCGGUGCGUCCGCGAUGUCCAAAGGCUGACAGGGCGAUUAGCCGCCCUGAAUCGGUUCUUAUCGCAGUCGGCAGCUAAAGCACUGCCCUUUUUCAAAGUGUUGAAGAAAGCUGACCAUUUCUCCUGGACGGAAGAGUGUCAACAGGCGUUUGAGCAGUUGAAGGAUUACCUUCACUACCUUCCAACGCUCACCUCACCUCGUCCGGGGGACAAAUUAAUCUUAUACCUUUCUGCUGCGGCCGAAGCGGUGAGUGCCGUGCUGAUAAGGAAGGAAGGGGUCCAAAUGCCCGUCUACUACGUUAGCCGAGUCCUCCGAGGUCCAGAGACCAGGUACACACAAGCAGAGAAACUUGUGCUAGCCCUGAUCCACGCCGCCCGCAGACUCAAGCCCUACUUCCUAGCUCACCACGUCUGCUUGAGGACUGAUCAACCACUUCGGCAGAUUUUGACACGACCAGAGGUUUCGGGACGUCUUACCAAAUGGGCCAUUGAGCUGGGGGAGUACGACCUAACUUAUGAGCCUCGCACAGCGAUCAAGGCCCAGGCUCUCGCAGACUUCGUAGCCGAGCUCACCUUUGACGAGGUGCAAGGAUCCGUCCCGGCUGCCACAUCGGCCACAGUUGAUGUGGCCACCACUGGGCUCCAGCGGUGGAUCCUACACGUGGACGGUUCGUCAACAGUGAGGGUAGUGGAGCAGGCUUGCUCCUCGAAGACCCCCAAGGAGAAAUAUGCUAAUAUGCCUUAAGAUUUGACUUCGCUGCUUCAAACAAUGAAGCUGAAUACGAAGCCGUCAUUGCUGGACUGCAGCUAGCUCGCAAGCUCGGGGCCGCACACAUCUUGGUUUAUAGUGAUUCCCAACUCGUCGUGUGCCAGAUAUUAGGUGAGUACGAAGCCAGGGACGAGGUGAUGCAUCGUUACCUCUCCAAGGUCCUCCAGUUGGCGACUCACUUCGAGUCUUUUGAAAUUCAAAGAAUACCGCUAUCGAAAAACAGAAGGGCUGACGCCCUCUCCCGGCUUGCCUCAACCUCUUUCUCUGACCUGAACAAGACGGUUCUCGUUGAAGUUCUAGCCGAACCAGGAUAUGUAGCCGAGGUAGUAUACCCCGUCUACCCUGGGGACACCUGGAUGGGUCCCCUGACUCGAUUUUUCAGCCAGGGUGAGCUCCCCGAAGACCGAGCUGAGUCACGGAAGCUCCAACGAAAAGCAGCACGGUACAUUCUCCGACAAGGCCUUUUAUACAAAAGGUCUUACCUCGGCCCUUAGUUGCGAUGUAUCACGCCCGAGGAAGGCCAGAGAAUCCUCCAAGACAUACAUGAGGGGCUCUGUGGUGCUCACGUCGGCUACAGAAUGCUGGUAAAAAAGGCUUUGUUACUUGGGUAUUUUUGGCCCACUAUGAGGAUAGAUGCCCAGGUCAUGGUCCUUUGCUGCCCCUCCUGCCAGCAUCACGCUCCUGAGCACCACCAGCCGACCAAUUUAAUGAUCCCUAUCACCUCGUCAUGGCCAUUUGAGCAAUGGGGAACGGACAUAAUUGGCCCCUUUCCCAGAGCUCCAGGCAAUUAUACCUACGUGGUGGUAGCAGUGGACUACUUCACCAAAUGGGUCGAAGCUGAACCCCUAAAAAAUAUCACUGGUGCGGCAGUCCAGAAAUUCUUCUGGAAGAAUGUGGUUUGCCGCUUCGGCCUACCCCGGGUGAUCAUCUCGGAUAAUGGCCGACAGUUCGCCGAUAAUCCUUUCAAGGCCUGGUGUGAGAACCUCGGGGUCAAACAGCAUUUCACUUCGGUGGGACACCCCCAAGCCAACGGACAAGCCGAAAACUUCAAUCGCACGCUCCUCCAUGGCCUCAAGACCAGGCUCCACCAGGCUGGAUCGUUUUGGAUGGAAGAGCUCCCCAGUGUGCUGUGGUCCUACCGAACUACGCCGAGAUCAGCAACCCAGGAAACCCCGUUUUCCUUAACCUACGGGUCAGAAGCUGUUGUUCCAGCCGAAUUCAUCACCCCGAGUCCACGAAUGGCCGCAUAUGCUGCCGAAGUCAAUGAAGAAGAACGGCGAGUUGACCUCGACCUCGUCGAAGAGAAGCGUGAUAUGGCCGCGGCCAAAGUUGCUGUUUACAAAAAUAUCGUAGCUGGCUACUACAACGCUCGGGUUAAACAUUUGCGGUUCAGUCCGGGAGACCUGGUGCUCAGGAAGAACUCAGUCAGCCGGGCUGAACCUCAGGGUAAACUAACCCCCAAGUGGGAGGGACCAUACCGUGUUGUUGAGUCCAGCCAAAAUGGAUAUUGUAAAUUGGCAUACCGAGAUGGGUCUCUGAGUGCCCCGAACUUGGCAUGCUGAAAAUCUUAAGUUGUACUACCCUUGAGGGUAUGUGCUUUUAAUCUUGAGUUAUUUCACACUUAUUUUCAUUUCAUUAUAAGUGAAAAAUAAGGGGACAAAGUAGCAGUAAAGAGGAAAACCGAAUUUAAUUAAAAAGAAAGCAAGAAUAUGAACUCAAUUCCAUUGAAUUACAUAAAAGUAGAAAGCCGAGGUCACCUUUAAUUAGGAAGAAAGCAAGAAUAUAAACUCAAUUCCAUUGAAUUACAUAAAAGUAGAAAGCCGAGGUCACCUUUGACCUCGGCCUACAAUGACAAAAAAAAAAACAAGUGCCUCUAGGCACUCCCUACCCUGACAUCCUGGCCCCCCGUGGUCGCGCCACCCGUUUCGGCACCCUGUCCACCCUCAGCUCCUCCACCGGCCUGGUCGUCUUCAGUACCAUCUAGUUCAAACUCCUGGAGCCAUUUGUUGAAUUCGGCUCGGACUUCGGUUAGGUCUUUCUCAGUCCGGAUGCCCUCAGCCAUGCUGUCGCAUAGCUCCUUGGCAUCCUCGUUAUAGUGCGAAGUGCUCUGAAGGGACUCCAGUUGUUCAGAGGGAAGAAAGGAUGCCGCGUCAUUAAUAGCCGACGUGUACCCGAACAUGAAGCUUGGCCGGGUGAGCUCGCCGAGGUCACGGAUGAAGGACUCUGACGUCCGGAAGGCUUCCACAGCAGUGACCCCGGCCUUGUCCAUGGCCUCCCUGUUUGACUGUUCUUCUUGGGCCCUCCUUUUUUUCUCCUCAUCAAGAGCAGUCACCAGGGAAUUGUUCGCGACCUCGGCCCUUUUGUUAGCCGCCUUGGCCUUGUCACGCUCCAACUCGGUUGCCUUCAGUUUUUCUUCCAACUCGGCAAUUCUCUUCUGGAGCUCGGCAGGAGGCUCAUAGUUUUCCAUGAACUUUCCAUACCGUUGAAUCAUCUCGACAAAAAAAGCCGUGGUAGAGGCCCAUGACACCGAGGCGCUCUGCAUCAACUCCCCUGCGGAGAGCUUCCUAGCAUAAGUGCUAUCUCGUGGCAGCACUGAAUGCACCAAGAGCUCCUGAGCGACCAAAGGGUUCUUGCAGCGAUCGUUGAAAUUAAUCUCCCACUCUGGACACCAGUGUGAUCCGGGGUGUCUCUUGUCCUCCUCAGCUGCCUUGAAAGGCACAUGAUGGAGUUUGAACAAAGAUGACCCCGUGACGGGGUUCUCCGGAAAUAUGGUCACACCCUGACCCCGGGGGGGAGUGGCAAUCGUGACCCAGCGAGAAGGGAUUCCCACCGGAAUUGCCGAGGCUCGGGAACCUCCCGGAGUGGCCGAGGUGUGCGAGCCCUCGCCCACGAUCACCACGGCAGGCUCGCGGUCGCCCGACGCCGCGGUGGUUUUCUUAGCCGGCCUGGAAGAGGACCCUGCAGUGUCCUUGCGCUUUUUGGGAGCUCUUUUGACCACCUCGACAUCUCCCGAGGUUAUCAGGUCGAAAAUCUUCGUCACUGCAAAGUAGGAGACGAAGUCAGUUAGAAUUCAAGAGGGAUAAACUAAAAGGGAAGAAAUGGAAAAAUACAAAGUCUGUGAAGCCUAGUCGAGAGUAAGACAGGCUGGUCAGAGCUCGUCAAGGCUCAACUGAUCCCGCCUUCCACGAGCACCACUUCGGGAAAAUCCCAGCAGUUUAUCCUGAGGCCCGACCCCGUUAACUUCUGGAAGUUACGCUCUUCUAACUUCCCUGGAGAUAUCUCCUUGAUCGAGGUGGGAGGCCUCCACCAGAAUCCGCGAGGGAAGUCAUCGGCCGAGACGAAGAAGAAGUUUUGCUUCCACUCCUUUAUUGAGUUCGGAGCAUCAACCACCAACUUCGGAACUUUGUUUCCGAAGUAGAACCAUCCUUUUUCACUUCUGCUGUUCUUGAGUGAGUAACAGCGGCGAAAGAGGUUGACCUAAGGUUGUAUCUCCUGAUGUCGGCAAAGUAGCUGGAAGCCAACGAGAAUGCGAAUAGCGUUAGGGGUGAGUUGAGUGAUUCUCACCCCCCAGUACCUCAGGCAGUCCCGAAGAAACCUCGUCGUGGGCACUCUGAGUCCGGCCUCCAGCUGUUCCUGAUAGAUAGUCACCUUGCCCUUUGGUGGCAGUGCGGCUGACUGAUGCGGUUGGGGUAUGUAAAUACUAUAAUCCCUUCUCCAGGGAUACCUGCGGACCACCUCGGCUAUUGAGGCUUGUCCCAUACCACUACUGAAGAACGGCAUCUGGCCGUAGUCGAGAGUUGCCACGUUUGGAGGAGUGGAAGGUUCUUGUACUCCCUCGUCUCUAGGGAUCUCAAUCCCGAGGUCAUCGUUGUAUAGGACCUCGGGCUGGACCUCGAUCUCCUCGGGCUGCACCUCAACCGCCUCAGCUCGGCGUGAUGCCUCGGCACCUCCACCCUCAGCUUGGUGAGAUGCCUCAGCACCUCCGCCCUCGGACGCGGUCCUUUCCUGGGAGGGGUCAGGCCUCUCUGCCUCAGUGAGGUCAGGUCUCACUGUCUCUUUGUGCGUACGAGCUGUUCUAGCCAUUGUAUCAGAAGGGGAAGAAGUGAACUUACUUAGAAUCUGCGACUGGAAGAAGAUGCCGAAGUAGACGUGGUUUAGAAAGGUUGCCGAAGUGAAAAGAGAAAGAAACAGAGUUCUGGGGUGAUUCUUGAUUUUUGGUGAAGAGUAAAACGGUGAAAAAAGACCACUAUUUAUAGGCCACCAGGGUGAAACCCAAGAGACGGCACCCUCUCUCUUCAUUAAUGGGAGGACUGUUCGUCUGCCAACACAGCUGACAGCCGUCCCUUCAGUUAUCACUCAGUCCCAUCUAUGCGGUCAUGACGUGUCCGUGUUCCGUGUUUUAUACGCUUCUCAGCUUCGGGAAGUAACGACCACGGCGGAUGCCCAUCUCGCCCUUCUCAAAGCUUGGGGGGCUUAGUGAGGAGGGCCAUUUAGGCUCGGAGCGCCCGAGGCCUAGUUCCCCAUCAUUUCCUGAAGUGCCGCCUCGGGUAUUAUCCUGGAAGGCGAUCGCGGCCCAUUUACCACCUCGGCUACAAUGUCAAGUCGUAACACCGAGGUGGACAUUGAAUGACAACUACGAAAAGGGGAGAUGUGAUCUCUGACACCUGAGCAAAGGCUGCUCUGACCCGCCGCCUGAAUCUGACAGAAUGUCCCAUCACGUCUCUUCAUGGAGACCGGUCAAGUCCACCUGAUCCACUGACUAUCUCAGAUCUUUUGGGACCCGUGCAAACAUCUCCUCUCUCCUAUCGGUCCCCUAUAAAUACACAAUAUUUCUACUGAAAAAGGGGAUGACCAAUUUCUGGUAAAACACACUCCACUCAUUACUUACUUCUCUAUAUCCGAACUGACUUAAGUUUCGGAGUUAUACCGGGGGAUCCAGCCCCUUUUCUUAUUCAAGCAGGUGACUUCGUCCAAGAGAGUUGCCCAAGGUAAAGAUAUUCUUCGAAUUGAGGUGACUCACUCCUGCGGGUCGAAAAUCACCUCUUCAAAUGGUAGAAAGUUUUCUUAAGAACCAAGAACAGCAUUAGUAUUCCCUCUGCUUCCAAAAACUUGUGUAUUAAAUAGAUUAAUGAAUUGUUUAACAUGCUCAUCUACUUGAAAAUGCACAAUACCCAUAACCCACUGAAAUUUUUGCAGGAAAAGGGAAAGAGAAUCUGUGUUUGAGAGCUUCAUGAAGAUGUUGAAGAAUAAGAAUAAAAGCCCAAUGCGAGGAUGUUUUCAAGUUUUUCUAUGUCCACUUUAAUUUGUAAAUUGAAUUUUACAACUCAAUUAAUUCCUUGUUUGUGAGGUACGUAUUGUUUUACGUACCAUGCCGUACAUGUUUGUAAGGAUUUCUAUCCUAUUGGCAAAAGUCGGUUCCAUACAAUUAAUCAAUUCAUUUCACUUCUAUUGGCUCUACUAUUUAUGCAUGUUACGACACUCUUUCCCUUAUAUUUUGCCUUUAAUAUUAUGAGUCAAUAGUAAUAAUGGGCCUUUUUCUUAAAAUUAUACUAUUAUACAUAGGUAGUUUGGUCUAACGCUAAAUUCAUGUUUGUCUUUCUUUUAUUCCCUUUACAUCUCAAAGUAUACUAUAGUUUGUAAUCAUUGUGGUGAUGAUAUUACCAGCUGGUACUUAUAGUUUAAGGCAGAGACAUGAUAUUAACAACUAUCUCAUUGAAACAUAAGUCAAAAUCAUGACAAGUGUGAGUCUUGGUUAAUGCACAAUUUGUUAGUGGAAUUUAUAUUUAUAAAACUCAAAAAAAAUUUUUGACAAUGCUAUUACUAAUUAAUUAAGGACUUCAUUGCUAUAAUUUAUCGCUUACUAGUUUAAACUAUAAAUGAUCUCAAUACUUUUCUCCAUGAUGUCGAUUUCUUUAGACUACGAAAGGGAAAAAUUAGUGACAUAUCCCUUACUGAUUACAACAUCAGCAAAAAUUAGUUAUAAACUUUUCCGGUGGUUUUAAAUCCCUCGGGCACUAAGGUUUUUUGCACAUCGAGUGAAUUAAGGAACAUAGGCAAUUCGUUCUGCAUACCAAGUCCUUGUUUAAGAUGCACGUACUAAAAUGCAUCCACUUCAUUAAUUUGGAAAAUUGCCAUAGUUUUUUUUAAGCAUUUUGAUUUUUUACAUGAUUCAAAAUUUUCUUAUUGGAUACAAUCACUUUGUGUCAAGAACACAUUUUCAAUCAUCUUUUUUAUCUUCUCAAUAAGAAAAUAAAAAUUUAUUCAUGCUUUUCUAACAUAUCCAAUCAUUGAUCUGAAAAAUAAAGAAUUAAAAAAAAAAGACAUUUUCAAUCAUUGCUUACAGGGCAACUUCCCCAUGUGAACCUCUUCAAACAAAGCCAAUAAUAUGAAGGAACAUCUAAAUACACUUUUGCCCUAAAGGCUGGUUGCCUUGGGGUCAAAAUUUAACCUUCGGGAGUAUAAUUACCCGCCAAAUUUAUUAUUUUUUAUGGGUAUAUAGUUCCAAUUUUGCCUCCUGUUAAGCUUAUAAAUAUAUUACGACCCAGAAAAUAAAGGAAUCUUGAAUAGUAACAUGUCCAUUGACUUGAGUUGUCAUCAAUUUGGCUACUUCGAUUCCAUGAGGCCAAUCCAAUUCACACUAGCUAGAGAAAAUGGUGAUAAAGGCACUUAGAAAUUUAUAUGUAAUAUUGAUUGGUAGUAACUGAUAAGUAUAUAUUUUACGUGUUUUAAAUAUGUUUUAUUAGUUAGUUUUGGUGUGUUUUAACUACUUUUAUAACUAAUUAACUAGGAAUCUAGUGAAAAUAUGCAUUUUGUGGUUUGAAGUGUGAAAAUUGUAUUUCUAUGGAUUUUAAUGGUGAAAACUUCAUGUUUUUGUAGGUUUAAUGAUUCAAUCAUCAAAUGACAUGAUUUGAGAAGAUAAUUAGAUGAUUGAUGAUGUUUUGAAGUGAUAAAAAGAGAAUACAAAGUGCAAGAGAGGAAAUGCAAUCAAGAAUAAAAGAAGAAAAUUUUUGUAGCUUUGACAUAUUGUGGUAUUUUGGCAAUAUAUUGAGCUACAAUGAUUGGAUUAAGGUGAUUCUUAAACCAUUUGAAGCUAAGAUAUAGAUCUACAUUUGGUAUGAAGGCAUCGAAACCCAUGUCAGUCAUUUUCCUUGUCAAAAUGUUGAAAUACAGAAGUGCAACUCUGUUCUCGAAAGCUAAAACAGAGCUCUGGCUAGUCGAGGGUAUUUUCAUCAUUUCUUAGUCCACAGAGCUCCAAAUGAGAUGAUUCUUAAGGCAUUAGAACCCUAACUCAAAGAGCUACAACUUUCAUAUUUUGUACAAGAGUUAGUUCGGCCUCCAUCAUUCAGAAAAUAGUAGUUGAAGUGGUGCCAAAUGCAUAGAAGUGAAAACGCGAGCUAUCAAUACUCGACCUGAAGUCGCGUAUUCCUGAGGUCAUGCAUUCUCUUCUAUUUUCUGCAACUUGCCCUGCUUUCACAUAAUUUUUUCAUCUCAAUUCCAACUAUCAAUUUCGGCUAUAUCUGAUCAAGAAAAGUGUGGAAAGUUUGAAAGACAACUCAUAGGAGUUUCAAGAGUCAAAAAUUACAAUUAGAAACAACUCAUUUGGCUCUUGAAUCCUCUAUAAAUAGAGGCCUUUGAAGAACAUUUUCACAACUUUGGAAGGUUAGAGAAACUCCACAAAAACAUAGUCUUCACUAGAAUUUCCUUAGUUCAUUAGUUAGGGUAGUAUAGUAUAGUUAGUGUAGCUUUUCCUUCUUGUAUUUAUAGUUAGGUUUGAAUGAAGAUUCAGGAGCAAAGAUAGAGAGGUUGAUCUCAUGUGACAAGGGUGAUAUCUCUUCUACUACUUUCUCUUUUGUAUUUGAUUUCAUAUUUAACUAUACUACAAAUUUGGCUUUGUUUUUUUUUUUUAUCAUGUUUAGUUAAAGUUUAUGCCUAGAGUAUGGAUGACCUUUCUAUAUCUUGUUUGUGAUAUUUAACUGGUUAUUUGAUGAUGUUAUUUUUGAGCAAGUUAUUUAUCACUUUUGCUUUUCUAAUCGUGAUUAACUGGCCAUUAGUUGUGAUUAUCUAAAAGUGUUAAGUUUGUAAUGAGAAUUGGAGUUUAACACUAGUUCAAGGAAGUGAUAAAUUUAGGGAGUUCACUCAUGAGAGUAGAGGAACACCUUUGUGACCUAAGUGACUUGUUUCAUAUAAUUUCAUAGAAAAAAUGAACUUGUAAUUAAUUUCAUAACCACGAGAGUAAGUAUGGUUUAGCUAUAUGUAUAGUUGAUUCACUACGAGAGUAGGUUUCACAUACAUUAGAAAAUUACAUCAUAACUAGUCAAGAUAAUAUCAUUCAUUUAAUCAGUAAUCUCAUUUGCAUGAGUAGUAAGGCAUUCCAUAUCUCUAGGAGGUUUUUAGUAUUAUUUUCAUUACUUUUAUGUUUAUGGUAGUCUAGAUAAUAAUGGAGUUCAAAAACUACUAGUAAUUGAAAAUUUUCCCUGUGGGAUCGACCUUUAAUACCCUAUACUCGCUCUCGACUCGUAUACUUGCGAAAAAUCACGUGUGCGGUAUUUAGAAUUUAUAAAUGUAAAACUUGACUGUAGAUGAACUAAUUGAUAUAUGUAUACCCCGCACUCGUCAGUAACCAGCUUGUAUUGAUCCCAUUAUUGUGGAUAAUUGUGCUCUUAUGAAAAAAAAUUAUAAAAAAAUUAGCAAAAUUUAUGAUAACAAAUUAAAUUUAUUCAUACAAAUCAGUGAAAGAAGUAGAAUUUUAAAGACCAUGAUGAAAUUAAUACUUUCAAGGGCUCUAUUAGGAAGACUUCACUUGUUGGUGAAACUACACUAGCACAGUUAUAUGCACAUUUACUGUUUUGGUAUCUAAUUUCCUUGCCUUAAGUUGGGUGCAGAUGUUUAUAUUACAAAUAGAUGGUAUCAUAAAAUUGUUGUAUUCACGUUUGUUCUUUUUUUUUCUUCCUUAAGUUUUUUUCUUUAUUCUCGUGACUUCAAAAAUACGAACUCAAGAAAUUGGCUGCUUAAUCAAUAUGUCAUACAGGCUUCGCUAGUGAGGUAUAACUUCACAACUAGAGUCAAUAGAAAUUAUCAAAUGAUUUUUUAACAUCCAAAUUAAGCAAUAAAUUUUGUUUUCAUUUUAUGACAUAUAAUAGUACUACUUCAUGAGAGAUUUUAUAGUUUCUUUUAGGUAUCAUACCUACAAGUGAUAUUUGUCAUUGGAUAGUGACAGAAGUGUUAAUGAUUGUAAGAUUAAAUAUUGUUAAAUAUUGAAAUUUAAACUAUUUAUCUUUAUUGAAAGAUACAAGUUAAAGAAUCGUUCAAGGGGGCAAUUUUCCAUCUUGUCUUUUUGAAAAAACGCUAUCACAUUGUAUAGGCAUGAUAGGUUCAAAUUUGUCAUUAAAUUUAUGAUUGAUUUCCCUUUUAUUCAAGCCAAAUAUUGUUUUAAUUAUCAAAUUCUACUUAUAUUUGGUUAAUUGUACUAAUUGUAGGGCGGUAGAGCAAAAGUUGCUAAAAAUAGGUGAUUUUCUGCAAAUUGGUUGUCAAGGCUGAAGGAUUUGGGAUUCGCAUGUUCAAGGCCUGUUUCCAAGUUUGAUUCAAACUCUGGACAGUUUUAGAGGAAGAUUUGGAAGAUUUGAAAUUUCAUUAUUAGUUUUAUGGUUGAAUUAGGAAUCUUGGAAUAAUUUCUUUUGUGAUUUAUUUUUCUAUUUAGGAGACUAGUUGUUAUUUAGUAGUAGACUUCAAUUAGAAAACAAAGAGAAAAAGAAGGCCGGAAUCCCGCUUGAUUAAUACCUUGGCCAGGGAACAAUCUCGGUGGGGAGGACGGCCACUUAGCCUCUCAAUUCAUCUUGCUUUUCGUUAGUUUGAGAGGAAAACCAAUUGCAACUAGAUUCAAUGGAGUCUGGCAGAAUUUCUUCUAGGAUGCGUAGCUAAAUCCUCAAUUUUUAGUCGAAGGUCAAUUUGAAAAUUCGGUUCCAAAUAUCUGUGAAAUCGAAUUAUUUUACUUAUUUCUUUUAUUUAUUGGUAUUCGCACGUUUUCUGAUUUAACUUUUUAUGAUUGUUUUGUUAUUUGAAUGUCAAGGGUCCGAUAUUCGAAUUAACUUAAUAAUCUACUGCCAAAUUAACCGGUUAAAUCCGUAAUUGUUUGAUUGAUUAAUAUCAGUGGCGACUAGCGUGAUUGGUCCCAUGUUAGGAAAACGUCUGAUCUAAUUUAAACAAACCGUCGUAGCGUGUUUGUUGAUUAGGGUUGGACUUUUCUAAUUCUUAAUUCAAUUGAGAAAUUAAAUCUCCCGGUCGUACCUAAGAUUAUUUUUUUGUUAGCGAAAUAGUUAAUGGUCGUACCUUGACUAUCGAAAAAGUAAGGAAGAGUUGAUUGUUUAUCGCGUGUACGACAACUAUAAUCAAUCUAUUAAUGAGUAAUUGAAUUAUCUUUGCAUCAGUAAUCAGUUGAAUGGACCGUGUCUGAAAAGUUGUACCUUUGGCUAGAGUCUUAUCUGUUGUUGAUUCAUUCAUAUCUAUCUUCAUGCGUUGUUUUAAUUUAGUUAAUUAGUUAUUUUUAUAAAAACCCCUCAUCUCUGGACUCUAAAAGAAAUAAAUUAUUUCUAGUUCCUGUGGAUUCGAUCCUACUCACCGCUAUAUACAAAAUUUGUAUUUUUUUGAAUAAAUAAUUAUUAUUACACAGGCUUGACACCUGUCAAGGCAAAAUUUCCUUAACUUCAUCAUCUGUAGACGUAAACUUUCUACGGGUGAUAUAAUAUAAGGAAAUUUUGCCUAUACGAUGUGAUAGCAUUUUUUCAAAAAAGACAAGAUGGAAAAUUGCUCCCUUGAACGGAAAAAAUCAUGAUCUUUCCUCAAACUAGUCUACUAGUCAAUUCUUUACAAAAGAAUACUCGCUCCUAAACAUAGCCUGUUCAUCUACACUGUCCCGCAGAAUUCUAGAAAGUUAGGCAAAACUAGACAAGUUGACAGGUAUAAUCAUACCCAAGAUCAGGAACAAGCAGUUGCACAUUUCAAAAUUCGCUGCUGCAACAGCUAAUUUGAUGACUUACAACACUACACGGUCAAACUUUGAAUGGCAAUGGAUCUUUUGUUGUACGUCAUGAUGUAAUUUUCAUGUUACAUACAUUAAUAGGUUGAUAUCUAUAUUCUUUAAAUUAUCAUGAUAAUACCCUUAAUUAGAUUUAACUGAUAAAAAGAACACGUGUUAAUAUACAAAAGUGUGUAACGUGAAUGUUACAUUACUGUAUUGCAGAAGACCUAUAGUCUCUUCAUAUCUCUUCCUGCACGUAUCAAUUCGUUUCCUCUAGAUAAUAAUCUCCCAACUCGUUUCUUUACAAAUGCACCUUUUAUGUUUUAUUACCUCCAAAAGCCUUUACAGGGUCUUUACCCUAAAAAUCAAUUCACCGACUCGCAUUUGAUGUCAGAAAUUCUUAAGACGAAUUCUACUUUACUCAAAGAUUGACUGUUAAUAAUGAGACAGCGACCAUUUUGUAUUAUUAGACCGUCCUUCUUGAUAGGUAAAAGAAAUAGAGAGGAAAGUGGGUCCGUAUAUGGUCUUUUAUUCAUAGAUAAUACAACAUUACGCCAUCGAGCAUUCACACAAUAUUUCAAAGUCAUAGCAUGCCUAAGGCCCUGUUUGAUAGCUCAAUUUCGUAAUUAAAUUUAAUAGAUUCAAAUUUUAACACAUUUAAAUCAUUUGAUAACAAAAAAUUGAAUAUUUAAAUUAAUUAAGUAACACUGAACUUUCUAAACAAAACUUGCUUUCAAAAUUAAGUGAUAAGUUAUUCACUUAUCUUUGAAUGUGAUAUGCACUCAAAUAUAUUAAAUUUAAUAAUUUAAUGGAUUCAGAUUUCAGAUUUCAGUUUUAUUACACACCCUAAGUUGCAAAAUAAUACCAAAACUUGUUAUUAUAUAGCUUGAGAUUCAAAAAUUUAGAGCAUAAUUCUCAACCUAACACAAUCGAAUAAUGAAUAUUCACGAUUGUUUCAAAGUACAAUUUGAGGACAACCCAUUCCAACGCGUACACGAUUUUUAACUUUUCUAAAGUUGUUGAGAGCUGUUAAAAGAGAUUUACCAUGUUUACAUCUUCCAAGUCUUGGAAGUGAAAAAUGAAGCCACUGAGUGCUAUAAAAAGGGGGCUAGAGGCUGCCUAGAAGCAUAUCAGCCUAAAACAAGAAUUUGUAGUAACAAUGGGGAGCAAAGCAAAAGCAACGGGGUCUAGGCUGACUCCUCUUCUUACCACUGUUUUAGUGGUAUUUGUCGCCCUUGGCUUGCCCUUGGAAACUGCAGCUGAUUAUUACAAGUAUUCAUCUCCUCCUCCUCCUCCUUACCACUAUUCUUCACCACCACCUCCAGUGUAUUCACCUCCACCAACCCCUGCUUAUAAGUUACCCCCACCAUCUCCUCCAGUUUACAAGUCCUCACCACCACCUUACCACUACUCACCACCUCCGGUGUAUUUACCUCCACCAUCUCCAGUUUACAAGUCACCACCACUACCCCCUCCGGUAUACAACUCCCCGCCUCCACCAGUGUACAAAUACAAGUCCCCACCACCACCUCCUCCAGUUUACAAAUCUCCAUCGCCACCAGUUUACAAAUACAAGUCACUCCCACCACCUCCUCCGGUAUACAAGUCUCCUCCGCCACCUGUUUACGAGUACAAGUCUCCUCCACCACCUCCUCCAGUGUACAAGUCCCCACCACCUCCAGUUUACAAGUACAACUCACCUCCACCUCCUCCCCCAGUUUACCUGUCUCCACCUCCACCCUAUCAUCACUACUACGGUUCUCCUUCUCCUCACCACUACUAAGCAAGUGCAUAAGUUUUGAGGUAAUAAUACCUAUCCAAAACUUUAUCAACACAAACUGCCAUGUAUAUUAUCAUGCUAAGGACGUACACUUGAUCCAUGAAAAUGACUAGUAGAAGAUUUUUUUUAAGAACCAAAGAAAUACAUUAUUUUUUCGGUCUGUUUUCAAGAAUUUGAGCAGUAUACAGAUUAAAGAGUGUUUUUUUUUUUGUAAACUUGCUUGUCAACUUAAAAAUGCACAUAGCUGAAAGCCAACUGAAUAUUUGCAGGCAAAGGAGAAGGCAAUCGGUGUUUGAGACCUUCAAGAAGAUGUAGAAGAAUAAGAAUAAAAGCCCAAUGCGAGGAUGAUUCCAAGUUUCUACGUUACCAUUUCUACAUCUAAAUUGACUUUAGCUCCUGAGUUCCAUGUUUAUGGGGUUUGUACCGUUUUACGUACCAUGCAGUACAUGCUUGCAAGGUUUUCUGUCCUGUUGGCAAACUGCAGGUCCAUAUAAUAAAUGAAUACUAUUUACAUUACGACACUUUUCUCUUUUUCUCUUAUAUUUUGUCUUUAAUAUUGUUGAUCAUUUUUUUUUUAUCAAAAGCAUCAAAUGCUUAGGUAAUUUGGUCUAAUGCUAAUUGUUUUACUUUUAUUUUUCACCUACACCCCUUUUCAACUCAAAGGAUGCUAUAGUUUGUGAUAAUUGUUUAAGACCGAAGCAUGAUACUAAUAAAUAUCUCAUUGAAAGUCAAGGAAACUAACAUUAGGAAAAGUUUAAAUCUUGAUUUGAUGAAACUAUUUAUUCGUGGAAUUUAGAGAUACAAAACUCAAAUUGUGACGGUGUUGUUGCUAAAUUAUUAAGGACAUUAUCACCAUUAUUUUUCCCUGAUCACUAGUUUCAACUGCAAUGAUCUCAAUCUUUUUGUGACUAAUUCUUUCCUUAAUAAUUUAUAAAGACAAAACUCACAAAGAAUAUGUGACUAAUUCUUUCCUUUCGUCUUCUAAAGAAAAUGCCAACUGUUAGUUUAUCAAGGGGAAAAAGGAUCGACAUCAGUUAUUAUUGAAACUAGUAAGGAAUAAAUAAUGGUGAUAAUGUCCUUAAUAAUUUAACAACAGCACCAUCAGAAUUUGACUUUGAGCUUCGGUCUUAAACAAUGAUCACAAACUACAGCAUCCUUUGAGUUGAAAAAGGAAGUAGGUGAAAAGAAAAGUAAAAAAUACAAUUAGCAUUCCCUCAAAUUGUAGAAAGUUAGGUAGCAUUAUAGACAAGUUGAUAGCGGCAAUUUUACAUUUCAAACUUCACCUAUUCAAUAACUAAUUCGAUGGCUUGCUACAUGGUCAAUCUUUGGACCCCUUCCUGCCUCCAGAUAUCCCUUUCCUCAAUCAGGGGCUUCUACAAUUACCAGUUUCAAUUGUAUGGUAUAGUGUAAAUAUCAACAAAUUAGAUGUAGAUGCUAACAUAAUAAAUGUGAAUGCUAAGACAGCAACAUACAAUCGAACCUGCAAUUGUAUGAACCCCAAUCUCGCUUCCUAGUCCACCAUCUUUCUCUAGGUAAUAAUCUCCCUUCUAAUUUAUUCACAAAAUGCACCUUUCAUCACCUCCAAUAGCGUCGACAUGAUCUUUACCCUAGAAGACUAUUCACCGACUCUCAAUUGACGUCAGAAAAUCUAAGAGUAAUUCUACUUUACCCUAAGAUUGAUAUCAACAAGACAAGGACAAUUUAGAAUUAUUACACGCCUCUUCUUAAUAGGAAAAAGAAAUAGAGAAGAAAGUCAGGCCAGGUCUAAUUUCUUUUCAAAGGCAAUACAACAUUACGAAAUCAAGCAUUCAUUCAUACAAAUAUUUCAUAGUCACCGGUUUGCUGAGUAGAAAAAUUUAGACAAAAACUUAAUAUUAUAUUGUUUAAGAGUUAACAAUUUAGAGCUUAAUCUCCUUGUACUUUGGAGUUAACAAUUUAGAGCUUAAUCUCCUUGUACUUUGGACUAAACUUGAACGUGAAAGGAAAUCCCAAAACCAUAUUGGGCAUGAAUUCACACUUAAUAUACCCAAUAAAAGAUGGCGACUGGUGAAAGGCAGUGGAGACUGGUGGAGAGAUUUGAGGAAUAGAAGCAGACGGAAAAGCAACAAAUUUUUGCCGAAAAACGGUCACUUUCAUGGUUAAUUUUGCUACUCUCCAAUUGUACUUGACCAAUUACAACAAUUUCAUGGAGUUUGAUACGUGAAAAGAAUUUUUUAUAAAUUUUAUUUUGAUCCAUAAUGUUAUCUUUACAUAUAUAAAACAUUUUACAAUUUUGAUUUUGGCGCAGCUAACUUUUGGUUAACAAAAAUGCUCAUGUUUAAAAAACCAGAAAUAAAACAAAACAAGAAACAAAAGAAAUAAGAGGGUAGCAUAGACAUUUUGGAUUUUUCCGUUAAUUUGGAUGAUUUCCACCCACGUUCUAAUUUAAUCCAAAACACAAAGGAAUUACGUAGAGGUUUUAAAUAAUGAGGGAGCUUCAUGAUCGAACCCCAAACCACAAGGCGAUUUACUAUAUUUUACUCUUAAAUUUUGGUUUCAUCUCAUAGCAUACAAGAGUUCUAUUUCACUAUCUGUAGACAAAGACUUUCUAUGGUUGAUGUACCAUAGGAAAAAAUCUGCCUAUACAACGUGAUAGCAUUUUUUCAAAAACACAAGAUGGAAAAUUGCCCCUUAAACGGGGAAAUUCAUGAUCUUUCGUCGAACAAAGAAUACUCACGCCUAUUCAAGAUGGAAAAUUGCCCCCUUAAACGUCUAUUUGUCAAUUCUUGAAAAAAGAAUACUCACGCCUAAAACACGGCCUCUUCAUCUGCAGAAUUCUAAAAAGUUAGGUAAACUCUAUAAACAAGUUGAUAGGUACAAUCGUACCCAAGAUCAAGUACAGAUAGUUGUACAUUAACUGCUGCAAUAACUAAUCUGAUGACUUAUAAACAUAUCAUGGUCAAUCGUUGAAUGGUAAUGAGUCUUUUGUUAUGCAUUAGUAUUAGUGUGUACACUCUAAUAGAUUGAUACUUAUACUCUUUAAAUUAUCAUAAUAAUACCCUUAAUUAACUUUAACUCUUAAAAAGAAUACAUGUUAAUACACGAGUGUGUGUAACCUGAAUUGUUACUUAUAAAUUAGUGUGUAAUAGAUAGGGAUGGCAAUGGGGGCGGGUGCCCGCGGGGGGCUCUCGGGGCGGGGGUUGGGGCGGGGGGGAAUUUUUUCCCCCCGUUUAGAAAUGGGGCAGGGGACGGGGGAGUAUACCCCCGCCCCAUCCCCCGCAAAAAAAAAAUUAUAUAUAAUAUGUAAUUUAAUUAGUUAUAAACUUAUGAUAAUGAUAUUAUUAGUUAGAUGUAUUAUAUAAUGUAUAUUAGUGUAUGUAAUAUAAUUAAUAUUAUCAAUUAUAUGAAUAAUUAGACAUGUCUACUAAUAGAAUUUAUGAAUUAGUUAUACUAAAUUUACUAAUACAUUUAUACUAAAUUUCUAAUUACACUUAAUAGAAUAACACUUUUUUCUAAAACAAAAAAGCACAAACACAAUAAUGAAUUAGUGAUUGUAUGAUAGGGUGUAAUUUUACUAUUUAUUUUAUUAUUAAUUUCCCCUAUCACCUGACCUGAUGUGGAUUAAUUGCUGGAUUCUGCUCACUUUUAGUACUUUGUAUUUAUUUCAGGGAGUAGAACGGAAAUUUGAUAACAGGUGCUAAUUUGGCAGAAAAAGAGUCCAGAUGAUAGAGCUUGCCCCAAGGGCAUUUUUGGAAAGGAGAACUUGUGCCCAUCUUGGUAAUUUGGGAGAAAAGGGAAACAGACAAAAUGGGUCUAACAUGGAUUGGAAGCGGCCGCACAGUAGCAGGGAAGAGGGCAGACGUAAAAGCAAUUGCAGGGGGGAAAAGGAGUUUUUUUAGUUUUUAGCUUAGCAUCUGAUUUUCCCUGGGAGACUUUUGUUAAAGAUUUCCUUUUGGCUGAUAUUACGCAUGGCAGAUGGCUUUUAACUUAUUCCUCCAUCUUUGACUUUUCUUCUUUAGCUUGUGGCAGUGGAUUGCUACUUACGAAUGUCAGCACUUAGCCAUUCGUGGCUUUUGAUCUUUUCUUCCUUAGAAAUUCUGAGUAACCUCUUUUCCUUUGUGCGCCAGACGAAGUGAAAACUAUAAACUUUUGUAGUUUUUCUAUUCAUUCAAUAUAUUGAGACGAGUUGGAUUCUACCAAAUUUCAACGGACAUGGCCGCUGGUUUCUCUUCAAUUUUAUAUGGGCUUUGUUCAUCCAACAUGAACUAAUUUCACCACUCUAGUCAAGGAGCAACGAAGGCUCUGAUUUGCCUAAAAAUUGUGAGAUCGUUUUAAUUUAAUCUUUUCCUUUUAUUUAUUGGUAUCCGCACAUUUCUUGAUUGCUAUGCUUAUGGUUAUUUAAUUAAUUGAUUGUCUUGGAUCCAGAUAAUUAAUUGAUCUGAUAGCCUAUUGUCAAUUAGGGCAUUUAAAUCCGUAAUUGUUUAAUUGUCCUGAAAUAGUGACAACUGGCACGAUUAGAUUCGUGCCAGGGGGGAUAUGCGGGCUAAUCUAAAAUAACCCUGGUAGUGUGUUAUUUGGUUAGAAUAGGGCUCCUCUAAUACUAAGGCAAUUGGGGAAUUAAAUUCUACGGGCGUACCUAGGAUUAUUUCUUAAUUAGAGCAGUGAUUAACGGGCGUACCUUGAUCACCGACACAGUAAGGAGGGGUUGACCGUCAUCGCUUGUUUGGCAGUUAUAACCUAUUUAUCAGUAAAUAAUUGGGAUUGCCUUGCAUCAAUGAUCAAUUAGGUGAACCAUUGUUGAAGUUACUUCUUGGUUAGAUCUUUAGUUAAUAUUACCUUGAUUUUGGUGAAUUGCCAUUUGAUUUUUAGUUGCCUACUUUAUUUUAUUUUUAAUUGUUUCCUUGCUUUAAUUGAGUUAGGCCUUUAAUUAUUGUUAUUCUAAGUUUAGUGAAUUGUGGUUUAAUUCCUAAUUAGUUAUUUAUUUUUACUUUCUUAUUUGAAUUUAUUUGCUUGUUAUCAUUCCUACGAAAUCACCCCCCUGUGUUACUUUGGAUUUCUUAAGAAACAAAUAUACCCAAUCCCUGUGGAUACGACCCUACUUGCUCUGUUCACGAAUUCAUAAUUAUUUGUGAAAAGAAAUAACCAUUCCACUCGGGUAUAUCGGAUCAAGCAAAUUCUUCGGGAACAGGGUGAAUCAAGUAACCCAAUGCACACCUAGAGUCCCUGCUCCAGUACUUGGAAUUGGGUUUUGGUCAUUUUAACUGGCAAUUAGGUUUAAUUUUAUUAUUGCACAGGCUGACGACCCUGUCAAUUUUUGGCGCCGUUGCCGGGGACUGGCGUUAUUAUUUGUUUCUUUUUAAAUUCAUUCUUUGUCCUAAUUUUCUGGUUUUCUUCUAGUGUAUGCCUCGAUCUUCUCGUACAGGUAAUUUGAUUUUUGACCCUGAGGUAGAGAAGACCGCAUGUAGAACGAGAAAGGAAACCAGACAGCUCAGAGAAGAGCACUCCAGUGCUACAUCUCAGAGACCCGAGUCAGAAGUUGAACUAACAGAUUCGUUUGGUAACACUUCGAGUGACUCUGACCAGGAGGAAGACACCAUGGCUAAUGCACGAACAUUAAGGGAGUUGGCUGCUCCUGAUUUAACUCAGCAGCCUUUAUGCAUUACUUUCCCCACUUUAAAUGAUAACAUUCCAUUUGAACUAAAAUCUGGUCUGAUUCAGCUUUUACCCUCUUUUCAUGGUUUACCAGGUGAAGAGCCGUAUAAGCAUCUGCAGGAGUUUGAUGUCGUGUGUAAUAGUAUGAAACCCUCGGGAAUCACAGAAGAGCAGAUAAAAAUGAGGGCAUUCCUCUUCUCCUUGAAAGAUUCUGCGAAGGACUGGCUGUACUACCUGUCACCAGGUAGCAUCACCACGUGGGACCAAUUGAAGAAAAAAUUUUUGGAUAAAUAUUUUCCUGCGUCCAGGGCUGCAAGUCUAAGGAAAGAAAUUUGUGGGAUCAAGCAGCAUCCAGGGAAGUCACUUUAUGAGUAUUGGGAACGGUAUAAGAACUUGUUGCGCAGGUGCCCCCAACACCAAAUAAGUGAGCAAUUGAUCAUACAGUAUUUUUAUGAGGGGCUCCUUUUUAGAGACAGGAGCAUCAUUGAUGCCAGGGGGGAGGGUUGGGAUGGGUGGUACGGGGGGAGGGAGUGUAAGCAAGAGGUCUCGGGUUCGAGUCCUCCCGCUUACACACAAAAAAAAAGAUGCUGCAAGUGGAGGGGCACUGGUAAACAAAACCCCUCAGGAAGCACGGGAGUUAAUAGAGGGGAUGGCAGAGAAUUCACAACAAUUCAGUACAAGAGAGGAUGUCCCAAUACGUAAGGUGAAUGAGGUAGAGACACCCUCUAUGCAGCAGCAGCUAACUGAGUUGACCGCGUUUGUUAGGCAACUGGCUGUGAGAAAUGCAUCACAAGCCAGGGUGUGCGGGAUUUGCACUGGUAUGGGUCAUUCUGCAGACAUGUGCCCAAUGAUUCAGGAAGAAACUGCAGAACAGGUGAACAUGGCUGACCACGCGCCCGCGCCAAGGAAGCAGUACGACCCUUACUCAAGCACCUACAACCCCGGGUGGAGAGAUCAUCCCAACCUCAGUUAUGGAGAAAAUAGGCAGCCCAACAUUACACCGAACAGGCAGUCUAACUUUGUGCCAAAUAGGCCACCAGGGUACCAGCAGCAAUAUCAACCCCGACCACCUCCGUCCCCAAGCUCUGGCCCAUCUUUGGAGGAGAUGAUGAAACAAAUGAUGACAACUAUGGCUCAAAAUCAGCAAAUGACGGAGGCAACCAUUAUGCAAAAUCAGCAAAGGACGGACUCCGAAAUGAAGGAUAUAAGGAAUCAGAUAAGUCAAAUGGUCACAACAAUCAACCGUUUGGAUUCCCAGAACCAAGGUAAAUUGCCAUUUCAGCCCGAAUUAAAUUCGAAGAACGUGAGCGCAAUGACCCUAAGGAGCGGGAAAGAAAUUCAGGGGUCUGAACCUGUGAUCCCUAAGGAUAAGGAUGAGGAAAAGAUCGAAAAUGAGCUUGAAAGGGAGGACAGCAAUGGUGCAGAUCUAAAGGUACUUCCUGACCCAAUAAUUACAGCUAAAACUAACCCGCCUCCUUUUCCUAGCAGGUUGGAAAAAUCGAAAAAAGAGGAUAAGGAGAAGGAGAUCUUGGAGGUUUUUCGCAAGGUUGAGAUAAAUAUCCCCCUCUUAGACGCAAUCAGACAAGUACCAAAAUAUGCCAAGUUCCUAAGGGACUUGUGUGUCAACCGAAGGCAGUUGAGGGAAGAUGAACGGGUUAUUGUUGGGGAGAAUGUGUCAGCAGUCCUGCAGAGAAAGCUCCCACCAAAGUGCGGGGACCCAGGUAUGUUUACUAUUCCCUGUAGGAUAGGUAAUACUGUGAUAGAAGGGCCAUGUUGGAUCUGGGAGCAUCAAUUAAUCUCAUACCUAAAUCUAUCUAUGCUUCUCUAAAAUUAGGUCCAUUAAAAGAAACUGGAAUAAUCAUUCAAUUAGUUGACCGAACUAAUGCAUAUCCUGAUGGGUUGGUUGAAGAUGUGUUGGUAAAAGUUAAUGAUUUGAUGUUUCCAGCUGAUUUUUAUGUACUUGAUAUGGAUGAUGAUCACUCCCCUGAUCCCUCACCUCUGUUAUUGGGUAGACCCUUUAUGAGCACAGCACAGACGAAAAUUGAUGUUAAUAAGGGUAUCUUGUUCAUGGAGUUUGAUGGGAAAAUUGUGCAUUUCAAUAUCUUUGAUACUAUGAAAUAUCCCUCAAACUCCAACUUUAGCACAGUUUUCUCUGUGAGUGCUAUUGACCCUGUAGUGCAGGAAGUGUUUGAAACUGAUGGCAGGGAUGAGUUGGAGGUGGCUUUGACCAAGCACCUCGAGUUGGAGACAACUCCUGAGGUGGAAUGGAGCGAGGACCUAAAAUGCACAAUAGGUGCAUUACACUCAUUGCAGUCCACCACGAAAAGGUAUGAAGUCUUACCUAUUUUUACUCCCGAACCUCACCAGAGGGUGUUGCCAUCUGUGGUGCAGGCACCUGUACUAGAAUUUAAACCUCUAUCAGAGCACCUGAAAUAUGCAUAUCUGGGUGAUAAUGAGACACUCCCGGUGAUUAUCUCAUCGACACUGUCAAAAAUCCAGGAGGAGAAACUGAUCCGGGUCCUUAGAGAGCAUAAAGAGGCGAUAGGUUGGACAAUCGCAGAUAUUAAGGGGAUCAGCUCGGCCAUCUGUAUGCACCGGAUUAGACUAGAAGAGGAUGCCAAACCUGUUAGGCAGGCUCAAAGGAGGCUCAACCCCCUAAUGAUGGAAGUUGUAAAGAAAGAAAUUUUAAAAUUGCUAGAUGUGGGGAUUAUUUUUGCAAUAUCAGAUAGCCCUUGGGUAAGCCCGAUCCAGGUAGUCCCAAAGAAGGCAGGGGUGACGGUGGAGGCAAACCAAACGGGUGAGCUCGUGCCAGUGCGCAAACCCACUGGAUGGAGGCAGUGUAUAGACUACCGUAGGCUAAACGCCGUCACCAAAAAGGACCAUUUCCCUCUCCCUUUCAUUGACCAAAUGGUUGAACGUUUAGCUUGUAGAGCUUAUUAUUGCUUUUUGGAUGGAUUUUCAGGAUACUUUCAGAUAGCAAUUGCUCCAGAGGAUCAAGAGAAGACAACCUUCACGUGCCCGUUCGGGACCUUUGCUUAUAGACGAAUGCCAUUUGCGUUGUGCAAUGCACCUGCAACAUUCCAGAGGUGUAUGGUAAGUAUUUUUUCUGAAUAUGUGGAGAAAAUUAUUGAAGUUUUCAUGGACGAUUUCAGUGUGUAUGGUGAUAGUUUUGAUACGUGUUUAGAUAAUCUGAAAUUGAUCCUGAUAAGGUGUAUAGAGACUAAUCUUGUGCUUAAUUGGGAAAAAUGUCAUUUUAUGGUUGAGCACGGGAUAGUCCUGGGUCAUAUUGUAUCGUCUAAGGGCAUAGAAGUUGACAAGGCUAAAAUAGAUAUUAUUUUUGCAUUACCUUACCUCGCGAGUGUGCGGAAGGUGCGUUCUUUUCUUGGACAUGCAGGUUUUUAUCGAAUGUUCAUCAAGGAUUUUUCAAAAAUUGGAGCCCCGUUAUUCCAACUCCUACAAAAGGAUGUGACCUUCGAAUUCGAUGAUAAGUGUGAGGAAGCCUUCAACAAGUUGAAAGAAUUGUUGACCUCACCCCCAAUUAUCCAGCCCCCUGAUUGGAGUCUACCAUUUGAGAUCAUGUGCGAUGCCAGUGAUCAUGCCGUAGGGGCUGUAUUGGGGCAAAGAGUAGGGAAGGCAGCUCACGUCAUCUACUAUGCAUCCCGAGCAUUGAAUGGAGCCCAAUUGAAUUACUCCACUACUGAAAAGAAGCUUCUUGCAGUUAUUUUUGCUUUAGAAAAAUUCAGGUCAUAUUUGCUAGGUGCUAAAGUAAUUGUAUUUUCUGACCAUGCAGCAUUAAGGUACCUAAUGACCAAGAAAGAUGCCAAACUGAGGCUCAUUAGGUGGAUAUUGCUACUGCAGGAAUUUGACCUGGAGAUACGGGAUAAAAGGGGCUCAGAGAAUUUAGUAGCUGACCAUCUGAGUCGUAUACCCGUUGGAGAGGAUAAUGAACCAUUGAGGGAUGCGUUCCCUGAAGAGCACUUAUUUUCUUUAAAUUCUCAGUUGCCUUUGUAUGCCGAUCUGGUCAAUUAUUUGGUAACUGGUAAUUUUCCUGCAGGUUGACCAAAAUCGAAGAGGGAUAAAUUGAAGAGCGACGCCAAGUAUUUUAUUUGGGACGACCCGUACCUAUGGAAGAGGUGUGCAGAUCAAGUGAUGCGGAGAUGUGUAAGUGAAAUGGAAUUUCAAUCGAUUUUAGCUUUUUGUCAUACUUUUGCCUGUGGAGGUCAUUUGGACCCAAGAGAACUGCUCAUAAGGUUUUAGAAAGUGGAUUUUAUUGGCCUUCAUUGUUUAAGGAUGCCUAUGUGUUUUGUAAGUCAUGUGAUCGCUGUCAAAGGGUAGGUAAUAUACCCCGUAGAGAUCAAAUGCCCCAAGUCCCGUUGAUUUUUAUUGAAAUUUUUGAUGUCUGGGGUAUAGAUUUCAUGGGGUCUUUUCCUACUUCAUUUGGUUUUUUAUAUAUUUUGCUGGCAGUUGAUUAUGUGUCUAAAUGGGUGGAGGCUAAGGCCACUCGAACUAAUGACUCGAAAGUAGUUGCAAAUUUUGUCAGGUCUAAUAUUUUUGUGCGAUUUGGAAUGCCUAGUGCUAUUGUCAGUGAUAGGGGAACGCACUUUUGCAACAAAAUCAUAGCUGCGUUGUUUCGCAAGUAUGGUGUACUCCAAUGGGUCUCAACGUCGUACCACCCUCAGACCAAUGGUCAAGCGGAGGUGUCGAAUCGAGAGAUCAAGUCUAUCUUGGAGAAAAUGGUGCGCCCCGAUAGGAAAGACUCGAGUCAAAGGCUGGAGGACGCACUUUGGGCCUAUCGGACGGCGUACAAGACUCCUAUAGGGAUGUCACCGUACAGGUUGGUAUUUGGGAAGCCGUGUCACCUUCCAGUGGAGUUUGAGCACAAAGCUUUUUGGGCGAUAAAGUAAUGCAACAUGAAUUUAGAGGAAGCCGGUGCCCAACGAAAGUUGGAUUUGCAAGAAUUAGAAGAGAUCCGGAACGAGGCUUACGAAAAUGCACUAAUUUAUAAGGAGAGAAGCCGGAUAUUUCAUGAUCAACAAAUUUCAAGAAAAUCCUUUGAAGUUGGUCAGAAGGUCCUACUAUACCAAUCCAGGCUCAAGCUAUUCCCAGGUAAACUACGUUCCCGUUGGAUUGGACCUUUUCUUGUUACUCAUGUUUUUCCAUAUGGUGCAGUUGAAAUCCGGAGCGCUAAAACAGACAACAAAUUUGUGGUGAAUGGACACCGUCUCAAGCAUUACUACGAAGGAUUUUCAGGUGAAAAGGUGGAGACAAUAAGUCUAGACGCGCCACCGUGUCCUAAUCAGUGACAUUUUACUAUGUCUAGCCAAAGACAUUAAAGACAGGCGCUCAUUGGGAGGCAACCCAAUUGUCCCUUUUAAUUAUUUGUUUGAUUUCGUGUGAUAGUUUAAAUAUGUUUUCCUUGAAUUCGACUGAUUUUGGGUUUCAGUUUUCGUUUUUGCUGAAUUGUAGGUGACCUUCAGUCUUGACGCGCCCGCGUGAUGACAUGCAGGAAGCUCACGAUCAGAAUCGUCUGAAAGCUCUCUUGCCCUUUUGACGCACCCGCGUGAUGACGUGCAGGAAGCUCACGAUCAGAAUCGUCUGAAAGCUCUCUUGCCCUCUUGACGUGCCCGCGUCACGUUCGCAGGAAAGGUACGGGUUUCAAAAAUUUAAAGAAAAAAUAAUAAUAAUAAUAAUUUAAAAUUUUGAAAUUAACUUCCGUAAAAAAAAAAAAGAAGAAAAAAAAUUUCACCGUGGCUUAAAUAGAGCCUAAAGAAGAGAAAAAAGAAACAAUUUCUUUCUUUUUUUUUUCUUUUUCUUCUUUCUUCCUUCUUUCUUUCUUUCUUCUUUCUCUUUUCCCUCUCUCUUCUCCCCUGUUUCUUCUCCCCUGUCCGUCGCCCGUGCGCCCCAUCGCUGCUCCACCUCCACACGCACGCCGACGCUGCGAGCCACCUGCGACCCCAGCGCCAGAUCUGGACCAUCGCCGAAACCCGCAGCCUCCGCCACCUCCACCUGAGCUCUGCCUCGCGCGCAACCCAGCUGCUCUGCGCCCGAAGCUCCACCGCCGCCACAGCCUCCCCACGCAGCUCCCUGCUCACGCGGCCACAAGCCCAUUGGAAACGGGACAGAGACUGCCGCCGAGCCACUUGCCCGCGUGACCGCCGCUGUUUUCCACCACCUCCCUCACGCGAGCUCUUUCCCUCUCAGCAGCAAUCCACUUCACAGCGCACCCGCUGCGCGCCGUCGCAGCCCUCGCAGCUCCAGCCCGUCUGGUCUAGUCCGCCGCGCGCACCAACCACCCACGGACGCUACCCCCAUCGCUAACCCACGCGGCCUCCACUCCAGUCUGUCCGCCGCCGCUGCUCGUGUCUCCCUUGCGCACCUCACGCCACCCGCUACUGUCCCCUUCCGUUUGGUUAGCAUCCACGGUGGAGGUAAUUGGAGGUUAUUUUCUCAAUUGUGUGACUUCCGCCUGUGAUACUGGUUGCAUUAUUUUUGCUGGGAAUUGCUACUUCUUUUGGGUUGGGUUCAACUGUGCAAUUAAUUGGCCAACUGGAGCCAUUUGUUGGGAUUUUGGGUGAGCUGAAAUACUGCAUUUGUGUGUUACAUUGGGAGGUUUAUUGGGUACAUUCUAACCGCUGUUUUCCAUUGUUACUCUCGCUGGGGUGUCUAUUAAAUUGCGAUUGAAGUAUUUUGGAUAUUGCAUGUUGAGAUUGAGGUUUCAUUGAAUUUGGCCUACGUUCUGCCCCCAGUGGUACUGGUGGGAAUAUUUUCAAUUGAAUUUGUUACCUCUAGUUGGUUGGCUACAUUAUUAUGGUCGAAUUCCUAAGUUGUCGUCAUUGCAUUUGUUGAUCUUGAUUUGGGGCAUUAACCGGCCAACUGGAGCCAUCUGUGCGUUUUUAGGCGCUAUUAUUGGUUUCUUCUCCCUUAACUUUGUCAACUAUAUUUGGUUGGGUAUUUGGUUGACUGCCACGGACUUGUAACUGUGUUUUGCUUCUAAUUGACCAGUUGCACAGCAGUUUUUUUUUAAUUGAUAGGGUGGUUAUACCUCUGGAUAUUUGUAUCCACUGGUUUGAGGACAUGGUGAGACCAAAAUCCUCCUCUAGGUCUAGGACCCCUAGAACCUCGCAAUCCCAACCCCAAGCCUCUACUCUAGUCAAUACCCCUAUAAAUCAACCUACUGCUCCCGGUGUCCGAACCUGGUUAGGUAGGGGUAGAGGUGCCCACGUGGCUUCCGCCACUCACUUGGGAGGGCAUUUGGAAUUCACUAGAGCCGCCGAUCAGCGACGCUAUGCUCAAGCUUGUGAGCGGCGUAUCAUUCCGUGCAAAUGCGCGGACCACAUUACUAUGGUUUUUCUGGGGAUCCAAGGGGAGGUUGAGCGCAUGUACACCGCCAUUGGAUGGCGCCCCUAUCUGGAUAUUUUCCAGCCAGCCUUUGUCGAGUUGACUAGAGAGUUUUACACCACUUUUAAGUUUGAAUUACCGACUAGGUAUACUGUUGCGACUCCCGAUAUCAUUCACUUCCGUCUCAUGGGCCAGGAAUUCAAUUUCUCUAUCACCCAGUUCAAUCUGGCUUUCGGUUUCAUCACUCGGGAGUAUGCAGAGACUAGGGAAUACGGUGAGAGUGCCUGCGAUUUUGUGGAACCUUUCCUUACCGCCUACCGUGAGGUGUGGGAGGACAUGUCUGUGGACAUGCAGCGUUACGAUCCCUCUCGGUCUCGGAGCUCCUUUCUAGAGGACCCGAGUGCUCGGUAUGUUCAGCGGCUUUUAGCAUAUAGCUACUCGGGCAGAAAGAACAGCUUCGGUAUUAUCUCUCGGCCGGAGCUCUUCUUCCUUUGGUGUAUGAAGAAUGGGUUCAAGGUCAAUUUGGGUUGUUGGUUGGCGGCACAGUUCAAGACCGUCAUGGCAAAGAAGAACAAGCCGUUGAUUCUUGGGUCGUAUAUCACGUACUUGGCGGUCCAGCUAGGCGUUCUGAAUCUACAGGAUCACGAUUUGCACUUGGCCUGCGACAUGGAGUAUCUCACUGCUGACCGGCUAGAGAAGAUGGGGGUUCUGGAGCUUGUCGAUGGCCACUACCGAUUUGUGCCCCCGGGACCGCCCCGCGCCCCGCCUCGCUCUUCCUCCACCCAUUCGGCCCCAGUUGGCGGUGAUCCUGGCCCGUCGACAUCCGCUCAGCUCCCUCCACCAGCAGGGGCUGAAGAUUGGCACCAAAUCAGGACGCAGAUUCAGAAUUUGGACGCCCGGAUGAUUAGCAUCGAGAGCAACGUGGCGGCUAUAUCACAGAAUCUGGCGGCAUUCCUGCAGCACUCGGGUUUCCCGCCCCCAAUCCCACCUCACCCUCCACUAUGACCCGGUUUCAGGGAAGUUUGGUUACUUUCUCCCUCACUUUUGUUGUUUUUUGACACAUUGAGGACAAUGUGUCCUAUAGGUGUGGGGGGGUCUAUAGUCUUUCUAGUUUUUAGUAGUUGUUAGUUUUUAGUUUUUUAGUAGUUUUAGUUUUAUUUCUAGUUGCGUAUUUUCUUUCUUUUCUUAGUGCUUAUUCCCCAUGUGAAAAGAAAAAGAAAACAAAAAAAAAGAGAAAAAAAUGUUGGUUUAUUGACUCUAACUCUACUUUUGCCAAGUUUUUUUUAAAUAAAAAUGUAUCGGGUUAAUGUGGUUGGAUCCAGAAUAUCUCCCUGGUGAAUAUCGGAUUGCUUGGCUCUUUUGAUUUCUGUGUUAAUUUCUCUAGGCAUAGGGAAUGACUGUUGGCAUUUUAAUGUGAACUGGUCCAAUAUUGACUCCAGUUCUCUAUGUUUGGCAAUAAUGAGGCGAGCUGUUCCUAUUUUUGGUUCUUAGUGUUGUUAUUAUGUGUUUUUGGCUUUGUUUGGCUGUGAAUAAUCUGGACUGUACUCCGCUAUGAGUUACUACUGAGUAACCGAGGAUCGGCACCUAAAAGUGUCGAUUCUCGCGUCAAAAGGUGGUACUUUAUAUGAGUACGUGGUCGUAUAGCAGUAGGAGCUGAGUAACCGGGCUCCUUCAUCUAAAAAUGUUGGAGUUCGCGUCAAAAGGCCCCGACGGCUAACGACUAAGUCUUUUUGUGUUAAUUAUUAUUGCUUUGAAAAACAAAAAAAAAAAAGAACGAAAAAAGAGAGAAUAAAUAAUAGGAAGGCUUGCCGGUUUAUGGACUUAAUAUGGAGACUUGUGUGAAUAUUUGGACCAUUAGCUAAUAAAUGUUGUGCGCCAUUCCCUUUUCUUAGAGUAGUUAACCUGGAAAUUGAAGGAAUUUGCAGUUUAGGGGCUAACCGGGGGGGAGGCUUCUUGGAUUUUAAUCACCAAUGCUCGAUAUAUGUUUUUCUCUUGAAGAUCUUGGCAAUAUAGGAGAUUGGACAAUGGCCAUCAUCGAAUUUUGGUGUUCGUUUACUAUUCUUAUGCUUGAGGACAAGCAUGGUUUAGGUGUAGGGGGAAUUGAUAGGGUGUAAUUUUACUAUUUAUUUUAUUAUUAAUUUCUCCUAUCACCUGACCUGAUGUGGAUUAAUUGCUGGAUUCUGCUCACUUUUAGUACUUUGUAUUUAUUUCAGGGAGUAGAACGGAAAUUUGAUAACAGGUGCUAAUUUGGCAGAAAAAAGUCCAGAUGAUAGAGCUUGCCCCAAGGGCAUUUUUGGAAAGGAGAACUUGUGCCCAUCUUGGUAAUUUGGGAGAAAAGGGAAACAGACAAAAUGGGUCUAACAUGGAUUGGAAGCGGCCGCACAGUAGCAGGGAAGAGGGCAGACGUAAAAGCAAUUGCAGGGGGGAAAAGGAGUUUUUUUAGUUUUUAGCUUAGCAUCUGAUUUUCCCUGGGAGACUUUUGUUAAAGAUUUCCUUUUGGCUGAUAUUACGCAUGGCAGAUGGCUUUUAACUUAUUCCUCCAUCUUUGACUUUUCUUCUUUAGCUUGUAGUAGUGGAUUGCUACUUACGAAUGUCAGCACUUAGCCAUUCGUGGCUUUUGAUCUUUUCUUCCUUAGAAAUUCUGAGUAGCCUCUUUUCCUUUGUGCGCCAGACGAAGUGAAAACUAUAAACUUUUGUAGUGUUUCUAUUCAUUCAAUAUAUUGAGACGAGUUGGAUUCUACCAAAUUUCAAUGGACAUGGCCGCUGGUUUCUCUUCAAUUUUAUAUGGGCUUUGUUCAUCGAACAUGAACUAAUUUCACCACUCUAGUCAAGGAACAACGAAGACUCUGGUUCGCCUAAAAAUUGUGAGAUCGUUUUAAUUUAAUCUUUUCCUUUUAUUUAUUGGUAUCCGCACAUUUCUUGAUUGCUAUGCUUAUGGUUAUUUAAUUAAUUGAUUGUCUUGGAUCCAGAUAAUUAAUUGAUCUGAUAGCCUAUUGUCAAUUAGGGCAUUUAAAUCCGUAAUUGUUUAAUUGUCCUGAAAUAGUGACAACUGGCACGAUUAGAUUCGUGCCAGGGGGGAUAUGCGGGCUAAUCUAAAAUAACCCUGGUAGUGUGUUAUUUGGUUAGAAUAGGGCUCCUCUAAUAUGUAAGGCAAUUGGGGAAUUAAAUUCUACGGGCGUACCUAGAAUUAUUUCUUAAUUAGAGUAGUGAUUAACGGGCGUACCUUGAUCACCGACACAGUAAGGAGGGGUUGACUGCCAUCGCUUGUUUGGCAGUUAUAACAUAUUUAUCAGUAAAUAAUUGGGAUUGCCUUGCAUCAAUGAUCAAUUAGAUGAACUAUUGCUGAAGUUACUUCUUGGCUAGAUCUUUAGUUAAUAUUACCUUGAUUUUGGUGAAUUGCCAUUUGAUUUUUAGUUGCCUACUUUAUUUUAUUUUUAAUUGUUUCCUUGCUUUAAUUGAGUUAGGCCUUUAAUUAUUGUUAUUCUAAGUUUAGUGAAUUGUGGUUUAAUUCCUAAUUAGUUAUUUAUUUUUACUUUCUUAUUUGAAUUUAUUUGCUUGUUAUCAUUCCUACGAAAUCACCCCCCUGUGUUACUUUGGAUUUCUUAAGAAACAAAUAUACCCAGUCCCUGUGGAUACGACCCUACUUGCCCUGUCCACGAAUUCAUAAUUAUUUGUGAAAAGAAAUAACCAUUCCACUCGGGUAUAUCGGAUCAAGCAAACUCUUCGGGAACAGGGUGAAUCAAGUAACCCAUUGCACACCUAAAAUCCCUGCUCCAGUACUUGGAAUUGGGUUUUGGUCAUUUUAACUGGCAAUUAAGUUUAAUUUUAUUAUUGCACAGGCUGACGACCCUGUCAUUGUAUUUGUACCAAAAGUGAAAACUUAACUAUUUUAGUUGUAUUUAUUUCAUCAUGUUGGAUUGUAUUCAAAUAAUUUUUGUUUGAUUGUUUUUAUAAGUUUCAAUUGUAAAAUUAAAAUGAAUAAUAACUUGAUGAUGUGUUGAUAUUUUAGUACUUGAUUAUUUAUUAAAAUUUAAUUAUAAUAAAAUUUUAUUAACUCAACGAGAAAAAUUUUAUUAAUCCCGUGGGGGCACCCGCGGGGAAAGCGGGGCGGGGCGAGGGGAGUGGGAGGCGGAGGACGGGGCGGGGGCGGGGGAUGGGGGAGGGGUCCCCCGCCCCAACCCCGCCAUCCCCCGUCCCGUUGUCAUCCCUAGUAAUAGACUGGCAAGCAUUGUGGUGGUCAUUGAGCAACUUAUAGGAGAAAUAGUCCUAUAAGCUGUUCAAUGACCAAUCACAACUUGCUAAUUGGAUGACUAAUAUAGCUCUAGCUGUAAUGUUUUAAUUAAAUUACAUCACUAACGUUGGGAUGACUUUUUAACCAAAAAAAAAAAGCCUUAGUUCAAGCUUUUCCCUUUAUUGUGCAUUUUUUAAAGCAUUUGAAAGGCACUGCAAAUCUGUCAUUUUGGACAUUUUAUUAUUGACUAACAAUGAAAGCCGUGGACGUCUACCCAUAACCAACACAAGAUUAAAUUAAUAUUAGAAAAAAUAAUUGAGUAAUUGGAAAAAAAAAAAAAAGAAGAGUCUAAUUUUCAUUGAAACCCACCGACAAACUAUACGUGUCCAUGGCUUUUGAAUAGUGCAUUCAACGUUUAAUUGUAUGGUCCAGUUCAUUGCAGAUUACAUGGAGUAAAGAUUGCGCUCUUUCCUUUUCACCCCUUUUGGAAUCGAUACUGUGGAGAAUUGGGUUUUUCCCUCCUUUUUUUCUUUUCUUUCCUUCUGUGGUUUGCAAAACAUACGUAAAAAUAUGAAAUCCGAAGCAUUCUUUAAUUGGUAUUAAGUAUUGUUGUUGAAAUUAAAAAGAAAAAAGAAAGAACAACAAAAUUCCCAAUCUGGGUUGAUUGUUGAGCUCUAGAUUGGUUGCAUCGUGCUUCCAUAGAAGCAAGAUUUGUAAAAUCGGAAUCCUACAUAGGAUCGAUUUUAGUUUCACAGGAUCGGAUUGUAAAAUCGUAAGAUCCUACCAAAAGCUCUCAAUUGCAAUUAAAGGUUGCAAUUCUUUAAUAAAUUACAAAUAUACCACAAAUAUUUUCAUUUACUUGCAAAAUGGAGCUUCGUAUUUCACAAAUUUACAAAAAAAUUGUAGGAUCGUACGAUCCUACCGAUCCUACGAUCCUACACGAUCCUACCGAUCCUGCUACGAUUCUAUGCGAUCCUACAAAGAUUAAUAUGAUUUGCGACUCUGCAUACGAUCCGGAUCGAUUUUGGUUAUCCGGAUCGUAGGAUCGUAUGAUCCUACGAUCCGGAUCGCGAUUUUGACAACUAUGCAUAGAAGCUCUCUUAGUGUGAUACACUGCUUUCAAUCAGUUUAACACGGGAAAAAAAAAAAGAGAUGAAAAGCAAAUUUGGUGGAGAUAAUUUCAGAAACCUCCCCUGAAGAUUUUGACUAUUCUACUGGUUUCCCUUCAGAUUUUAAAAAUUACACUAAUCUUCCUUGAAGUUAAUUAUCUUGUAACAUUUAAAUUCAAUCAAUAAUUUAAAAAAUGAUAUUAUGAGAGAGAAAAUAAUAUGAUUUUAUCAUUGCCCCCCAUCUUACUACAUUAUUUAAUUAAUUUAAUAGCAACCCACACAUUAAAGAAAAAUAUUAAAAUUUGUUGUUUAUCAUUAAAGAUCAAAUCGCUUAUAACAUCAAAUAAUAGUAUAUUAUUUAUAUUUUUCACUUAAUAUAAUAUCCAAAUUACUCUUUUCAAUUACAUACCCAUUGUUAGAGAAUCAACAACAAAUAACCAAAAAAUUUGCAACCAAAAUAUUACAAAAAAAAUAAACUUUAACAUCAUAAAUAUUCUUAUCAACAUAUUAAAGUUAGUUACUGAAAUUUUUAUGCUGUUAAACUUCACUCUUUUUGAAUACAGAUUUUUUUGAUUAUUUGUUAUUAAUUAUGUUUGAUGAUGGGUUUAUAAUUGAAAAGAACAAUUUGAAACUUACAUUAAGUAAAAUAUAUAGAGUGAUAUACUAUUUUUUAUAACAUAUGUGAUUCAAUCCUUCUUGAUAGGAUUGGUAAUAGAGGUAGAGGGGGGAGUCGGCUGCAUCCGGUCUUCUUUUCAUAGAUAGUACAAUAUUGCGAAAUCAAUCGCAUUCACACAAUAAUAUUUCGAAGUCAAUGCAUGGCUAAGUUGCAUAAAAGUACGAACACUUGUUAUUAUAUAGCUUAAGAUUCAAAACUUUCGAGCAUAACCCUCCACCCAACACAAUUGAAUAAUGAAUAUUCACGAUUGUCAAAUCUGUCAAAGCACAGUUUGAGGACAACCCAUUCCAACCUGCAAAAGAUUUUUUACUUUUCUAAAGUUGUUGAGAGCUGUAAAAAGACUUACCAUGCUUGCAUCCUCCGAGCCUUGGGAGUUAAAAAUGAAGGCACUGAGUGCUAUAAAAAGGGGAAUAGAGGCUGCCUAGAAGCAUAUCAGCCUAAAACAAGAAUUUGUAGUUAAGAUGGGAAGCAAAGCAAAAGCAAUGGGGUCUGGGCUGACUCCUCUUCUUGCCACUGUUUUAGUGGUGUUUGUUGCUCUUGGCUUGCCCUCACAAACUGCAGCUGAUGAUCACUACAAGUAUUCAUCUCCUCCUCCUCCUUACCACUAUCCCUCACCACCACCACCAGUGCAUAUACCUCCACCUCAUCCUGUUUACAAGUACAAAUCUCCACCACCCCCACCACCACACCCAGUUUACAAGUAUAAGUCACCACCACCACCUCCUCAUCCGGUAUACAAGUAUAAGUCUCCUCCGCCACCACCACACCCAGUUUACAAGUACAAGUCACCACCACCACCUCCUCAUCCGGUACCACACCCAGUUUACAAGUAUAAGUCACCUCCACCACCUCCUCAUCCGGUACCCACAGUUUACAAGUAUAAGUCACCACCACCACCUCCUCAUCCGGUAUACAAGUAUAAGUCUCCUCCGCCACCACCACACCCAGUUUACAAGUAUAAGUCACCACCACCACCUCCUCAUCCGGUGCCACACCCAGUUUACCACUACAAGUCACCACCACCACCUCCUCAUCCGGUACCACACCCAGUUUACCACUACAAGUCACCACCACCUCCUCACCCAGUUUACAAAUACGAGUCUCCACCACCACCAGUUUAUAAGUACAAGUCACCACCACCUCCUCCACCAGUUUACAAGUAUAAAUCUCCUCCACCACCACCACCAGUUUACCACUACAAGUCUCCACCACCUCCUCCCCCAGUUUACAAAUACAAGUCUCCACCACCUCCUCACCACUACUAAGCAAUUGCUUCUGAGGUAAUAACACUUGUUCAAUAUACCCACUUCUGCAUGAUAAAGCAUAUCUCUAUCAACACAAACUGUCAUGUCUAUCAUGCUAAGUGCCUUCACUUCAUCCACCAAAAUGACUGCUAGAAAAUUUUUUUUAUGUUACCAAAGAAAGGCAUCAUUUUUUCCCUCUGUUAUCAAGAACUUGUACAGUAUAUAGAUUAAAGAGUAUUUUUUUAACUAGCUUAUCAACUGAGAAAUGCAUAUAGCUGAUAGCCAGCUGAAUAUUUGCAGGCAAAGGAGAAGGAAACCAUGUUUGAGACCUUCUUGAAGAUGUAGAAGCAUAAGAAUAAAAGCCCAAUGUGAAGAUGAUGAUUUCAAGUUUUUCUACGUUACCAUUUCUUUAUCUAAAUUGGUUGUAGCGCCCAAGUUCCUUUGUUUAUGGGAUUUGUAUCGUUUUACGUACCAUGCAGUACAUGUCAUGUUUGUAAGGUUUUCUAUCCUGCCGGCAAACCGCAGGUUCCAUGUGAUAAAUGAAUACUAUUUAUGUUACGACACUUUUCUCUGUUUCUCUUAUAUUUUGUCUUUAAUAUUCUUAAUCAUAUUUUUAACAAAAAUAUUCAAACACUUAGGCAAUCUGGUCUAAUGCUAAUUGUAUGUUUUACUUUUCUUUUUCACCUGCUCCCCUUUUCAACUCAAAAGGAUGCAAUAGUUUGUGAUCACUGUUUAAGACGGAAGCAUGAUACUAAUGAAUAUCUCAUUGAAACUCAAGGAAACUAACAUUGCGAAAAGUGUAAAUCUUGAUUUGAUGCAACUAUUUAUUCGUGGAAUCUAUAGUUACAAAACUCAAAUUCUGACUGCGCCAUUGAUAAAUUAUUAAUGACGCUAUCAUCAUUAUUUAUCCCUAACUAGUUUCGACUACAACUGAACCCAAUAUUUUCCCCAUGAUAAAAGUUUUUGACUAUUUUACUGGCCUCUCUUCAAAUUUUAAAAAUUACACUAAUCUUCAUUGAGAUUAAUUAUCUUGUAACAUUUAAGUCCAAUUAAUAAUUAAAAAAUGAUAUUAUGAGAGAGAAAAUAAUAUAAUUUUAUCAUUGCCCCCCAUCUUGCUAUAUUAUUUAAUUAAUUUAAUAGCAACCCACACAUUAAAGAAAAAUACUAAAAUUUGCUGCUUUUCAUUAAAGAUCAAAUUGCAUAUGCCAUAAAACAUAGUAUAUCAUUCUAUAUGUUUCACUUAAUGUAAGAUCCCAAUUGUUCUUUUCAAUUACAAACCCAUUGUCAAACAUGAUCAAUAACAAAUAAUCAAAAAAUUUGCAACCAAAAUAUUACAAAAAAAAACUUUAACAUCAUAAAUAUUCUUACCACCUCUAGUGCAUUCACCCUCAUAAAAUAAUUCAAGACCCUACUGUCAUAAAAUGACUGAUCAACUCCUGUAAACCUAAUUUGACAACAUUUAAAUGGAGAACUUUAGCUAAAAGAAUUAUGGUCAAGCUAAAGAAAAAACCAGUUAUUUUCCAACAUAUGCAACCAUUGAUCAGGGGAAAAAAAAAAGCAAAAAGACAUCUUCAAUCAUUUAAUAGCUUACAGGGCAAAUUAACCCUUGAGUGAAAACUGGUUGCUCUAGAAUUAAAAUUUUACCUUAGUUACCCAGGCAACUUUUUUGUUGCCUUUUCUUUUUCUUUUUUGGGUAUAUAGCUCCAGUUUUGCCCCCUCUGUCAAGCUUAUAUAAUUAUUAAGAUAAUAAAAGUGCCUUUAAUAGUAUUAAUAUAUCCAUUGACUUGAGCUGUCAUCGAUCGGUUUGGGCUACUUCGAUUCCAUGAGAACAAAUGGUAAUAAAAGUACUCAGAAAAUGGGGAGUCAUGAAACCCUUUUGUUCUAUUCAUUGCUAAGAUGCUUUUCUCUAUAAAGAGACUUCCUAACGAAAAUACUUUGUAGAUUUCUUUACUCCAAGUGGUGCAUGGAAAAUUAAUAUUUUCAAUUAUCAAAUAAAAUUCCCUUUUUUCGGCGUAGAUUUCAUCCAUCCAGCUGUUAACACAUUCUAUAAAUCCGAAUUGACUAAUCUUUUCGUUUCCAUUUUCCAACUUGCGAAUACGGCAUAUAGUGUCUGCUAAACACUAUAUAUUCUCUGCCAAAUAUGAAUACAUAUCACUUUUCUGAGCAAGUGCAGAGUCAUUAUCAUUUUUAUUCCCACCUAACAAAUUAGGGAUAAAAAAGUUAAUAAUCUUUACAUGCUAUCAGGUCACAAGUUAAUAAUCUUUUAAAGAACAUGUUAAAUUAAUUUAUUGGUAUGAAUAGUAGUCAAAGAAGUAUGUUAAAGUUAGUAAUCUUUAAAAUAAUAUGUUAAAAUCAUUCGUACAAAUUAGUCAGAGAAGUAGCAUAAACACCGCGAUGCAAUUAAUACUUUCAAUCUCAAGGUCUCUAUUAUGGAAAUUUGCAUCGGUCAAUAUACACUUGGCAUAAUAUAAUCUCCCAACUCAUUUCUUUACAAAUGCACCUUUAAUCACCACCAAAAGGUGUGGACAUGAUCUUUACCCUAGAAAACUAUUCACCGACAGGCAAAUUGACGUCAGAAAUACUGAGGAAUUCUAGUUUCCUUCGGGUUCAUGCCAUGUUGUAUCCUUCAACUGUAACUCGAUUUCUAAGCUGUAAUUUGUGACAUAAUAGUCCUUAAACUAUGAAACCCUUCUUACUUAAUUACAAUGGUUAAUACAAUGCCCGUGACUAGACAAGUAUGAAGCAACCAUAACAGAAAAAAAAUCCAAAAUUAGAGAAAAGAAAGAAGUUUCGCGACCACCACCAGUUUACAAGUCACCUCCACCACCUCCUCCAGUUUACAAGUCACCUCCACCACCUUACCAUUAUUCCUCACCACCACCUCCAGUGCAUUCACCCCCACCACCACCAGUUUACAAGUCUCCGCCACCACCUUACCAUUAUUCCUCACCACCACCUCCUGUGCAUGCACCUCCACCACCAAUUUACAAGUCACCUCCUCCAGUUUACAAGUCUCCACCACCACCUUACGAUUAUUCCUCACCACCACCUCCAGUGCAUUCACCCCCACCACCACCAAUUUAUAAGUCUCCCCCACCGCCUCCCCCAGUAUAUAAGUCACCACCACCACCUCCUCCAGUAUACAAAUCACCUCCACCACCUCCUCCAGUUGACAAAUCUCCACCACCACCAAUUUAUAAAUACAAGUCUCCUCCACUACCUCCUCCAGUGUACAAGUCAUCACCACCACCUGCUUACAAGUCUCCACCUCCUCCAGUUUACAGUUCCCCACCACCACCAAUCUACAAGUCUCCACCUCCACCCUACCAUUACUACUACAAUUCUCCUCCUCCUCCUCGUCACUACUAAGCAAUUGUAUCCAAGUUUUUGAGGUAAUAACGCUUAACCAAUAAAUUAACUUUCGCAUGAUAAACCUUAUCUCUAUCAAGACAAACUGCCAUGUGUAUCAUGCCAAAUACGUACACCUAGAUCCAUGAAAAUGAAUGGUAGAAAGUUUUCUUAAGAACCAAGAACAGCAUUAGUAUUCCCUCUGCUUCCAAAAACUUGUGUAUUAAAUAGAUUAAUGAAUUGUUUAACAUGCUCAUCUACUUGAAAAUGCACAAUACCCAUAACCCACUGAAAUUUUUGCAGGAAAAGGGAAAGAGAAUCUGUGUUUGAGAGCUUCAUGAAGAUGUUGAAGAAUAAGAAUAAAAGCCCAAUGCAAGGAUGUUUUCAAGUUUUUCUAUGUUUCCACUUUAAUUUGUAAAUUGAAUUUUGCGACUCAAUUAAUUCCCUGUUUGUGAGGUACGUAUUGUUUUACGUACCAUGCCGUACAUUUUUUUUUUCCAACAAACGGUAUCAUGUUAUAGAUAUUAACACUUGACCUUACAAGGAUUAGUUACAAAAAGGGGAUACUACCCUCAACUCUGUCCUAGCUAAAUCAGUCAGCCAUAUUGGGAAAUUAGUUUCCCAUUCAAUAUCAUGUACAAGCUUCACAGCAUAUUGUGCUAAUUGAUGGCUGAUGUGAUUUUCAGUUCUAGGUAUAAACACAAAAGAACAUUUUUCAAAAGCUAGACUAAGUUCCUGCACAUCUUCUAAGAUAGUUGCAGUCGUGUAGUCAUACUCCUUGCGUUUAGUAAUCUGCUCUACCACUGAUUUGCAGUCUGUAUGGACUAUAAUUUGUGUCCAACCUGCUUGGGUAGCCAUCAGCAGAGCAUUUCUCACAGCCCGAGCUUCCACUUCACUUGCCGAUCCCUUUCCCUGUGUGACAAUUCCUUUUGCUUUCAAAAGCUGUCCUUUCCAAUUUCUUGCUAUAAUCCCUUGUCCGGUCCUGACUCGUUUAGCUGAUAUCGCUGCAUCGGUAUACAGCCUUAUCUCUUCCUUCCUUGGCCGCACUCUCCUGGUAGGUAAGGCAUCAUUCAGCUUCCCUGCGAUCUCCUUCUGGUCUGUACUCCCUACCUGUUCAAACUCAAGCCAUUCCUCCUGUGCUUUCCUUACUAUUUUUACUGGAUCCUGGUUGGCUUGUUCAAAAAAUUUUUUGUUCCUGGCUUUCCAAAUUUGCCAAAGGAUAUUGAUAGUAAGACUAACUCUCUCCUGACCUUGGUUCAGUGCCAGCGAUUGUGUGACUUGUUCCCACCAUAACCAAAAGUUAUAUUGCAUACCCAGUAAUCCAUCCCACCUGACCGGUGCUAGCUUCCACGUUUCCACAGCCUUUUCACAGAAGAAAAACAAAUGCUCAAUAGUUUCCAUAUCUUCACCACAGCAACCACAUCUGCCUUCCCCUCUAUGUAGCCUUUUCGACAUCUGUUCAUUGACUGGCAGACAAUUUUGUAAGCACUUCCACAUGAAGUGUUUUAGUUUGGCCUUCACCUUCAAAUGCCAUAGCUGCUUCCACACAUUUCGUUUUCGUAUCUCCCAACUUGUUUCUGCCUCUUGGCCUGUCCUUGUACCUGCUUUUCCUUCCCGUUGCCUUGCUAAAGCAUAACCAGAUUUCACGCUAUAAAUUCCAGCUUUGGAAUGCCCCCAUACCAACCUAUCCUUUCUUCUUCCUAUACUUGUUGGAAUUCCCUUUAUGUGCUCUGCAUCUUUUGCACAAAACCACUUGAGAAGCAAAUCAUUUUUCCAUUUCCCUUCCUCUAUCAGCUCACUUACCCAUUCCAACUUGCAUCCCACAGGUUGUGUGGUUGAUGCAAAGCCGGUAUCUGAACCAACUAUCCAUCUGUCCCGCCACAUGUUGACUGACUUGCCAUCUCCAAUUCUUUUCCAAAGACCAUCAUACAGAAAGGAGGCUGCACUAUGAAUACUCUUCCAACACCAUGAGGCUGAAGAGACUGGCUUCUUGUCCAUCCAUUUUUCAUCACUCAUAUACUUCGCCUUCAUUACCUUACUUACUAACAAAUUUGGAGCCAUUAAGAAUCUCCAAAUUUGUUUUGCCAGUAAUGCUGUGUUGAAGGCCUCCAAAUCUCUAAAGCCUAAACCUCCUCUUCCCUUAACUUCUAAGAGCUUCUUCCAGCUUGCCCAAUGUACACAGGUACCCUUUUCUCCCUUCCCCCACCAGAAACUCGCUAUUUUACCUGUGAUUUGUCUACACAAACCCCUUGGAAGUCUAAAGCAAGCCAUCACAUAUGUUGGCAUAGCCAUAAUCACUGAUUUGACCAGAAUUUCUUUCCCUCCUUGGCUCAACAGUUUUUGUUUCCAACCUUGCAACUUGUUACUAAUUUUGUUCUGGACAAAUGCAAAGACCUGUGUCUUUGAUCUUCCAAUUGCCAUUGGGAGUCCUAGGUAGGUUCCAUUCCUUGCCUCUUUAAUGUUAUCUAAUACCUCCCUCACUCCAUUCUUCCUUUGAUCAGUGGUAUUUUUGCUAUAGAAGAUAGCUGACUUUUCAAAAUUCACCACCUGUCCGGAUGCUUGACCAUAUCUUUCCAAUAUGCUUUUGACCUUCCUCGCCUCCUGCUUGGUUGCUUGGCAGCAUAGUAGAGAAUCAUCUGCAAAAAAUAGGUGAGAAACCAUCGGACUGUCCUUGCAUAUUUUGAUCCCUGUAAUUUCCUUGUUCAUCAUAGCUUUAUGGAUCAAACAUGAAAGACCUUCAGCGCAUAUAAUAAACAAGUACGGGGAUAGGGGGUCUCCUUGUCUAAGCCCUCUACUCGGUUGAACACAGCCUACCUUUUGCCCAUUUAAGUUGAAGGAGUAAGUCACAGUAGAUAGGCAAGACAUGAUCCAUUUAACAAAAAUUGGACAAAACCCCAUUUUCAUCAUAACUCUCCCCACAUAUUUCCAUUCGACUCUAUCGUAAGCUUUGGACAUGUCCAGUUUAAGAGCCAUAAAUCCUACCCUUCCCUUUCUCCUAUUUUUCAAAAAAUGCAGGAUUUCAUGUGCAACUACUACAUUAUCAAGAAUUUGACGGCCUGGGAUAAAAGCGGAUUGAGAGGGACUAAUACAAUGAUGCAAGACACCUUUCAAUCUAUUAGCUAUGAUUUUAGAAAUGAUUUUAUACAGGACAUUGCACAAGCUAAUAGGUCUAAAAUGCACCACAGAUUCAGGAGUAUCAACUUUAGGAAUCAACGAAAUAAUAGUAUCAUUCACAGCUUUGAGCAAAUGCCCAGUAUGAAAGAAACUCUUAAUAGCUGCUACCACAUCAUCCUUGAUAAUAUCCCAAUAGUGUUGAAAAAAUAGAGGAGACAUACCAUCCGUUCCUGGUGCUUUAUUAGGGUGCAUCGAGAACAAAGCUUUCCUGAUCUCACUUUCCUCCACUUGUCGUAUCAGUUGUCCAUUCAUAUGACUCGAAAUAGUGCUUGGAAUUUCAGCUAGAAUGUCCUCAAAGCAGUCCGGGUUAGUAGUGGUAAAAAGGUCUUUAUAGUACUCACAAAGUUCCUCCUCAAUCUCAUGUUCCUCCUUGCACCAUGUCCCAUCUUUUUUCUGCAAUAUAGUGAUCUUAUUUCUCCUCCUCUUUGCCAUGACCGAAGAAUGGAAAAAAGCUGUAUUCUUGUCCCCUUCUUUGAGCCACUUGUUCCUGGAUUUUUGACUCCAAAACAUCUCUUCCUCUGCAUAAGCUUUAUUCAAUUGUGCUUUUAGUUCAGCCACUUGUACUCUUUUCCCUUCAUCCUUUCUUGCUUUCACUUCAGCCAAUUUCUCCUUUAACACUUUAAUUCUAACCUUUGAGUUUCCCUGCACCUUUUUCCUCCAAUCCAGAAUAGCCAUGCGACAUUCCUUUAUUUUUGUAGCCACUCUAAACAUCCUGGACCCUGACUUCACCUUUGUCCAUGCUCCUUGAAUCACCCUUUUUGCUUCUGGAUUUAGCGUCCAUCGUUGAUCAAAGUAAAAUCUCCGUUUUCUCCUUGUGUUUUCCGGGUUUGUAUCCACAAGAAGCAUUAGAUGAUCAGAGGCUUCAGUAUCUAAAUGAGUACACUGUGCCUUUUCAAAUCUUUGCAGCCAUUCGGUGCUGCAUAAACAUCUAUCCAACCUCUCUUUCACUUCCCCAUCCCCCUCCCAACUAUUGCACCAAAUCCACGGGACCCCUUGAUAACCUAAGUCAACCAGGUUAUUGUCUUUGAUAAACCUGUUGAACUCCCUAAAACAUCUUUCAGCUCUAUCCCUUCCUCCCCACUUCUCCUCACUAGACCUCAAAUCAUUAAAAUCUCCUACAAUGAUCCAGCCAUCCCCCCAGUCCCUCAUCCUGUCCUCUAAAUAUUUCCAUUGUGCUUUUCUAAUGUUACUAUCUGUGCUUGCAUAAACACACACUAGCCCCCAGUAUCCUUUAGUAUCCUUGUCCUCAACUCUAGCACUAAUACACCAAUCAGUACUUACAAUCUGGUCUAAAAUCACCUCAUUGUUCCAGAAUAAUGCUAGACCGCCUGCUUUACCUAUUGAAUUCACAAAAAAGCUAUUGUCAUACUGAAUCUUCCUUUGAACCUUGCCCAUAAACCCUUCCUGAUUCUUAGUUUCACAAAGGAACACCACCUUAGGAGAGUGGAAGUUAGUCACUUCCUUUAGUUGGGGACUUGUCAAGGGGCCUCCUACACCUCGACAAUUCCACACCACAACCUUCAUUUACACUUUGGAGGCUUUCCGGGGCUAGCCUCCAUUUCCCCUAUUGUACUAACAUUUAUUAGAUCCAGUUUCAUAACCUUUACCUUCGGUACAUUAUCAUCAUCCUCCUCUAUCGGUUGUGUUCCCUGAAACAUACCAUCAGCCUUCCUUUUAGCACACGAAACCUGCGUUACUUGUCCAUUUGUAUCUGCCUUUAAGGAUGUUUUAGCCGGCCUCCCUCUUCUUUUAAAACUGCUUCUUUUUUCAGCUUUGUUAUCUUCUUCCCCUGGAGUAGCCUCCUUUCUUGGCAUUCUUGCAUUUGUCUCCUCCUGCUUUAUUGACCCUACCCGCAAACUUUCACAUUCCUGUUUUGAGCUGUCCGUUUCCAUAUCCUCAUAAUCUACUGGUGGGAUUACGCUGCUCCCUCCUUUACUCCCUUCCUGUACCCUACCCUCCUUUUCACCAUUUCCCUCCAUUAAGACCACAGCCAAACUUUCCACCCGUUGGUUUGCCUUUCCAUACUGCCUGCUGUCUUUUAGAAUCUCAUCCCACCUCUCUUCAUAUUGUCUCGUCAUCAUUUUCUCCUUAUCCCCCCUUUCCUUUCCCCCCAAGACUCUACCAUUUUUUCCCCCAAGAGUUAAUGUAUCUCCAGCCAUUUGUACUCCAGUUUGAACUUCACUACUAGGAGACCCUGCCCCCACCCUCCUUGCAUCAAUUUCACUUACUCCUUCCAGCCGUCCCUUUAAGGGAGAUACCAUUAUAUUUCCAGCUCUCAUCCAGGCACCAUAUUGUUCCUCUCGCUUCUCCCCCCCACCCUUCCUACCACAGUACAAGUCCUAUCACUAUGCCCAAUGAUACCACACCUAUAACAGAAAUCAGGGCAGCGUUCAUACCUGAACUCAACCCACACUGCCUGGUUCUUACAGUUGAUCUUUGUCCCUCUAACCAGUGGUUUCGUUAUAUCUACCUCAGCCAUAAUCUUCAUGUGGCGACCCUCUUUCCCACCACUUCCUGGGAGAAUCACUCCCCUCACUGAUUUAAAGAUCCCUCCUAUUUUCAAACCCACUGCUCUGCUCAACCAGUGCACCGGUAGGUUCCAUAGUUGAAUCCAAAGAAAGGAAUGCUGGAAAAAGCUGCUGUUUGUAUCAUACCCCUCUACCCACUCCUUCACUAUCAGCAACUGGUUGUCCAUGACCCAAGGCCCUCCAGAUAAGAUCUUUUUCUUUUCCCCUUCAUCUCCCAGAUGGAAAUGGAAUAAGUUAGGACCUAACUCAGUCACUUUCAUCUUUGAGGGGUAUCCCCAUGCAUGAUUUGUAAAGUUCUUUAACCCCGUAAAGUUGGCAAUUUUUUCACCAAUCAGCUUUCCUACCAGGCUUCCUUGACACUCAGAGACGCCUUCUUCCAGGUCCUCACCACUCAGAUCGACACCUCCUAACUCUGUUUCAGACAAGUCAAAAUUUUGAAAGGCUCUUUCUAAAGCAUCCGCCAUUGCUGUGACGAGAGCUCCUUGAGAAACCAAGCACUAUUUCUGAGCUAUGAGUGACCCACUGACAGACCUGUGAAGAAUUGCAAAGACAGACAAAGCUGUGUUAUCCGUACACACUAAAAACCAACCAGAAAAACAGAGAGGAACUCGACAGAAAAAGCACAGGCACAAGAAGAAACGAAAGAAAAAAGAAAAACCAACAAACCACUAUCCCACUCCCGACCACAUAACAGCAUUAAAGAAAGGGACACAAAUACGACACUCCAACUUCCGAUCACAUGCUCUGACUCAAUGGAUCAUAUCUUGCCCAAAGCGUUUACUCCUCCAACCGAUUCCAAACCACUACAGACAUUGUCUCCCAUUUUGAAGCCGGAAGAAAGGUGGCUUCUGGACAGGGAACAUGAAAGCAAAGGUUGAACUAAAGAUUUGAUUUUAGAUCUGAAAAUUACGCUGUAGGAAAAAGUGCUAUGUGUUUGUACCUCACCCACUCUCCCACACCGAGGAGGGGAACCUCUAAAGUUAGAGAGAGAAGCUCUCAAGUUAGAGAGAAGCUUUGGAAGUUAAUUACCAACGUACCAUGCCGUACAUGUUUGUAAGGAUUUCUAUCCUAUUGGCAAAAGUCGGUUCCAUACAAUUAAUCAAUUCAUUUCACUUCUAUUGGCUCUACUAUUUAUGCAUGUUACGACACUCUUUCCCUUAUAUUUUGCCUUUAAUAUUAUGAGUCAAUAGUAAUAAUGGGCCUUUUUCUUAAAAUUAUACUAUUAUACAUAGGUAGUUUGGUCUAACGCUAAAUUCAUGUUUGUCUUUCUUUUAUUCCCUUUACAUCUCAAAGUAUACUAUAGUUUGUAAUCAUUGUGGUGAUGAUAUUACCAGCUGGUACUUAUAGUUUAAGGCAGAGACAUGAUAUUAACAACUAUCUCAUUGAAACAUAAGUCAAAAUCAUGACAAGUGUGAGUCUUGGUUAAUGCACAAUUUGUUAGUGGAAUUUAUAUUUAUAAAACUCAAAAAAAAUUUUUGACAAUGCUAUUACUAAUUAAUUAAGGACUUCAUUGCUAUAAUUUAUCGCUUACUAAUUUAAACUAUAAAUGAUCUCAAUACUUUUCUCCAUGAUGUCGAUUUCUUUAGACUACGAAAGGGAAAAAUUAGUGACAUAUCCCUUACUGAUUACAACAUCAGCAAAAAUUAGUUAUAAACUUUUCCGGUGGUUUUAAAUCCCUCGGGCACUAAGGUUUUUUGCACAUCGAGUGAAUUAAGGAACAUAGGCAAUUCGUUCUGCAUACCAAGUCCUUGUUUAAGAUGCACGUACUAAAAUGCAUCCACUUCAUUAAUUUGGAAAAUUGCCAUAGUUUUUUUUAAGCAUUUUGAUUUUUUACAUGAUUCAAAAUUUUCUUAUUGGAUACAAUCACUUUGUGUCAAGAACACAUUUUCAAUCAUCUUUUUUAUCUUCUCAAUAAGAAAAUAAAAAUUUAUUCAUGCUUUUCUAACAUAUCCAAUCAUUGAUCUGAAAAAUAAAGAAUUAAAAAAAAAAGACAUUUUCAAUCAUUGCUUACGGGGCAACUUCCCCAUGUGAACCUCAUCAAACAAAGCCAAUAAUAUGAAGGAACAUCUAAAUACACUUUUGCCCUAAAGGCUGGUUGCCUUGGGGUCAAAAUUUAACCUUCGGGAGUAUAAUUACCCGCCAAAUUUAUUAUUUUUUUUAUGGGUAUAUAGUUCCAAUUUUGCCUCCUGUUAAGCUUAUAAAUAUAUUACGACCCAGAAAAUAAAGGAAUCUUGAAUAGUAACAUGUCCAUUGACUUGAGUUGUUAUCAAUUUGGCUACUUCGAUUCCAUGAGGCCAAUCCAAUUCACACUAGCUAGAGAAAAUGGUGAUAAAGGCACUUAGAAAUUUAUAUGUAAUAUUGAUUGGUAGUAACUGAUAAGUAUAUAUUUUACGUGUUUUAAAUAUGUUUUAUUAGUUAGUUUUGGUGUGUUUUAACUACUUUUAUAACUAAUUAACUAGGAAUCUAGUGAAAAUAUGCAUUUUGUGGUUUGAAGUGUAAAAAUUGUAUUUCUAUGGAUUUUAAUGGUGAAAACUUCAUGUUUUUGUAGGUUUAAUGAUUCAAUCAUCAAAUGACAUGAUUUGAGAAGAUAAUUAGAUGAUUGAUGAUGUUUUGAAGUGAUAAAAAGAGAAUACAAAGUGCAAGAGAGGAAAUGCAAUCAAGAAUAAAAGAAGAAAAUUUUUGUAGCUUUGACAUAUUGUCGUAUUUCGGCAAUAUAUUGAGCUACAAUGAUCGGAUUAAGGUGAUUCUUAAACCAUUUGAAGCUAAAAUAUAGAUCUACAUUUGGCAUGAAGGCAUCGAAACCCAUGUCAGUCAUUUUCCUUGUCAAAAUGUUGAAAUACAGAAGUGCAACUCUGUUCUCGAAAGCUAAAACAGAGCUCUGGCUAGUCGAGGGUAUUUUCAUCAUUUCUUAGUCCACAGAGCUCCAAAUGAGAUGAUUCUUAAGGCAUUAGAACCCUAACUCAAAGAGCUACAACUUUCAUAUUUUGUACAAGAGUUAGUUCGGCCUCUAUCAUUAAGAAAAUAGUAGUUGAAGUGGUGCCAAAUGCAUAGAAGUGAAAACGCGAGCUAUCAAUACUCGACCUGAAGUCGCGUAUUCCUGAGGUCAUGCAUUCUCUUCUAUUUUCUGCAACUUGCCCUGCUUUCACAUAACUUUUUCAUCUCAAUUCCAACUAUCAAUUUCGGCUAUAUCUGAUCAAGAAAAGUGUGGAAAGUUUGAAAGACAACUCAUAGGAGUUUCAAGAGUCAAAAAUUACAAUUAGAAACAACUCAUUUGGCUCUUGAAUCCUCUAUAAAUAGAGGCCUUUGAAGAACAUUUUCACAACUUUGGAAGGUUAGAGAAACUCCACAAAAACAUAGUCUUCACUAGAAUUUCCUUAGUUCAUUAGUUAGGGUAGUAUAGUAUAGUUAGUGUAGCUUUUCCUUCUUGUAUUUAUAGUUAGGUUUGAAUGAAGAUUCAGGAGCAAAGAUAGAGAGGUUGAUCUCAUGUGACAAGGGUGAUAUCUCUUCUACUACUUUCUCUUUUGUAUUUGAUUUCAUAUUUAACUAUACUACAAAUUUGGCUUUGUUUUUUUUUUUUUAUCAUGUUUAGUUAAAGUUUAUGCCUAGAGUAUGGAUGACCUUUUUAUAUCUUGUUUGUGAUAUUUAACUGGUUAUUUGAUGAUGUUAUUUUUGAGCAAGUUAUUUAUCACUUUUGCUUUUCUAAUCAUGAUUAACUGGCCAUUAGUUGUGAUUAUCUAAAAGUGUUAAGUUUGUAAUGAGAAUUGGAGUUUAACACUAGUUCAAGGAAGUGAUAAAUUUAGGGAGUUCACUCAUGAGAGUAGAGGAACACCUUUGUGACCUAAGUGACUUGUUUCAUAUAAUUUCAUAGAAAAAAUGAACUUGUAAUUAAUUUCAUAACCACGAGAGUAAGUAUGGUUUAGCUAUAUGUAUAGUUGAUUCACUACGAGAGUAGGUUUCACAUACAUUAGAAAAUUACAUCAUAACUAGUCAAGAUAAUAUCAUUCAUUUAAUCAGUAAUCUCAUUUGCAUGAGUAGUAAGGCAUUCCAUAUCUCUAGGAGGUUUUUAGUAUUAUUUUCAUUACUUUUAUGUUUAUGGUAGUCUAGAUAAUAAUGGAGUUCGAAAACUACUAGUAAUUGAAAAUUUUCCCUGUGGGAUCGACCUUUAAUACCCUAUACUCGCUCUCGACUCGUAUACUUGAGAAAAAUCACGUGUGCGGUAUUUAGAAUUUAUAAAUGUAAAACUUGACUGUAGAUGAACUAAUUGAUAUAUGUAUACCCCGCACUCGUCAGUAACCAGCUUGUAUUGAUCCCACUAUUGUGGAUAAUUGUGCUCUUAUGAAAAAAAAUUAUAAAAAAAUUAGCAAAAUUUAUGAUAACAAAUUAAAUUUAUUCAUACAAAUCAGUGAAAGAAGUAGAAUUUUAAAGUCCAUGAUGAAAUUAAUACUUUCAAGGGCUCUAUUAGGAAGACUUCACUUGUUGGUGAAACUACACUAGCACAGUUAUAUGCACAUUUACUGUUUUGGUAUCUAAUUUCCUUGCCUUAAGUUGGGUGCAGAUGUUUAUAUUACAAAUAGAUGGUAUCAUAAAAUUGUUGUAUUCACGUUUGUUCUUUUUUUUCUUCCUUAAGUUUUUUUCUUUAUUCUCGUGACUUCAAAAAUACGAACUCAAGAAAUUGGCUGCUUAAUCAAUAUGUCAUACAGGCUUCGCUAGUGAGGUAUAACUUCACAACUAGAGUCAAUAGAAAUUAUCAAAUGAUUUUUUAACAUCCAAAUUAAGCAAUAAAUUUUGUUUUCAUUUUAUGACAUAUAAUAGUACUACUUCAUGAGAGAUUUUAUAGUUUCUUUUAGGUAUCAUACCUACAAGUGAUAUUUGUCAUUGGAUAGUGACAGAAGUGUUAAUGAUUGUAAGAUUAAAUAUUGUUAAAUAUUGAAAUUUAAACUAUUUAUCUUUAUUGAAAGAUACAAGUUAAAGAAUCGUUCAAGGGGGCAAUUUUCCAUCUUGUCUUUUUGAAAAAACGCUAUCACAUUGUAUAGGCAUGAUAGGUUCAAAUUUGUCAUUAAAUUUAUGAUUGAUUUUCCUUUUAUUCAAGCCAAAUAUUGUUUUAAUUAUCAAAUUCUACUUAUAUUUGGUUAAUUGUACUAAUUGUAGGGCGGUAGAGCAAAAGUUGCUAAAAAUAGGCGAUUUUCUGCAAAUUGGUUGUCAAGGCUGAAGGAUUUGGGAUUCGCAUGUUCAAGGCCUGUUUCCAAGUUUGAUUCAAACUCUGGACAGUUUUAGAGGAAGAUUUGGAAGAUUUGAAAUUUCAUUAUUAGUUUUAUGGUUGAAUUAGGAAUCUUGGAAUAAUUUCUUUUGUGAUUUAUUUUUCUAUUUAGGAGACUAGUUGUUAUUUAGUAGUAGACUUCAAUUAGAAAACAAAGAGAAAAAGAAGGCCGGAAUCCCGCUUGAUUAAUACCUUGGCCAGGGAACAAUCUCGGUGGGGAGGACGGCCACUUAGCCUCUCAAUUCAUCUUGCUUUUCGUUAGUUUGAGAGGAAAACCAAUUGCAACUAGAUUCAAUGGAGUCUGGCAGAAUUUCUUCUAGGAUGCGUAGCUAAAUCCUCAAUUUUUAGUCGAAGGUCAAUUUGAAAAUUCGGUUCCAAAUAUCUGUGAAAUCGAAUUAUUUUACUUAUUUCUUUUAUUUAUUGGUAUUCGCACGUUUUCUGAUUUAACUUUUUAUGAUUGUUUUGUUAUUUGAAUGUCAAGGGUCCGAUAUUCGAAUUAACUUAAUAAUCUACUGCCAAAUUAACCGGUUAAAUCCGUAAUUGUUUGAUUGAUUAAUAUCAGUGGCGACUAGCGUGAUUGGUCCCAUGUUAGGAAAACGUCUGAUCUAAUUUAAACAAACCGUCGUAGCGUGUUUGUUGAUUAGGGUUGGGCUUUUCUAAUUCUUAAUUCAAUUGAGAAAUUAAAUCCCCCGGUCGUACCUAGGAUUAUUUUUUUGUUAGCGAAAUAGUUAAUGGUCGUACCUUGACUAUCGAAAAAGUAAGGAAGAGUUGAUUGUUUAUCGCGUGUACGACAACUAUAAUCAAUCUAUUAAUGAGUAAUUGAAUUAUCUUUGCAUCAGUAAUCAGUUGAAUGGACCGUGUCUGAAAAGUUGUACCUUUGGCUAGAGUCUUAUCUGUUGUUGAUUCAUUCAUAUCUAUCUUCAUGCGUUGUUUUAAUUUAGUUAAUUAGUUAUUUUUAUAAAAACCCCUCAUCUCUGGACUCUAAAAGAAAUAAAUUAUUUCUAGUUCCUGUGGAUUCGAUCCUACUCACCAUACAAUCCAACCUGCAAUUGUAUGAACCCCAAUCUCGCUUCCUAGUCCACCAUUUUUCUCUAGGUAAUAAUCUCCCUUCUAAUUUCUUCACAAAAUGCACCUUUCAUCACCUCCAAUAGCGUCGACAUGAUCUUUACCCCAGAAGACUAUUCACCGACUCUCAAUUGACGUUAGAAAAUCUAAGAGUAAUUCUACUUUACCCUAAGAUUGAUAUCAACAAGACAAGGACAAUUUAGAAUUAUUACACGCCUCUUCUUAAUAGGAAAAAGAAAUAGAGAAGAAAGUCAGGCCAGGUCUAAUUUCUUUUCAAAGGCAAUACAACAUUACGAAAUCAAGCAUUCAUUCAUACAAAUAUUUCAUAGUCACCGGUUUGCUGAGUAGAAAAAUUUAGACAAAAACUUAAUAUUAUAUUGUUUAAGAGUUAACAAUUUAGAGCUUAAUCUCCUUGUACUUUGGAGUUAACAAUUUAGAGCUUAAUCUCCUUGUACUUUGGACUAAACUUGAACGUGAAAGGAAAUCCCAAAACCAUAUUGGGCAUGAAUUCACACUUAAUAUACCCAAUAAAAGAUGGCGACUGGUGAAAGGCAGUGGAGACUGGUGGAGAGAUUUGAGGAAUAGAAGCAGACGGAAAAGCAACAAAUUUUUGCCGAAAAACGGUCACUUUCAUGGUUAAUUUUGCUACUCUCCAAUUGUACUUGACCAAUUACAACAAUUUCAUGGAGUUUGAUACGUGAAAAGAAUUUUUUAUAAAUUUUAUUUUGAUCCAUAAUGUUAUCUUUACAUAUAUAAAACAUUUUACAAUUUUGAUUUUGGCGCAGUUAACUUUUGGUAAACAAAAAUGCUCAUGUUUAAAAAACCGGAAAUAAAACAAAACAAGAAACAAAAGAAAUAAGAGGGUAGCAUAGACAUUUUGGAUUUUUCCGUUAAUUUGGAUGAUUUCCACCCACGUUCUAAUUUAAUCCAAAACACAAAGGAAUUACGUAGAGGUUUUAAAUAAUGAGGGAGCUUCAUGAUCGAACCCCAAACCACAAGGCGAUUUACUAUAUUUUACUCUUAAAUUUUGGUUUCAUCUCAUAGCAUACAAGAGUUCUAUUUCACUAUCUGUAGACAAAGACUUUCUAUGGUUGAUGUACCAUAGGAAAAAAUCUGCCUAUACAACGUGAUAGCAUUUUUUCAAAAACACAAGAUGGAAAAUUGCCCCCUUAAACGGGGAAAUUCAUGAUCUUUCCUCGAACAAAGAAUACUCACGCCUAUUCAAGAUGGAAAAUUGCCCCCUUAAACGUCUAUUUGUCAAUUCUUGAAAAAAGAAUACUCACGCCUAAAACACGGCCUCUUCAUCUGCAGAAUUCUAAAAAGUUAGGUAAACUCUAUAAACAAGUUGAUAGGUACAAUCGUACCCAAGAUCAAGUACAGAUAGUUGUACAUUCACUGCUGCAAUAACUAAUCUGAUGACUUACAAACAUAUCAUGGUCAAUCGUUGAAUGGUAAUGAGUCUUUUGUUAUGCAUUAGUAUUAGUGUGUACACUCUAAUAGAUUGAUACUUAUACUCUUUAAAUUAUCAUAAUAAUACCCUUAAUUAACUUUAACUCUUAAAAAGAAUACGUGUUAAUACACGAGAGUGUGUAACCUGAAUUGUUACUUAUACAUUAGUGUGUAAUAGAUAGGGAUGGCAAUGGGGGCGGGUGCCCGCAGGCAACCGCCCCGCGGGGGGCUCUCGGGGCGGGGAGGGGGGAAUUUUUUCCCCCCGUUUAGAAACGGGGCAGGGGACGGGGGAGUAUACCCCCGCCCCAUCCCCCGCAAAAAAAAUUAUAUAUAUAUAAUUAUAUAUAAUAUGUAAUUUAAUUAGUUAUAAACUUAUGAUAAUGAUAUUAUUAGUUAGAUGUAUUAUAUAAUGUAUAUUAGUGUAUGUAAUAUAAUUAAUAUUAUCAAUUAUACGAAUAAUUAGACAUGUCUACUAAUAGAAUUUAUUAAUUAGUUAUACUAAAUUUACUAAUACAUUUAUACUAAAUUUCUAAUUACAUUUAAUAGAAUAACACUUUUUUCUAAAAAAAAAAGCACAAACACAAUAAUGAAUUAGUGAUUGUAUUUUUACCAAAAAUGAAAACUUAACUAUUUUAGUUGCAUUUAUUUCAUCAUGUUGGAUUGUAUUCAAAUAAUUUUUGUUUGAUUGUUUUUAUGAGUUUCAAUUGUAAAAUUAAAAUGAAUAAUAACUUGAUGAAUAAUAAUGUCAAUCGUUGAAUGGUGUGUACACUCUAAUAUUAUGCAUUAGUAUUAGUGUGUACACUCUAAUAGAUUGAUACUUAUACUCUUUAAAUUAUCAUAAUAAUACCCUUAAUUAACUUUAACUCUUAAAAAGAAUACGUGUUAAUAACUCUUAACCUGAAUUGUUACUUAUACAUUAGUGUGAAAUAGAACGGCAAGCAUUGAGCAACUUAUAGGAGAAAUAGUCCUAUAAGCUGUUGGAUGACUAAUAUAGCUCUAGCUGUAAUGUUUUAAUUAAAUUACAUCACUAACGUUGGGAUGACUAAUGGUUUAAAAAUAAUUGAGUAAUUGGAAAAAAAAAAAGAGACUAAUUUUCAUUGAAACCCACCGACAAACUAAACGUGUCCAUGGCUUUUGAAUAGUGCAUUCAACGUUUAAUUGUAUAGUCCAGUUCAUUGCAGAUUACAUGGAGUAAAGAUUGUGCUCUUUCCUUUUUCACCCCUUUUGGAAUCGAUACUGUGGAGAAUUGGGUUUUUCCCUUCUUUUUUUCUUUUCUUUCUUUCUGUGCUUUGCAAAACAUAGGUAAAAUUAUGAAAUCCGAAGCAUUCUUUAAUUGGGAUUAAGUAUUGUUCUUGAAAUUAAAAAGAAGAAAGAAAGAACAACAAAAUUCCCUGAUUGGUUGCAUCGUGCUUCCAUAGAAGCUCUCUUAGUGUGAUACACUGCUUUCAAUCAGUUUAACAUGGAAAAAAGAAAGAGAUGAAAAGCAAAUUUGGUGGGGAUAAUUUCAGAAACCUCCCCUGAAGAUUUUGACUAUUCUACUGGUCUCCCUUCAGAUUUUAAAAAUUACACUAAUCUUCCUUGAAGUUAUAACAUUUAAAUUCAAUCAAUAAUUUAAAAAAUGAUAUUAUGAAAGAGAAAAUAAUAUGAUUUUAUCAUUGCCCCCCAUCUUACUACAUUAUUUAAUUAAUUUAAUAGCAACCCACACAUUAAAGAAAAAUAUAAAAUUUGUUAUUUAUCAUUAAAGAUCAAAUCGCUUAUAACAUCAAAUAAUAGUAUAUUAUUUAUAUUUUUCACUUAACAUAAUAUCCAAAUUACUCUUUUCAAUUACAUACUCAUUGUUAGACAAUCAACAACAAAUAACCAAAAAAUUUGCAACCAAAAUAUUACAAAAAAAAAUAAACUUUAACAUCAUAAAUAUUCUUAUCAACAUAUUAAAGUUAGUUACUGAAAUUUUUAUGGUGUUAAACUUCACUCUUUGUAAUAUUUUGGUUACAGAUUUUUUUUGAUUAUUUUUUAUUAAUUAUGUUUGAUGAUGGGUUUGUAAUUGAAAAGAAUAAUUUAAAACUUACAUUAAGUGAAAUAUAUAGAGUGAUAUACUAUUUUUUAUAACAUAUGUGAUUCAAUCCUUCUUGAUAGGAUUGGUAAUAGAGGUAGAGGGGGGAGUCGGCUGCAUCCGGUCUUCUUUUCAUAGAUAGUACAAUAUUGCGAAAUCAAUCGCAUUCACACAAUAAUAUUUCGAAGUCAAUGCAUGGCUAAGUUGCAUAAAAGUACGAACACUUGUUAUUAUAUAGCUUAAGAUUCAAAACUUUAGAGCAUAACCCUCCACCUAACACAAUUGAAUAAUGAAUAUUCACGUUUGUCAAAUCUGUCAAAGCACAGUUUGAGGACAACCCAUUCCAACCUGCAAAAGAUUUUUUACUUUUCUAAAGUUGUUGAGAGCUGUAAAAAGACCUACCAUGCUUACAUCCUCCGAGCCUUGGGAGUUAAAAAUGAAGGCACUGAGUGCUAUAAAAAGGGGGCUAGAGGCUGCCUAGAAGCAUAUCAGCCUAAAACAAGAAUUUGUUGUUAUGAUGGGAAGCAAAGCAAAAGCAAUGGGGUCUGGGCUGACUCCUCUUCUUGCCACUGUUUUAGUGGUAUUUGUUGCUCUUGGCUUGCCCUCAGAAACAGCAGCUGAUGAUCACUACAAGUAUUCAUCUCCUCCUCCUCCUUACCACUAUCCCUCACCACCGCCUCCAGUGCAUUUACCUCCACCAGUGUACAAAUACAAGUCCCCACCACCACCUCAUCAUGUUUACAAGUACAAAUCUCCACCACCCCCACCACCACACCCAGUUUACAAGUAUAAGUCACCACCACCACCUCCUCAUCCGGUACCACACCCAGUUUACAAGUAUAAGUCACCACCACCACCUCCUCAUCCGGUAUACAAGUAUAAGUCUCCUCCGCCACCACCACACCCAGUUUACAAGUAUAAGUCACCACCACCACCUCCUCAUCCGGUACCACACCCAGUUUACAAGUAUAAGUCUCCUCCGCCACCAGUUUACAAAUAUAAGUCUCCUCCACCACCACCUCCAGUGUACAAGUACAAGUCUCCACCACCACCAGUUUACAAGUACAAAUCACCACCACCUCCUCCCCCAGUUUACAAAUACAAGUCUCCACCACCACCAGUUUACCACUACAAGUCACCACCACCUCCUCACCCAGUUUACAAGUACAAAUCUCCUCCACCACCAAUUUACCACUACAAGUCACCACCACCUCCUCCCCCAGUUUACAAAUACAAGUCUCCACCUCCUCCUCACCACUACUAAGCAAUUGCUUCUGAGGUAAUAACACUUGUUCAAUAACACUUGAUAGCCAGCUGAAUAUUUGCAGGCAAAGGAGAAGGAAACCAGUGUUUGAGACCUUCUUGAAGAUGUAGAAGCAUAAGAAUUAAAGCCCAAUGUGAAGAUGAUGAUUUCAAGUUUUUCUACGUUACCAUUUCAAUAUCUAAAUUGGUUGUAGCGCCUUAGUUCCUUUGUUUAUGGGAUUUGUAUCGUUUUACGUACCAUGCAGUACAUGUCAUGUUUGUAAGGUUUUCUAUCCUGCCGGCAAACCGCAGGUUCCAUGUAAUAAAUCAAUACUAUUUAUAUUACGACACUUUUCUCUGUUUCUCUUAUAUUUUGUCUUUAAUAUUCUUAAUCAUAUUUUUAACAAAAAUAUUCAAACACUUCAGCAAUGGUUCACCUAGUUGAUCAUCGAAGCAGAGGCAAUUCCAAUUAUUUAUCAAUAAAUAGGAUAUAACUACCAAACAAGCGAUGGCAGUUAACCCCUCCUUACUGUGUCGGUGAUCAAGGUACGCCCGUUAAUCACUGCUCUAAUUGAGAAAUAAUCCUAAGUACGCCCGUAGAAUUUAAUUCCCCAAUUGCCUUACAUAUUAGAGGAGCCCUAUUCUAACCAAAUAACGCACUAUCAGGGUUAUUUUAGAUUAGCCCGCGUAUUCCCCUGACAUAAAUCUAAUCAUGCCAGUUGUCAUUAUUUUGAGGUAAUUAAACAAUUACGGAUUUAACACCUCAAUUGACAAUAGAUUAUUAAAUUAAUUAAUUAUUCGGAUCCAAGACAAUCAAUUAAUUAAACAACCAUAAGCACUACAAUCAGAGAAUAUGCAAAUACCAAUAAAUAAAUAAAAAAUAAAAUUAAAUCGAUCUCACAAUUUUUAGGCGAAUCAGAGCAUCCGUUGUCCCUUGACUAGAGCAAGGAAAUUAGUUCAUAUUUGAUGAACUAAACCCAUACAAAAGGGAAGCGAGAAAUGCAGCCAUUAUCCUUUGAAAUCUGGAAAAUUCAACUUGUCCGAAUAUCGAAUAGAUAGUAAUACUACAAAAGGUAAUUCAUAGCUUCCCUUUCGUCUGACACACAAGAAGAAAAAAAAGGGCUGCUAAUAACUAAAGGAGGAAAAGUCAAAGUCCUAAGCUAUGCUACAAGACGAAAAACUAAAGAAGACAAAAAGGCAGUGCUCAUUCCCUGCAAUCUCAAUUCCUAUUCUAUCUAAGUGCUCUCCAAUGUGCGGCGGCUCCCCUUCCGGAGAGGACGAAGUGGCACCCUUUUUUCCUGCGCAAUUUUCCUAUAUAAAGUAGUGCUCCUUGCAGCGGCUCCUGUGCGAAAAAAUGAAGACUUCGGCCCAAUUUGCCUAACAAGGGCUCACGUUUUGUUGUUCUAAAAAUGUCCCUAGGACAAACUCUAUCAUCUGAACUCUUUUCUUGCCAAAUUAGUACCUGUUAUUAUAUUUUCGUUCUACUCCCUGAAAUAAAUGCAAAAUAUCAAAAGUGAGUAGAAUCUAGCAAUUAAUCCACAUUAGGUCAGGUAAUAGGGAAAAUUAAUAAUAAAAUAAAUGAUAAAAUUGCAAUCUAUCACGGGACCACUGUGGUAAGGUGUGUUUCGCCUAUUAUAAGGAGUUCGGAGAGUUAGACGUGUUGGAGGCGGAGGCGCGGUCACUCCUGCACGCCCUCCAGCUGUGUGCAGAUCGCGAGGUACGGGCGUUGACUGUAGAAUCUGAUUCAAAGGUGCUUGUUCAACUAGUUUGCUCGGAUAUGAGGUCGAAGUGGCCGGUGUGUAUCGUAUUGCGGGAAAUAAGACAUUUGAUCCGGCGGAUGGGUGCAUCCCUUCAUCAUAUAUUCCGUGAGGCCAAUUCGGUGGCGGACGCAUUGGCUUCUCUGCAAUUGGGAGGGCAGCAGUACUACACCUCAGGCGUGGCGCUGCCUUUCAGGCCCAGAGGAGAGGCUCUGCUGGAUCGUCAAGGAGUACCUCGCAUCCGUGAGGCGCUCACUAAGGUUUGAUAGGCUAUGUCCUCCUUUCAAAAAACUUAUUUCAUCUACUCCUUGUAAUCAUUUUUCUUAUCAAUAAAUUGAGGCUUUUUAUUUAAAAAAAAACAUAUAAUUUAAGGCAAAAAUAUGAUCCUAGCGAGUAUCGCACUGAGACAUUAGGAAACAUCAUUAAAAGAGUAUUUCUUGAGUUAGUGCAACUAUUUCUUAGGGGAAUUUAUAGUUACAAAAUUCAAAAAUUUGAGAUUCUAUUACUGAUUAAUUAAGGGCGUUAUCACUAUUUUUCUUAUUAUCACCAUUAUUUACCCCACAUACUAUAAGUUUUUUUAGGGCACAGGAAAAGAGGUGGGCCGAUGUUUAGUUAUGUACAAAAGUUCAAAAUUUGUAGAUAACUUAUCAUGUGCCCUUAGAGCGUAGAAUACAGAAAAAAUAUCUUAAACUAUAACUAAUCCUAAUAUUUUUCUCUAUGAUAAACUAGCUCUUAUCCAUUUCUUUAGAUGAUGAAAGGAAAUAGUUAGUCACCUGUCCUCUAGUGAUUACAACAGCAUCAAAACAAAUUAGCACUCUUUUCCCGUAGUUUAAAAAUCCCUCAGCCACUAAGAUUUUGCAUGUCGAACGAAUUAAGGAACAUAGAAGGUUCGUGCUGCACCACAGUGUCCUUGUUGACGAUGCAAAGACAGAAAUGCAUCCGCGUAUACUUCCUUAAGCAUUUUGAUUACUUUAUGAUUCGAACUUUUCUUGUCUGACAGCUGGACUUAAUUGAAAAACACAAGUAACAAUAUUUCAAAGUUGAUUCGUCAAAGUUUACCCAAUUGGUGAAACUUUCUUCAUAGAGCUGACUUUGUAUUAGGUGACAAUGAUAUGGAAUUGAUGUCCUUCCCUUUUUCCUUUUUUUGUGUUGAAGACGCACAACGUUUUCAAUGGCAAAUUUAUAUGGGCUUUUCACGACAAAAUGUGUUCUGAAAAGUUCAUUCCAGAGGUUAAAAUUUUGUGUGUUAAAAAUUUGCUUCUCAGGACUUUGAUGGGAAAGUCUUGGUGUUUCCAAAAAGUUUAAGCAGGAUGCUUCUGGCUUUCUCUCCAUGUAUUUGUGAGUUAGAUCUAAAAUUAUCAGGGCUCCAGAGAUCUCUUGAAAUCGCAGCAUAUAUUGAAGUCUUUCCAGAAGGAGUCUUUUUUUUUUUUUUUAUGAAUUAUGAUAGAUAAUUAAUCUGACGGUGCAUAUAUAUAUAUAUGUGAUUUGCAGUAGGGUGUUUGACGAAAUGGUUAGGCUUCCUAAGUAAUGAUAGGAAUGCCAUUUGCAAAGAAGGACAGGGGGCUGGUGCUGUCAUAUUUUAUGCGAUUUGAUCCGUUGUUGUAUAAGUUUAAACUUUUGACGUGCAAUUGUGCUAUAAUAUUAUACUAAAUAUAUGUGUGAAAUAUUUUGUCUAUAUACAUCACUUUUAUCAUGAAUACAACAGCUGAGUAUAAUAAUAUAGUAUAAUGUAAUUGUACACCAAAUAAUGUAGCAAAUAUAACAAUUGAUCCGAAUUACACGGAACCAUAACAACAAGAUCACCGCCUCCCAAAUUUUACAAAAUUAGGUUUUUUUUUUUUCUCUUAGAUUAUUGAAAAUUUUCAAAAAUAAUCUACAUAAUUUAAGCUUUUGUCCUACAAAAAUUUGAAGAGAUUUUACAUUACAAGCUUAAGCUUAGAUAUAUUAAACUUUGCCCCCAAGAUUAAUUUUCCGUUUUUAUCUAUGAACCGAUCCAUAUAGCUAGUUAGACUGUAGUCCUCACAUUUGUGGGAUUUAACACCCAAGAUUCUCCUUCUUGGAAUGUAAAAUGUAGAUCUUCUAUGUUAAUAAUUCAAGACCCUACUGUCAUAAACGAAAUGACUGAUCAACUCCUGUAAACCUAAUUUGACAACAUUUAAAUGGAGAACUUUAGCUAAAAGAAUUAUGGUCAAGCUAAAGAAAAAGCCAGUUAUUUUCCAACAUAUGCAAUCAUUGAUCAGGAAAAAAAAAAAAAAGCAAAAAGACAUCUUCAAUCAUUUAAUAGCUCACAGUGCAAAUUAACCCCUAAGCGAAAACUGGUUGCUCUAGAAUCAAAAUUUUACCUUAGUUACCCAGGCAACUUUUUUGUUGCUUUUUUUUUUUUCUUUUCCUUUUUGGGUAUAUAUAUAGCUCCAGUUUUGCCCCCUCUGUCAAGCUUAUAUAAUUAUUAAGAUAAUAAAAGUGCCUUGAAUAGUAUUAAUAUAUCCAUUGACUUGAGCUGUCAUCGAUCGGUUUGGGCUACUUCGAUUCCAUGAGAACAAAUGGUAAUAAAAGUACUCAGAAAAUAGGGAGCCAUGAAACCCUUUUGUUCUAUUCAUUGCUAAGAUGCUUUUCUCUAUAAAGAGACUUCCUAACGAAAGUACUUUGUAGAUUUCUUUACUCCAAGUGGUGCAUGGAAAAUUAAAAUAUUCAAUUAUCAAAUAAAAUUCCCUUUUUUCGGUGUAGAUUUCAUCCAUCCAGCUGUUAACACAUUUUAUGUAUCCGAAUUAUAUAUUCUCUACCAAAUAUUGUAACUUUUCUGAGCAUCUUUACAUUUUUAUUCCCACCUAACAAAUUAGUUGUUGAGCAUCUUUACAUGCUAUCGGAUCACAAGUUAAUAAUCUUUUAAAGAACAUGUUAAAUUAAUUUAUUGGUAUGAAUAGUCAAAGAAGUAUAUUAAAGUUAGUAAUCUUUAAACACCACGAUGCAAUUAAUACUUUCAAGCUCAAGGUCUUUUUUUUUUUUUUUUUUGGUACUGUACUUCCUUGCUUUAUAGUAUGCACGUUUAUUUCUGUGGAUUGCUUAAGCUUAUAUUGUUAAUAAUUGGGCAUUUAACCAUAAAUUAUAAUGAUUAUGAAGUCAUAUAUAUAUAUAUAUAUAUAAGAAAAUUACCACAAUUAUUCAAUUUUUUUUGCAAAUUCAAAUUUUAUUAAUAAGAAAUAGGCAGUAAGCUUUUACAAACGGAAAAAAAAAAUCCUACAACAACUCUAGGACCUUUGAAAGAAAGAAAAAAAAAAGAAAAGAAAAGCUUAAGGACUCUACCUCAUAGAAGCUAAACAAUCCUACAAAUAAACUGCAAAAUAAAUCACAAUAACGCAAAAUUUUUGUCUUUCUUCCGUAUGAAAUGAAACUACGAAGUCAAGAAUUGACUCCUUUAACCGCUAUUGCCAGCGGGCUCCGUCAGCAAGAUACAACUUUGCAAUUUGAUUCAAUAGAAAUCCUCAAAUAGCUAUUUUGACAGGCAAAUUAAGCAUUAAUUUUGGUAUCCCUUCAUAAAAUACAAGAGUACUUUUGAUUAUAUCUAUAGAUCAACUUUCUAGGCUAUUUUGAUGUAUUAUAAGAAAAUCUGCCUCAACAAUUUUGAUAGCAUUUUUCCAAAAGCAGAAGAUGGAAAAUUGCCCAUUUGUACUGGGGAGUUCGUGAUCUUUUCCUCCUUCUAGUCUACUUACAAUUCUUGGAAAAAGGAAUACUCACAUCUCAAACAACUGCCUGUUCAUCUGCAAUGUCCUGCCGAAUUCUAGAAAGUUAGGUGGCAAUGCUAAUUACAUUUCAAAAUUGACUGCUGCGAUGACUAAUUCGAUGGCUUACUACAUGGUCAACGUUUGGAUCCCUUCCUGUCCUUUUUGGAUGCACAUUUUUUUUCUCUAGGCAAUAUAUAAUCUCCCAACUCAUUUCUUUACAAAUGCACCUUUAAUCACCACCAAAAGGUGUGGACAUGAUCUUUACCCUAGAAAACUAAUCACCGACAGGCAAAUUGACGUCAGAAAUACUAAGAGGAAUUCUAGUUUCCUUCGGGUUAAUGCCAUUUUGUACCCUUCAACUGUAACUCGAUUUCUAAACUAUAAUUUGUGACAUUAUAGUCCUUAAACUAUGAAACCCCUCUUACUUAAGUACAAUGGUUAAUACAAUACCCGUGACUAGACAAGCAACCAUAACAAAAAAAAAUCCAAAAUUAGAGAAAAGAAAGAAGUUUCGCGACCAAAGUAUGUAUCAAGGCAUAGUAUAGAAAUAAAAGUGUCCAAAUUAAGAGUUUAGGGAUAAAAGAGAUCAAGAUAUAGUUUAGGGAUUGAUUUGUCUCAAUUAGAGUUUUGAUGUCAACUAAGAAGAGAGAUAUAGUUGAAGGGUAGAAUAUAGAUAUAACAGUUCAAUGAUUGAUAUCAACGAGACAAUGACAACUUUGGAUUAUUACCAACCUCUUCUUGAUGGGAAAAGGAAAUAGAGAAGAAAGUCGGGCCUGGUCUAAGCCUGCUUCGGAGGCAAAACAACAUUAUGAAAUCACCGGCAUUCACACAAAUAUGUCAAAGUCACCGGCAUGCUAAGUUGCAUAAUUUAUACAAACACUGAAUAAUAUAUUGUUCUUAAAAUUUUUGUUUAAGAUUUAACAAUUAGAGCACGGUACACGAAUUAGCAAUAUUAAAUAAUGAAUGUUCACGAUUGAUAAAGUUAUCAAAGUACAGUUUGAGGACAACCCAUUCCAACGUGUACAAGAUGUUUAGCCUUUGAAAAGUUAAUUAGAGAAGGUGACGAGAUUUUACUAGGCUUAAAUCUUCUAGGCCUCGGAAGUAAAAAAUGAAGGCCUUUGAGUGCUAUAAAAAGGGGGCUAGAUGUUGCCUAGAAGCAUAUCAGCCUCAGACCACAUUUUGUAGCAAUGGGGAGCAAAGCAAAAGCAAUGGGGUCUAGGCUGACUCCUCUUCUUACCACCGUUUUAGUGGUAUUUGUUGCUCUUGGCUUGCCUUCAGAAACUGUGGCUGAUUACUACAAGUAUUCAUCUCCUCCUCCUCCUUACCAUUAUUCCUCACCACCACCUCCUGUGCAUUCACCUCCACCACCGCCAAUUUAUAAGUCACCCCCACCACCUUACCACUACUCCUCACCGCCACCUCCAGUGUAUUCAUCUCCACCACCACCUUCGCCAGUUUACAAGUCUCCGCCACCACCUUACCAUUAUUCGUCACCACCGCCUCCGGUGCAUUCACCUCCACCACCACCUGUUUACAAGUCACCUCCACCACCUUCGCCAGUUUACAAGUCUCCGCCACCACCUUACUAUUAUUCGUCACCACCGCCUCCGGUGCAUUCACCUCCACCACCACCGAUUUACGAGUCACCUCCACCACCUCCUCCAGUUUACAAGUCUCCGCCACCACCUUACCAUUAUUCCUCACCACCACCUCCAACGCAUUCACUCCCACCACCAGUUUACAAAUCACCGCCACCACCUCCUCCUAUGUAUAAGUCCCCUCCACCACCUUAUCAUUAUUCCUCACCACCACCUCCAGUGCAUUCACCCCCACUGCCACCAAUUUACAAGUCUCCGCCACCUCCAAUCUACAAGUAUAAGUCACCACCACCUCCUCCCCCAAUUUACAAGUCACCACCACCACCUCCUCCAGUAUAUAAGUCCCUACCCCCACCAGUGUAUAAGUACAAGUCUCCACCACCACCUCCUCCAGUAUACAAAUCACCUCCACCACCUCCUCCAGUUUACAAAUCUCUACCACCACCAAUUUAUAAAUACAAGUCUCCUCCACCACCUCCUCCGGUUUACAAUUCCCCACCACCACCAAUCUACAAGUCUCCACCUCCACCCUCCCAUUACUACUACAAUUCUCCUCCUCCUCCUCCUCAUCACUACUAAGCAAUUGUAUCCAAGUUUUUGAGGUAAUAAUGCUAAACCAAUAUAUUAACUUUCGCAUGAUAAACUUUAUCUCUAUCAAGACAAACUGCCAUGUGCAUCAAGCCAAAUACGUACACUUCGAUCCAUGAAAAUGACAAGUAGAAGGUUUUCUUAAGAACCAAGGAACAGCAUUAGUAUUCCCUCUGUUUCCAAAACUUGUGUAUUAAAUAGAUUAAUGAAUUGUUUAACAUGCUUAUCUACUUGAAAAUGCACAAUACCCAUAACCCACUGAAAUUUUUGCAGGUAAAGGGGAAGAGAAUCUGUGUUUGAGAGCUUCAUGAAGAUGUUGAAGAAUAAGAAUAAAAGCCCAAUGCGAGGAUGUUUUCAAGUUUUUCUAUGUUUCCACUUUAAUUUGUAAAUUGAAUUUUUCGACUUAAUUAAUUCCCUGUUUGUGGGGUACGUAUUGUUUUACGUACCAUGCCGUACAUGUUUGUAAGGAUUUCUAUCCUAUUGGCAAAAGUCGGUUCCAUACAAUUAAUCAAUUCAUUUCACUUCUAUUGGCUCUACUAUUUAUGCACGUUACGACAUUUUUUCUCUCUUUCCCUUAUAUUUUGUCUUUAAUAUUAUUGAGUCAAUAGUAAUACUGGGCCAUUUUUUUUAAAACUUAUACUAGUAUACAUAGGUAGUUUGGUCUAACGCCAAAUUCAUGUUUGUCUUUCUUUUAUUCCCUUUACAUUUCAAAGUAUACUAUAGUUUGUGAUCAUUGUGGUGAUGAUAUUACCAGCUGGUACUUAUAGUUUAAGGCAGAGACAUGAUAUUAACAACUAUCUCAUUGAAACAUAAGGAAAAAUCAUGACAAGUGUGAGUCUUGGUUAAUGCACAAUUUGUUAGUGGAAUUUAUAUUUAUAAAACUCAAAAAAAAAAUUUUGACAAUGCUAUUACUAAUUAAUUAAGGACUUUAUUGCUAUAAUUUAUCGCUUGCUAGUUUAAACUAUAAAUGAUCUCAAUACUUUUCUCCAUGAUGUCGAUUUCUUUAGAUACGAAAGGGAAAAAUUAGUGACAUAUCCCUUACUGAUUACAACAUCAGCAAAAAUUAGUUAUAAACUUUUCCGGUGGUUUUAAAUCCCCGGGCCCUAAGAUUUUUUGCUCAUCGAGUGAAUUAAGGAACAUAGGCAAUUCAUUUUGCAUACCAAGUCCUUGUUUAAGAUGCAAGUACUAAAAUGCAUCCACUUCAUUAAUUUGGGAAAUUGCCAUAGUUUUUUUAAGCAUUUUGAUUUUUUACAUGAUUUAAAAUUUUCUUAUUGGAUACAAUCACUUUGUAUCAAGAACACAUUUUCAAUCACCUUUUUUUAUCUUCUCAAUGAGAAAAUAAAAAUUUAUUCAUGCUUUUCUAACAUAUUCAAUCAUUGAUCUGAAAAUUAAAACAUUAAGAAAAGGACAUUUUCAAACAUUAAGAAGUAGUAUUUUAAAGACCAUGAUGAAAUUAAUACUUUCAAGGUCUCUAUUAGGAAGACUUCCUUUAUUAAUACUCUACUAGGCAGAGUUAUAUGCACGUUUACUGUUUUGGCCUUAAGUUGGGUGCAGAUGCUUAUAUUACAAAUAGAUGGUAUCAAAAAAUUGUUGUAUUCACGUCUGUUCUUUUUUUCUUCCUUAAGUUUUUUUCUUUAUUCUCGUGACUUCGCUAGUGAGGUAUAACUUCACAACUAGAGUCAAUAGAAAUCGUCAAAUGAUUUUUUGACAUCCAAAUUAAGCAAUAAAUUUUGUUUUCAUUUCAUAACAUAUAAUAGUACUACUUCAUGGGAGAUUUUAUAGUUUCUUUAGGGUAUCAUACCUACAAUUGAUAUUUAUCAUUGGAUAGUGAAAGAAGUGUUAAUGUCUCUAAGAUUAAAUAUUGUUAAAUAUUGAAAAUUUGAACUAUUUAUCUCUAUUGAGAGAUACAACUUAAAGAAUCCUACCCAAAAGAGACUAGAAUUUUCUCUGUUUUUCAUCAUCUGUAGACAUAAACUUUCCACGGUUGAUAGCAUUUUUCAUCAUCUAUAAGGAAAUUUUGCCUAUACAAUGUGAUAGCAUUUUUCAAAAAGACAAGAUGGAAAAUUGCCCCCCUUGAACGGAAAAUUGCCCCCUUGUCAAUUCUUUAAAAAAGAAUACCGUCCCGCAGAAUUCUAGAAAGUUAGGCAAAACUAGACAAGUUGACAGGUAUAAUCAGACCCAAGAUCAGGAACAAGCAGUUGCACAUUUCAAAAUUCGCUGCUGCAACAACUAAUUUGAUGACUUACAACACUAAAUGGUCAAACUUUGAAUGGCAAUGAAUCUUUUGUUGUACAUCAUGAUGUAAUUUUCAUGUUACAUAAUAGAUUGAUAUCUAUGUUCUUUAAAUUAUCAUAAUAAUUAAAUUUAACUGAAAAAAAGAACACAUAUCAAUACACAAAAGUGUGCAACGUGAAUGUUAUUUUAGUGUAUUGCAGAAGACCUAUAGUCUCUUCAUAUCUCUUCCUGCACGUAUCAAUUCGUUUCCUCUAGAUAAUAAUCUCCCAACUCAUUUAUUUACAAAUGCACCUUUUAUGUUUUAUUACCUCCAAAAGCCUAAAAAUCAAUUCACCGACUCGCAUUUGGUAUCAGAAAUUCUUAUUACGAAUUCUACUUUACUCAAAGAUUGACUGUUAAUAAUGAGACAACGACCAUUUUGUAUUAUUACACCGUCCUUCUUGAUAGGCAAAAGAAAUAGAGAGGAAAGCGGGUCCGUAUAUGGUCUUUUAUUCAUAGAUAAUACAACAUUACGCCAUCGAGCAUUCACACAAUAUUUCAAAGUCAUUGCAUGCCUAAGGCCUGCUUGAUAAUCUAAUUCCGUACUUAAAUUUAAUAAAUUCAAAUCUUAACACAUUCAAAUCGUUUGAUAACAAAAAAUUGAACAUCUAAAUUAAUUAAGUAACACUGAAUUUUCUAGGCAAAACUUGCUCCCAAAAUUAAGUGAUAAGUUAUUCACUUAUCACUGAAUAUGAUAUGUAUUCAAAUGUAUUAGAUUUAAUACUUAAUAAUUUAAUGAAUUCAAAUUUCAUAUUUCAUAUUUCAGUUUUAUCAAACACACCUUAAGUUGCAAAAUAAUACCAAAACUUGUUAUUACAUAGCUUGAGAUUCAAAAAUUUAGAGCAUAAUUCUCAACCAAACACAAUUGAAUAAUGAAUAUUCACGAGUGUCAAAUCUAUCAAAGUACAAUUUGAGGACAACCCAUUCAAACGCGUACACGAUUUUUAACUUUUCUAAAGUUGUUGAGAGCUGUUGAAAGAGAUUUACCAUGUUUACAUCUUCCAAGUCUUGGGAGUAAAAAAUGAAGCCACUGAGUGCUAUAAAAAGGGGGGUAGAGGCCACUUGAGAUCCUCGGUGACAUGUUUUCUAUGCCAAUCCAAUGCCACCAAUAGUGUUGCGCCAAGUGUCAUGUUAUUAUUUACACUUGUGUUAAACUAAGCCAAGUUGAAUUAUUAGAAAAUUAAAGUGUAAAUAAUAACAUGACACUUGGCGCAAUACUAUUGGUGACAUUGGGUUGGCAUAGAAAAUAUGUCACCGAGGAUCCCAAGUGGAUAGAUGCUGCCUAGAAGCAUAUCAGCCUAAAACAAGAAUUUGUAGUAACAAUGGGGAGCAAAGCAAAAGCAACGGGGUCUAGGCUGACUCCUCUUCUUACCACUGUUUUAGUGGUAUUUGUUGCCCUUGGCUUGCCCUUGGAAACUGCAGCUGAUUAUUACAAGUAUUCAUCUCCUCCUCCUCCUCCUUACCAGUAUUCCUCACCACCACCUCCAGUGUAUUCACCUCCACCAACCCCUGUUUAUAAGUUACCCCCACCAUCUCCUCUAGUUUACAAGUCCUCACCACCACCUUACCACUACUCACCACCUCCUGUGUAUUCACCUCCACCAUCACCAAUUUACAAGUCACUGCCACCACCCCCUCCAGUAUACAACUCCCCGCCUCCACCAGUGUACAAAUACAAGUCCCCACCACCACCUUCUCCAAUUUACAAAUCUCCACCGCCACCAGUUUACAAGUACAAGUCACCCCCACCACCUCCUCCGGUAUACAAGUCUCCUCCGCCACCUGUUUACGAGUACAAGUCUCCUCCACCACCUCCUCCAGUGUACAAGUCCCCACCACCUCCAGUUUACAAGUACAAGUCACCACCACCUCCUCCCCCGGUUUACCAAUCUCCUCCACCACCAGUUUACAAAUACAAGUCACCACCACCUCCUCCCCCAGUUUACCAGUCUCCACCUCCACCCUAUCAUCACUACUACGGUUCUCCUCCUCCUCACCACUACUAAGCAAGUGCAUCUAAGUUUUGAGGUAAUAAUACCGAUCCAAAACUUUAUCAACGCAAACUGCCAUGUAUAUCAUGCUAAGGACGUACACUUGAUCCAUGAAAAUGGCUAGUAGAAGAUUUUUUUUAAGAACCAGAGAAAUACAUUAUUUUUUCGCUCUGUUUUCAAGAAUUUGAGCAGUAUACAGAUUAAAGAGUGUUUUUUUUAAACUUGCUUAUCAACUUAGAAAUGCACAUAGCUGAAAGCCAACUGAAUAUUUGCAGGCAAAGGAGAAGGCAAUCGGUGUUUGAGACCUUCAUGAAGAUGUAGAAGAAUAAGAAUAAAAGCCCAAUGCGAGGAUGAUUUCAAGUUUCUACGUUACCAUUUCUACAUCUAAAUUGACUUUAGCUCCUGAGUUCCAUGUCUAUGGGGUUUGUACUGUUUUACGUACCAUGCAGUACAUGCUUGUAAGGUUUUCUGUCCUGUUGGCAAGCCGCAGGUCCAUAUAAUAAAUGAAUACUAUUUAUAUUACGACACUUUUCUCUCUUUCUCUUAUAUUUUGUCUUUAAUAUUGUUGAUCAUUUUUUUUUUUUAUCAAAAGUAUCAAAUGCUUAGGCAAUUUGGUCUAAUGCUAAUUGUUUUACAUUUAUUUUUCACCUACAUCCCUUUUCAACUCAAAGGAUGCUACAGUUUGUGAUCAUUGUUUAAGACCGAAGCAUGGUACUAAUAAAUAUCUCAUUGAAAGUCAAGGAAACUAACAUUAUGAAAAGUGUAAAUCUUGAUUUGUGAAACUAUUUAUUCGUGGAAUUUAGAGAUACAAAACUCAAAUUGUGACGGUGUUGUUGCUAAAUUAUUUUUUUUUUAUAAUAAAACACAGUUCAUUCAAGGAUUACUGGAAAUCGUCCAGCACAAUUGAGAUACAUUGUUGCCCAGGUGGCAGAUAAAUAUGCACUAAAAUUAUAGAUAUGCAAUUUAACAAAUACAUAAGAUUUGAGAAAUUAAGGACAAAUCUAAAAAGGACCAUAAAUUUGAAAAACAUUUCAUCCUAGAAUAAGUCGCUGCAACUCUCUUUGUGCAUGCUGUAAUCGUCAGAUCUACUAAUCAACAGUUGUAAGGUCCAGUAAAGAUGGUGAGAUCUGCCGAGAUUGAUCCAAAUCUGAAAUAUUCCCUCAGAUCUGCUAUCCAAUUGGUUCAAACUCAAUACUGAAAGUGAAAUCUGAUGAGAAGACUGAAAAAAUUGUAGAUCUAACAUAUAGAUCUAAAAAAACUCCAAGAUUUGAAAAAGUAAAGAAACAAAACUAAAUAAAACUCUCAUUAAGAUAGUUUAGGAGAGACUAAAACUCUCAAUAGGACACCCUAGGAGAGAAGAAAACUCUCACUAGGAUAACCUAUGAGAGACUUUAUUGAAUGAAAGGAAAAGCAAAGGACAAAGGAAGAAGAAGGGAGACCUUGGCUUAAGGCCAAGGUCUCCCUCCUAUGGAGGAGGAAGGGUAGAGGAGGAAGCCUAGAGAGAAGGAAGAGAAUCCCUCCGCUAGAGGGAAGGAAGAGCCUCUGAGAGGGUACCCGUGUUGUUGCUAAAUUAUUAAGGACAUUAUCACCAUUACUUUUCCCUUACUAGUUUCAACUGCAAUGAUCUCAAUCUUUUUGUGACUAAUUCUUUUCUUAAUAAUUUAUAAAUACAAAACUCACAAAGAAUAUGUGACUUAUUCUUUCCUUUCGUCUUCUAAAGAAAAUGCCAACUGUUAGUUUAUCAAGGGAAAAAGGAUCGACAUCAGUUGUUAUUGAAACUAGUAAGGAAUAAAUAAUGGUGAUAAUGUCCUUAAUAAUUUAACAACAGCACCAUCAGAAUUUGAGCUUUGUAUCUAUAAAUUCCACGAAUAAAUAGUUUCAUCAAAUCAAGAUUUACACUUUUCAUAAUGUUAAGUUUCCUUGACUUUCAAUGAGAUAUUUAUUAGUAUCAUGCUUCGGUCGUAAACAACGAUCACAAACGAUAGCAUCCUUUGAGUUGAAAAGGGUAGUGAAAAAGAGAAGUAAAAAAUACAAUUAGCAUUCCCUCAAAUUGUAGAAAGUUAGGUAGCAUUAUAGACAAGUUGAUAGCCGUAAUUAUACUAAAAAUCAGGCAAAAGCCAGCAAUUUUACAUUUCAAAAUUCACCUAUUCAAUAACUAAUUCGAUGGCUUGCUACAUGGUCAAAAUUCACCACAUAUCCCUUUCCUCAAUCAGGGGCUUCUACAAUUACCAGUUCCAAUUGUAUGGUAUAGUGUAAAUAUCAACAAAUUAGAUGUAGACACUAAUAUAAUAAAUAUGGAUGCUAAGGCAACAACAUACAAAAACAUAAUAAAUUUUGGCAUUCCUUAAAAAAUUACGUCCCCAAAUCAAUCUCAUACACCCAAUUUCUAAUUUAUUUAACUCAUUCCGUCUAUUAACUGCACCAUACAAUCCAACCUGCAAUUGCAUGAACCCCAAUCUCGCUUCCUAGUCCACCAUUUUUCUCUAGGUAAUAAUCUCCCUUCUAAUUUCUUCACAAAAUGCACCUUUCAUCACCUCCAAUAGCGUCGACAUGAUCUUUACCCUAGAAGACUAUUCACCGACUCCCAAUUGACGUCAGAAAAUCUAAGAGUAAUUCUACUUUACCCUAAGAUUGAUAUCAACUAGACAAUGACAAUUUAGAAUUAUUACACGCCUCUUCUUAAUAGGAAAAAGAAAUAGAGAAGAAAGUCAGGCCAGGUCUAAUUUCUUUUCGAAGGCAAUACAACAUUACGAAAUCAAGCAUUCAUUCAUACAAAUAUUUCAUAGUCACCGGUUUGCUGAGUAGAAAAGUUUAUACAAAAACUUAAUAUUAUAUUGUUUAAGAGUUAACAAUUUAGAGCUUAAUCUCCUUGUACUUUGGACUAAACUCGAACGUGAAAGGAAAUCCCAAAACCAUAUUGGGCAUGAAUUCACACUUAAAUAGACCCAAAAAAAGAUGGCGACUGGUGAAAGGCAGUGGAGACUGGUGGUGAGAUUUGAGGAAUAGAAGCAGACGGAAAAGCCACAAAUUUUUGCCGAAAGAGGGUCACUUUCAUGGUUAAUUUUGCUACUCUCUACUUGUACUUGACCAAUGACAGGUUGUCAGUCUGUGCAAUAAUAAAAACCUGUUCAAACUAAAAGUAAUUUCUGUAGAUAGUGGUAAGCAGGGUCGAAUCCACAGGGAUUAGGUGUAACUGUUUCUUUUCAAAUUCACAAUAACAAAGGGGGUGUUUUUAUGCAGAAUGUGACAAUCAAAGAAAUUCAAUUAAAAGUAAAAUAAUAAAAAUAAAAUAGCCAACUAGAAAUUAAAUAACAAUUUACUAAAAUCAAAUGAGUGAUAAUUAAGGAUCUAGCCAAGGAAUAACUUCAGCAGUGGUUCACCUAAUUGAUCAUUGGAACAAAGGCAAUUCCAAUUAUUUACUAAUAAAUAGGUUAUAACUGCCAAACAAGCGAUGACAGUCAAUCACUCCUUACUGUGUCGGUGAUUAAGGUACGCCCGUUAAUCACUGCCCUAAUUGAGAAAUAAUCUUAGGUACGCCCGUAAGAUUUAAUUUUCCAAUUGCCUUACAUAUUAGAGGAGUGUCAGGAACAAGGAAAUAGAAUGGGACGUCGUUUAAUGCAAAGGGUUGUGCGUUUAAGGCCUUAGAAGCAAUACUACGUCGUUCUAAUAACAUAGGCGGUGCUGGUGUGAUAGGCCAAGUUAGUUGAGGGUCAAUUACAUAAAUAGCCUUCUGUAACAGAUUUUUGGUUAUGUUUUUGAAUGAAAAGUAUCUCGCUGCUUUCUCUCUCUUGUCUGUUAUUUCCCUCCCUUUUCUUCUUUCUCUCUUCCCUCUUCUUAAUCUUGUUUCUUUCUUCUGAUUCUUCCCCCAAAUUCAAUACAAUUCCAGAAAUUAACCUGCAAGUCUGACAUUUGGUAUCAGAGCGGUCGAUUCUUGGCCGCGAAGGUAUCAGAAAUGGCUGAGAGCACGCGAUUCAGGACACUGGAGGAGCAACUCAAGAAGCAGGAGAAUCGGUUGCAAGAACUGGCGGAAUCCAUGGCUGCACUGCAGAGUACGAGUUCCGAGGAGUUGCGGCAUAAGCUACAGGCGGAAAUGGAGCAGAACAAUGCAAAAUUGGACGCGGUGGUGGGAAGUCUGGACCAGAAGUUCAAUAAAAUGGAACAGAGACUCAGUACAGUGUUGAAGCUGCUGAUGAAGGAGAAAGGUCUCCCUGAUGUCGAAGGAGGAAUUUCUGAUCCAAUCUUGCCGACUCCUCCAUCUCAUCUGAGGUUAGCAUCCUCAGUCGAAGGGAUUGGGCACCAACAAGAGUACAGAGGUAGGCAAUUCACUCCUAAUGUACCUCGAUUAGAACUGCCAAUGUUUAACUCUGGAAACCCUAGGGAAUGGACCAGGAAAUGCCAGAAAUAUUUUUUGAACUAUCAGAUAGCAGAGAGUCAAAAGGUAGAGGUAGCAGAGAUGUUUUUGGAAGGUAGAGCUGACAAUUGGUUUCAAGGAGUGAAAUUGGUGAGGCCAGGGUUGUCUUGGGGGGAAUUUAGUGAACUUUUGUGUGAAAGAUUUUCUGGAAGUAGUUCUCGUGACAUUGUGGAGGAAUUUAACAAGUUACAGCAGAAAGGAACUGUUGAGGAAUAUGAGGAGAAAUUUGAAGAACUAAAAGCUCUAAUGCUGAUGAAAACCCCCAGGUUGGAUGAACUUUACUUUGUUUCCAGUUUUAUUAGUGGCCUCAGGGAAGAAAUUAGACCUAUGGUGAAGAUGUUUAAGCCUCAAACACUGAUGAAGGCCUUUGAAGUUGCGGAGUUGCAGGAGUGUUCCCUGGAAAUCCAAUCGAAACAAAACAGAACUUCAAGGAGGACAGCAAUGGAACCCAAGUUUGGAAUGUAUAAGGGCACUACGAGUGAUUAGGGUCGCCAAAAUUCAUAUAAGUUGCCUGGAGUCACUCCUGUCUCCAGGAGGACUAAUGCAGUACACAAGGAAUUUAGUAAGAUAUCAGCGGAGGAAAUGCAGUAUAAGCGUAAGCACAGCCUGUGCUAUAGGUGUGGAGAGAAGUUUGGAAUAGGUCAUCAGUGUAAGAAAGGAAGUCUGAACUGUGUGAGCACUGAGGAAGAGGAGGACACUGAAUUUGAGGAUGCGGAAGGGGAACAGGAUGAGUUAACAGGAAGGGUCGGGGAACUUGCAGAAGUCUCUUUGAAUGCUUUAUCUGGUGCCAUAAGGAGGAAAUCCAUCCUGUUGAUAGGGAACUUAGGGGGGCUUCCAGUCAAAAUUUUGGUGGACACAGGCAGUUCUAACAGCUUCAUUCACCACAGGAUUGUCAACCUACUGCAUCUACCAUAUCAGGCAGUCAGUCCAUUUACUGUGACUCUAGCAGAUGGAACUGACAUUACCAGUGGAGCCAUCAGUCCCAGCGUGUCUUGGUUAAUUCAGGACUAUCAAUUCCAAUUUGACUUAAAAGUAAUGGAAUUAGGGGGAUGGGAUAUAAUUCUGGGGGUGGACUGGAUGUGCCAGUAUAGUCCCAUUACAUUUGAUUUCCACUCUCUUAGCAUUGCCCUUAGUGAUAGGGGUUCUUUACUACACCUCCAAGGACUUGUGAAGCAACCUACUAUGGAACUGGUGAGGGGCAGGGAUCUCAGCUCGUUUAUACAGGAGAAGCAAAGAAACUGUGCAGCCAUGCAUGCUGAUAGGGCCAGGGAAACAGGAGAGCAGCUUCCAAAAGCUAUAGAAAGGAUCCUGGAACAGCACUCUCAGGUUUUCUCCACCCCAACAGGAUUACCCCCAGAGAGGGAAUUGGACCAUCAGAUCAACCUCAAACCAGGAGCUGAACCCUUCAAGCUCAAACCUUACAGGUACCCCCACUCACAUAAAGCAGAAAUUGAAAAAAAAGUUGCUGAGAUGCUCACUAAUGGAAUUGUUAUACAUAGCACAAGCCCCUAUGCCUCCCCUGUAUUGUUAGUAAAGAAAAAGGAUAACUCCUGGAGAUUAUGCAUAGAUUACAGGAAGCUGAACGAGCUGACUAUAAAGGAUAAGUUCCCUAUUCCCAACAUAGAUGAACUAUUGGAUGAAUUACAUGGAACCAGAUACAUGUCCAAACUGGAUCUCAGAGCUGGUUACCAUCAGUUGAGGGUGAAAGCUGUUGAUACCCCUAAGACUGCCUUCCAGACACACCAUGGCCACUUUGAAUUCUUAGUGAUGCCUUUUGGACUCACAAACGCGCCAGCUACAUUUCAGUCCUUGAUGAACAGAAUAUUUCAGCCAUAUCUCAGAAAGUUUGUCCUAGUCUUCUUUGACUACAUAUUAGUGUACAGCCCCACACUAGAGAUGCAUGCACAGCAUCUACAGAUUGUGCUCAAUAUUUUAGAAGAAAAUCAGCUGUAUUACAAGAGGUCAAAGUGCUCUUUUGCCCAGUCCUCAAUUGAAUACUUGGGGCACGUGAUCUCAGAGGCAGGAGUGAGUAUGGAUGUGGCUAAGGUGGAGUGUAUCAAGUCCUGGUCUGUUCCUAGUACAGUCAAGGAGCUGAGAGGGUUUUUGGGAUUAAUUGGUUACUACAGGAGAUUCAUUAAAGGCUAUGGAGUGAUUAGCAAACCCUUGACUGUAUUGUUGAAAAAGGAAGGUUUUGCAUGGAACCAUGAAGCUCAAAUGGCCUUUGAAGAUUUGAAAAAGGUUAUGACCACAGCCCCAGUGCUGAGCAUGCCUAAUUUCGAACUUCCUUUUGUCAUAGAGACUGAUGCCUGUGGAAUAGGUAUUGGAGCAGUGUUGAUGCAGCAAGGACAUCCUAUUGCUUUCCUUAGCAAGGCAUUAUCAGUUCAGAAUUUGGGGUUAUCAGUCUAUGAAAAAGAGCUUUUUGCCUUAGUGCUAGCUGUAACUAAGUGGAGGCAUUACCUGGUGGGUCAUCACUUCAUUAUCAGGACAGAUCACCAAGCUCUCAAACAUUUGAUAGAGCAAAGGCUUACUCAUCCACUCCAGCACAAGUGGCUAACUAAGCUACUUGGUUUGGACUAUGAAAUACAGUAUAAAAAGGGUGCAGACAAUGGGGUGGCAGACGCCCUCUCCAGGAGAAGGAUUGAGGGAAACACUGUUGACUGUGGAGAGACUGGGCAUCAGACCUGCGCCAUAACCUCAGCUCAGCCUAGUUGGAUGCAGGAAAUGCUAGAAAGCUACAUUGGAGAUGCAGAGGCUCAACAGAAGUUAUCUGAGCUAUUGCUGGAUCCCAAUGCAGAUCCAGAUUAUCAGUUAAAGAAUGGGAUGCUCAAGUUUAAAGGGCGGCUGUACAUAGGAUCUGCUAACAACAUUAGGACCAAGGUGGUCAGAGCAUUGCAUGACUCAGCCCUUGGGGGGCACUCAGGUCCUGGAAUCCGUAAGGAUGUCCUUCAAUAUGUGAGAUCUUGUGAUGUGUGUCAAAGGAACAAACAUGAAAAUGUUCCUUAUCCUGGGUUGCUGCAACCAAUUCCUGUACCUCAGCAGGCUUGGUCACACCUCACCAUGGAUUUUAUUGAGCAACUACCCCCAUCCCAUGGAUUUGAUACCAUUUUGGUGGUGGUGGAUAGGUUAACCAAGUUCAGCCACUUCAUUCGACUCACUCACCCUUUUUCUGCACAGCAGGUAGCACAGCUUUUCCUUGACAACAUAUACAAGCUGCAUGGACUUCCUGAGACCAUUAUAACUGACAGGGACAUAAUCUUUCUUAGUAAGUUUUGGCAAGAGUUAUUUGGUAUGGUAGGGGUAAAGCUGCACUACAGUUCAUCGUAUCACCCUCAAUCAGAUGGUCAAAGUGAAAGGGUCAAUCAGUGUUUGGAAAACUAUCUCAGGUGUAUGUGCAGUGAGCAUCCUUCUCACUGGAGCAGUUGGCUUCCUACAGCUGAGUUAUGGUACAACACUAACUUCCAUACUAGCUUGCAGGUGACACCAUUCGAAGCACUAUACGGGUAUAAACCAAAUCACCUUCCCUUAGGACCUUUUCAUGAUAGCCUGGUACCUGCUGCUGGUAACAUGGUGCAGACUAGGCUCCAAAUUCUAUCCCUCAUCAAAGAGAAUCUAGCCACCGCCCAGAAUCGAAUGAAAAUGUUUACUGAUAAGCACAGGACUGAACGUGUCUUCCAAGUGGGGGAUUGGGUAUUUCUCAAGCUGCAACCUUACAGGCAACAAUCAGUGGCCUUACGGAAGAAUUUGAAGUUGGCUGCCAAAUACUUUGGACCUUUCCAGAUCCUUGCGAGAGUAGGGGAAGUCGCCUACAGACUUAAGUUGCCAGAGGGAGCUCGAGUUCAUUCCGUGUUCCAUGUGUCCUUACUUAAAAGGAAAGUGGGAGUUACACAGCAGGUAAAGCCCAGCUUGCCAGAAGUAGACGCAUCAGACCAAUGUUUGCUGAAGCCAGAGAAGAUUCUCCAGAGGCGUGUUAUCAUACGAGCUGCCAAACCAAUCAUCCAGUACCUGGUGAAGUGGAACAACUUACCAGAAUCCGAAGCAUCAUGGGAGGAUAAAAGCUUCAUUGACAGACAAUUUCCGGAAUUUCAAGCUUGAGGACAAGCUUUGCUUAAGGGGAAGAGAUUGUCAGGAACAAGGAAAUAGAAUGGGACGUCGUUUAAUGCAAAGGGUUGUGCGUUUAAGGCCUUAGAAGCAAUACUACGUCAUUCUAAUAACAUAGGCGGUGCUGGUGUGAUAGGCCAAGUUAGUUGAGGGUCAAUUACAUAAAUAGCCUUCUGUAACAGAUUUUUGGUUAUGUUUUUGAAUGAAAAGUAUCUCGCUGCUUUCUCUCUCUUGUCUGUUAUUUCCCUCCCUUUUCUUCUUUCUCUCUUCCCUCUUCUUAAUCUUGUUUCUUUCUUCUGAUUCUUCCCCCAAAUUCAAUACAAUUCCAGAAAUUAACCUGCAGAUCUGACAAGGAGCCCUAUUCUAACCAAAUAACACACUACCAGGGUUAUUUUAGGUUAGCCCGCGUAUUCCCCUGACAUGAAUCCAAUCAUGCCAGUUAUCACUAUUUUGAAACAAUUAAACAAUUACGGAUUUAACGUCCCAAUUGACAAUAGAUUAUCAAAUUAACUAAUUAUCCGGAUCCAAAACAAUCAAUUAAUUAAAUAAUCAUAAGCACUGUAAUCAGGGAAUAUUUGAAUACCAAUAAAUAAAAAGAAAGGACAAAAUUAAAUCGAUUUCACAAUUUUUAAACGAACCACAACCUCAGUUGUUCCUCGGCUAGAUUGAGAAAAUUAGCUCAUGUUCGAUGCGAAAAAUCCACAAGAAAUUGUUAAGAGAGCCGCGGCCAUUGUCCCUUGAAAUUGGGGAAAUUCAAUUCGGUUGAACUACGAAAGAAAAGUAAGCUACAGAGAGUUGCCGAUUGGGUUUUGCUUGUCCCUAACAUGCGAGGGAGCAAAGCCACGAAAGGACGACAAAGGUCAAAAAGAAAGGCUACAGAGCAUGUUCCAGGUCUUUUUGUGCUCUCCACAUCCGAGCCAACGAAAAGAAAUAAAAAACUACCAGGAGCUAAAGGAAAACCGCAAGAAAAGUCAAAGGCUAAAAAAACUUCCUAGUGCUUGUUCUCUGCUUAUCUCUUUAUCUAAUUCUAAGUCCCCGAUUUUUUGCUCCGUGCGGCGGCUCCCCCGGAGAGAAAGGAUUGCAUCCGCUGCCCUCUUCCACCAAUUACCAAAAUGGGCACACCGCUUCUUUUUCAAAAAUGCUCCUGGAUAAACUCUAUCAUCUGGACUUUUUUUCUGUCAAAUUGACAUUUAUUAUUAUAUUUUCGUUCUACUCCCUGAAAUAAAUGUAAAAUAUUAAAAAUGAGUAGAAUCCGACAAUUAAUUCACAUCAGGUCAGAUAAUAAAGAAAAUUAAUAAUAAAAUAAAUAAAUAAAUUGCAACCUAUCAACCAAAUACAACAAUUUCAUGGAGUUUGAUACACAAGCCCAAAUACACGAGAGUGUGUAACCUGAAUUGUUACUUAUACAUUAGUGUGUAAUAGAACGGCAAGCAUUAUGGUGGUCAUUGAGCAACUUGUAGGAGAAAUAGUCCUAUAAGCUGUUCAAUGACCAAUCACAACUUGCUAAUUGGAUGACUAAUAUAGCUCUAGCUGUAAUGUUUUAAUUAAAUUCCAUCACUAACGUUGGGAUGACUUUUUAAUCAAAAAAAAAAAAGCCUUAGUUCAAGCUUUUCCCCUUAUUGUGCAUUUUUUAAAACAUUUGAUAGGCACUGCAAAUCUGUCAUUUUGGACAUUUUAUUAUUAACUAACAAUGAAAGCCGUGGACAUCAACCCAUAUCCAACAAAAUAUUAAAUUAAUAUUAGAAAAAAUUAUUAAGUAAUUGGAAAAAAAAAGAAGAGGCUAAUUUUCAUUGAAACCCACCGACAAACUAUACGCUGCUUUCAAUCAGUUUUAACACGGGAAAAAGAAAAGGCAUGAAAAGCAAAAUUUGUGGGGAUAAUUUCGGAAACCUCCCAUGAAGUUUUUGACUAUUUUACUGGCCUCCCUUCAGAUUUUAAAAAUUGGACUAAUCUUCCUUAAAGUUAAUUAUCUUGUAACAUUUAGAUCCGAUCAAUAAUUUAAAAAAUAAUAUUAUGAGAGAGAAAAUAAUAUGAUUUUAUUAUUGCCCCCAUCUCACCACAUUAUUUAAUUAAUUUAAUAGCAACCCACACAUUAAAGAAAAUGACAGGUCGUCAACCUGUGCAAUAAUAAAAUUAAACCUAAUUGCCAGUUAAAAUGACCAAAACCCAAUUCCAAGUACUGGAGCAGGGACUCUAGGUGUGCAAUGGGUUACUUGAUUCACCCUGUUCCCGAAGAGUUUGCUUGAUCCGAUAUACCCGAAUGGAAUGGUUAUUCCUUUUCACAAAUGAUUAGGAAUUUGUAGACAGGGCAAGUAGGGUCGUAUCCACAGAGACUGGGUAUAUUUGUUUCUUAAGAAAUCCAAAGUAACACAGGGGGUGAUUUUGUAGGAACGACGAUAAUUAAAUAAAUUCAAAUGAGAAAGUAAAAAUAAAUAAUUAACUAGAAAUUAAACCACAAUUUACUGAACUCAGGAUAACAAUAGUUAAAGGCCUCAAUUAAUUAAAAUAAGGAAACAAUCAAAAAUAAAAUAAAGUAGGUAAUUAAAAGUCAAAUGGCAAUCCACUACAAUCAAGGAAAUAUUAACUAAAGAUCUAGCCAAGAAAUAACUUCAGCAAUGGUUCACCUAAUCGAUCAUUGAUGCAAAGCAAUCCCAAUUAUUUACUAAUAAAUAGGUUAUAACUACCAAACAAGCGAUGGCAGUCAACCCCUCCUUACUGUGUCGGUGAUCAAGGUACGCCCGUUAAUCACUGCUCUAAUUGAGAAAUAAUCCUAGGUACGCCCGUAGAAUUUAAUUCCCCAACUGCCUUACGUAUUAGAGGAGCCCUAUUCUACCCAAAUAACACACUACCAGGGUUAUUUUAGAUUAGCCCGCGUAUCCCCCUGACACGAAUCUAAUCGUGCCAGUUGUCACUAAUUUGAGGUAAUUAAACAAUUACGGAUUCAAUACCCCAAUUGACAAUAGAUUAUCAAACCAAUGAAUUAUCCGGAUCCAAGACAAUCAACUAAUUAAAUAAUCAUAAGCACUGCAACCAAGGAAUAUGCGAAUACCAAUAAAUAAAGGAAAAGAUAAAAUUAAAUCGAUCUCACAAUUUACAGGUGACCCAAAGCAUCAGUCGUUUCUUGACUAGAACGAGGGGGUUAGCUCAUAUUGGAUGAACUAAGCCCGCGGGAAAUUCCAGCAAAAGUCACGGCCGUUGUAUGCAUUUCAAGAGCCGCAAUUCGUCAAACACUUGGAAAGCGAAUGUAAGGCACGGGUAACAAUUGAAACUUUCUAAUUGUUCCUAGCAUUCGUAAAGCAAAUUCACUCCAGAAGUACAGUGAGGAAAAGUCAAAGAAAGUGGGCUUCAAUUCCUUGCUCCUGACAUGCGUGGAGACAAGCCAAUGCAAGACUACAAUAAACUAACAAGGAAAAGUCAAGAAUUGGAGCUAAGCUCCCCUGCCAUGCGCAGGAAUCCCAAAAGUAAAAAGUAAAGCUUCAAAGAAAAGUCAACAAUUCUUCCUAAGCUACAGACGGAAGAUCCAGCACAAAAGCCAGCUCCCUUUUUGAUCCCUUUUUCCCCCUUCUUAUUGCGGCGGCUCACCAGGAGAGGAGAGCCCUCCGUCCGUCCUUUCUUCCGGAAAUUACCAAAAUGGGCAUGACAUCUUCUCUUCCAAAAGUGCCCCUGGGACAAGCUUUCUCAUCUGAAUUCUUUUUUUUUCCAAUUUGGCACCUGUUAUCAUAUUUAUAUUCUACUCCCUGAAAUAAACGUCAAAUACUAAAAGUGAGUAGAAUCCAGCAAAUAAAUCCACAUCAAGUCAGGUAAUAGGAGGAAUUAAUAAUAAAAUAAAUGAAUAAAUUGCACCCUAUCAAUUCCCUCCACACCUAAACCAUGCUUGUCCUCAAGCAUAAGAAAAGUAAACGAACACCAAAAUUCGACGAUAGCCAUUGCCCAAUCUCCUAUAUUGCCAAGACAUUCAAGAGAAAAACACAUAUCGAGCAUUGGUGAUUAGAAUCCCAGAAGCAUCCCCCCGGUUAGCCUCUAACCCCCAGAUUCCUUCAAUUUCCAACUUAACUACUCUAAGAAAGAGGAAUGGCACACAACAUUUAUCAGCUAGUGGUCCGAAUAUUCACACAAGUCUUCAUAUCCAAUCCAUAAACCGGCAAGCUUCCCUAUUAUUUAGUCUCUCUUUUUUUCCGUUUUUUUUCAUUUUCAUUCUUCCCCUCUUUUUUUUUUUUUUUUAAAGCAGUAGCAAUCAACACAAAAGACUUAGUCGUUAGCCGUCAGGGCCUUUUGAUGCGAACUCCAACAUUUUUAGAAGGAGGAGCCCGGUUACUCAGCUCCUACCGCUAUACGACCACGCACUCAUAUAAAAUACCACCUUUUGACGCGAGAAUCGACACUUUUAGGUGCCGAUCCCCGGUUACUCAGUAGUAACUUAAUAGCGGAGCACAGUCAAGCUUAUUCUCAGCCAAACAAUGCACAAACGCAAAAUAACAGCACUAACAAUCAAACAUAGGAGCAGCUCGCCUCAUUAUUGUCAAACAUGGAGAACUGGAGUCAAUAUUGGACCAGUUCACAUUAAAAGGCCAUAUUCAUUCCCUACGCCUAGAAAAGUUAACAAAGAAAUCGAAAGAGUCAAACAGUUAAAUAUUCACCAAGGGGAUAUUCAGGACCCAACCACACUAACCCGAUACAUUUUGUAUUUUAAAAACUUGGCAAAAGUAGAUUUGGAGUCAAUGAGUCCACAUCUCAAUUUUAGCCUUCACAUGAAAGGCAAUCACCAAGAAGAAAGAACGGAAAAAUAAGCAACUAGAAAUGAGACUACGAAAAACUACUAAAACUAAAAACUCACUUUUUUUCUUUUUCUCUUUUUUUUUCUUUUUGAAUUUUUUUUUCAUUUUUAUUUUUUUUUAUUUUUUUUAUUUUUUAAACAUUAACUAUAAACAUUAACUACUAAAAACUAAAAACUAAAACUACUAAAAACUAAAAACACUAAAAACUGCUAAAAUGAAAAGCUGAAAACUGAAAACUACUAAAAACGGAGCACACUAGCAUAACUUUAGAUCCCCCCCACACCUAUAGGACACAUUGUCCUCAAUGUGACAAAUAAGAACCAAAAGUGAAGCACAAGUGAGAGGGGAAUCAGCCAAACUUCCCUGAAAUCGGGUCACAGCGGAGGGCGAGGUGGAAAUGGAGGUGCAAAGCCUGUAUGCAUCAGGAACUGUGCCAAAUUCUGUGCUAUGCCGGCGACAUUGGCGUCGACGUUGGUCAUCCGGGCCUGCAAAUCCUGAACCAGCUCCCUGAGAUGCUGCCAAUCAUCGGUCCCAGGUGGUGGAGGUGGCGCAGAAGUAGAGGUAGACGGCCCAGCAGUGUCCGCGGCCGACCCAGGGAAUGAAGAUGGCCCUGCCCGGGCCGAAUGGUGUGCACCCGGGGCUCGAGGUGGUCCCGGACGGGUAAACUGGUGAAAACCAUCUGGCAGACGCUCGACGACCCCCAUUUUCUCUAAGCAAACUACGUCCAAGUGCUCCAUCUCAAAUGCCAAAUGGAGGUCGUGGUCAUCCAGGUUAAGAACUCCCAACUGGGUCGCCAAGUGAGUGAUGUAGGACCCAAGGAUCAGUGGUUUGUUCUUCUUGGUCAAGACCGUCUUGAACUGUGCGGCCAACCAACAUCCCAAGUUCACCUUGAUAUUGUUCUUCAUACUCCAGAGAAAGAAGAAUUCGGGCCGAGAGAGUAUACCGGAGCUGUCCUUGCGCCCCGAGUAGCUAUAAGCUAAGAAUCGCUGAACAUAGCGGGCGCUAGGGUCCUUAAGAAAGGAGCUCCUGGACCGGGAAGGAUCGUAGCGUUGCCUAUCGACGGACAUGUCCUCCCAUACAUCAUGGUAGUGGGAGAGGAAAGGCUCUACGUAGUCACAGGCACUCUCCGCAUACUCCCUAGUCUCAGCAUACUCUCUAGUGAUAAACCCAAAUGCCAGAUUGAAUUGAGUAAUGGAGAAAUUGAAUUCUCGACCCAUGAGCCGGAAAUGAAUGACAUUCGGUGUUUCACCCGUGUAUCUCGUAGGUAAUUCGAACUCAAAGGUGGAGUAAAACUCCCGGAUCAGCUCAACAAAAGCGGGACAAGAAAUAUGGAAAUAUGGGCGCCACCCAAUGGCUGUGAACAUUUGCUCAACCUCCUCCCGUAUACCCAGGGCAGUUAGAGAGAGUCUAUGACAAGACUUACAGGAUAUUAUACGCCUCUCGCAGACCUUAGCGUACCUCUGCCGAUCGGCGGGUCUGGUAAAUGUUAAGUGCCCCCCAAAAUGAACAGGUGCAUCUACCUGAGCACCCCUAUCCCUACCCAAACGGGUUCGAACACUAGAAGAGGAGGGUAGGUUGGUAGGUGAGUUGACAGGAAUAGAGGCUUGUGGAGGGGGUUGAGACUGAGAGGUCCUAGACCUAGAGGAGGAUUUCGGUCUCACCAUUCCCCCCAAAGUAAGUUCAAGGCAACAGAAAAUCCGACAAGUAUAGAAACCAGCAAUUGACAAAGCAAAAAUCUCCCAGUAGUAACCCAGCCAAUAGCAAACAAAAGAGUUCCAGCAAGUAAUCAACAAGCAAUUCAGAAAUAUCUCAACUAAAAUCUCAAGAGAAACCCCAGCGAGUUAUCCAGCAAUUCAAGCAAUAUCCCCAAGCAAUGUGGUGGUCAAAAUGUCAUCUCCAAAUUGAACAAAUAAUCAGAGCAUUGCAACACAUUGAAAAUCUCAAUAAACGGCUCCAGUUGGCCAAGAAAAAUUGCUAACUCAUACUCAGCAAUAGUAGUGCAGCAAAGGGACAGUAACCACGCAAUAAAAACACUUAGCUUGCACUCAAAUGGUCACCCCAAAUAACAACCCAGUAUGAAACCCGCAGGCAGAGUAUUCCUCAAACCGUUAGCCUAAACCCAGUCAACAACCACGGCCAGAAAUAACCCCAUAAAUAGUGCAAUGAGUAAUCCCCAGCAACAUAAUCAGGUGUAAUCAACUGGAGCAAGCAAUUUACAUGGCAUAGAAACCUCCCAAUCAAACAAGUGCAUUAUUCUAGCGCACCCCAAAAUUCCAAGAAAUGGCUCCAGUUGGCCAAUUAAUUUCACAAUGUCACCCAACUCAGGAGAAAUAGCAAUUCCACACAAAAAUAGUCAAACCAGUACCACUGGCGAAAAAUCUUUCAAAUAUGCACAAUUUGCUACCAAAUAUCACCGGCUAACACUGAAAAAUUGAGGGCAAGUGUCAAAUACCUCCACAGGGACUACCCCAGGCGGCAGACAGAGAAGCGGCGUUGAAGCUGGUGGUCGAGCGGGGCGGCGCUCGCGUCGGCGUGCGCAGCGGCGACGGCGCGCGAGGAUGGAGUUUCGGGAGGUUGCGUGCGGGCUUGGCUGAAGACGCGGCGCGCGCUAGGGCUUCGCUGCGGCAGGCGUGCAGCAGGGGAGAAGAAAGAAAAGAGAAAGAAAGAAAGAAAAAGAAAGGAAAGAAAGAACAGAAAAGAAGGAAAAGAAAAAGGAAUUUUUCUUUUUUUUCUUUUUCUUUAGGCUACGGUUUAGAGGACAAAUUUUUCUUCUUCUUGUUUUCUACUUUUUUAUUUUUUUAUUUUUUAGUUUUUAAUUUAUUACUAUUAUUAUCAUAUUUAAUUGAGGAAAAAAAAUGUUUUUUUUUAAAUCCCUACCUUUCCCACGAACGUGACGCGGGCACGUCAAGAGGGCAAGAGAGCUCCCAGAAGUUUCAGAAUUUUCUGAUCGUAAGCGUCCUGCACAUCACCACGCGGGCACGUCAUGAGGACAGGAGAGCUCCCAGAAGUUCAGAAUUUUCUGAUCGUGAGCGCCCUGCACGUCACCACGCGGGCACGUCAUGAGGCCAGGAGAGCUCCCAGAAGUUUGAAGUUUCUGAUUCCUGCCCGUCAUCACGCGGGCGCGUCAUGACUGAAGGUCACCUACAAAUCAGCAAAAACGAAAACUAACACCCAAAAUCAGUCAAAUUCAGGGAAAGCAGAUUUAAACUAUGCUACAAAACCAACAAACAAUUAAAAGAAAUAAUUAGGUUGCCUCCCAAUGAGCGCCUUUCUUUAAUGUCUUUGGCUAGACAUGGUAAAGUGUCACUGAUUAGGACACGGUGGUGCGUCAAGCCUUAUUGUCUCCACCUCUCUACCUGAAAAUCCUUCGUAAUAAUAUUUGAGACGGUGUCCAUUCACCACAAAUUUGUUGUCUGUCUUAGCACUCUGGAUCUCAACUGCACCAUAGGGAAAAACAUGAGUAACAAUGAAAGGUCCAAUCCAACGGGAACGUAGCUUACCUGGGAAUAGCUUGAGCCUGGAUUGGUACAGGAGGACCUUCUGACCAACUUCAAAUGUUUUUCUUGAAAUUUGUUGGUCAUGAAAUGCCCGGCUUUUCUCCUUAUAUAUCAAGGCGUUUUCGUAUGCUUCGUUCCGGAUCUCCUCCAAUUCUUGCAAAUCCAACUUCCGUUGAGCACCGGCCUCCUCUAAAUUCAUAUUGCAGUGCUUUAUCGCCCAAAAAGCCUUGUGCUCGAACUCCACUGGAAGGUGACACGGCUUCCCAAAUACCAACCUGUACGGUGACAUCCCAAUAGGAGUCUUGUACGCCGUCCGAUAGGCCCAGAGUGCGUCUUCCAACCUUUGGCUCCAGUCUUUUCUAUCAGGGCGCACCAUUUUCUCUAAAAUGGACUUAAUCUCCCGAUUCGACACCUCCGCUUGACCAUUGGUCUGAGGGUGGUAUGACGUUGAGACCCUGUGGAGUACACCAUACUUGCGAAACAACGCAGCUAUGGUUUUGUUGCAAAAGUACGUUCCCCUAUCACUGACAAUAGCUCUAGGCAUUCCAAACCGCACAAAGAUAUUAGACCUGAUAAAAUCUGCAACUACUCUCGAAUCAUUAGUUCGAGUGGCCUUAGCCUCCACCCAUUUAGACACAUAAUCAACUGCCAGCAAAAUAUAUAAAAAACCAAAUGAAGUAGGAAAAGGCCCCAUGAAAUCUAUACCCCAGACAUCAAAAAUUUCAACAAAAAUCAACGGGACCUGGGGCAUUUGAUCUCUACGGGCUAUAUUACCUACCAUUUGACAGCGAUCACAUGACUUACAAAACACAUAGGCAUCUCUAAACAAUGAAGGCCAAUAAAAUCCACUUUCUAAAACCUUAUGAGCAGUUCUCUUAGGUCCAAAAUGACCUCCACAGGCAAAAGUAUGACAAAAAGCUAAAAUUGAUUGAAAUUCCAUUUCACUUACACAUCUCCUCAUCACUUGAUCGGCACACCUCUUCCAUAGGUACGGGUCAUCCCAGAUAAAAUACUUGGCAUCGCUCUUCAAUUUAUCCCUCUUCGAUUUCGGCCAACCUGCAGGAAAAUUACCAGUUACCAAAUAAUUGACCAAAUCAGCAUACCAAGGCAACUGAGAAUUUAAGAAAAAUAGGUAUUCUUCGGGGAAUGCAUCCUUCAAUGGCUCGCUAUCCUCUUCAACUAGUAUGCGACUCAAAUGGUCCGCUACUAGAUUUUCUGAGCCUUUUUUGUCCCUUAUCUCCAAGUCAAAUUCCUGUAGGAGCAGUAUCCACCGUAUGAGCCUCGGUUUUGCAUCUUUCUUGGUCAUCAGGUACCUCAAUGCUGCAUGAUCAGAAAAUACAAUCACUUUAGCACCUAACAAGUAUGACCUAAAUUUUUCCAAAGCAAAAAUAACUGCCAGAAGCUCCUUCUCAGUGGUGGAAUAAUUCAACUGGGCUCCAUUCAAGGCCCGGGAUGCGUAAUAGAUGACAUGAGCCGCCUUGCCUAUUCUUUGCCCCAGUACAGCCCCAACAGCGUGAUCACUGGCAUCGCACAUGAUCUCAAAUGGCAAAUUCCAAUCGGGGGGUUGGAUGAUUGGGGGUGAAGUCAGCAAUUCCUUCAGCUUGUUAAAGGCUCUCUCACACUUAUCAUCAAAUUCGAAGGCUACAUCUUUUUGUAGGAGUUGGAACAACGGGGCUCCAAUCUUUGAAAAAUCCUUGAUGAACCUUCGAUAAAAACCUGCAUGUCCAAGAAAAGAGCGCACCUCCCGCACACUCGCGGGGUAAGGUAAUGCAGAAAUAAUGUCUAUUUUAGCCUUGUCAACUUCUAUGCCCUUAGACGAUACAAUAUGACCCAGGACUAUUCCGUGCUCAACCAUAAAAUGACAUUUUUCCCAAUUAAGCACAAGAUUAGUCUCUAUACACCUGAUCAGGAUUAAUUUCAGGUUAUCUAGACAAGUAUCAAAACUAUCACCAUACACACUGAAAUCAUCCAUGAAAACUUCUAUUAUUUUCUCAACAUACUCGGAAAAGAUGCUUACCAUACAUCUUUGGAAAGUCGCAGGUGCAUUGCACAACCCAAAUGGCAUUCGUCUGUAGGCAAAGGUCCCGAACGGGCACGUGAAGGUUGUCUUCUCUUGAUCCUCCGGGGCAAUUGCUAUCUGAAAGUAUCCUGAAAAUCCAUCCAAAAAGCAAUAAUAAGCCCUACCAGCUAAACGUUCAACCAUUUGGUCAAUGAAAGGGAGAGGGAAAUGGUCCUUUUUGGUGACGGCGUUUAGCCUACGGUAAUCUAUACAUUGCCUCCAUCCAGUGGGUUUGCGCACUGGCACGAGCUCACCAGUUUGGUUGGCCUCUACCGUCACUCCUGCAUUCUUUGGGACUACCUGGACCGGACUCACCCAAGGGCUAUCAGAUAUUGCAAAAAUGAUGCCCACAUCUAGCAAUUUUAGAAUCUCUUUCUUUACGACUUCCAUCAUGAGGGGAUUGAGCCUUCUUUGAGCCUGCCUAACAGGUUUGGCAUCGUCUUCCAGCCUAAUCCGGUGCAUACAAAUGGCCGGGCUGAUCCCCUUAAUGUCUGCGAUUGUCCAGCCUAUUGCCUCUUUAUGCUCCCGAAGGACCCGGAUCAAUUUCUCUUCCUGGGUCUUUGACAGUGCCGAUGAGAUAAUCACUGGGAGUGUCUCAUUAUCACCUAGGUAUGCGUAUUUCAGGUGCUCUGGUAGAGGUUUCAACUCCAGUACAGGUGCCUGCACCACAGAUGGCAAUACCCUCUGGUGAGCCUUGGGAGUAAAAAUAGGUAAGACUUCAUACCUUUUCGUGGUGGUCUGCAACGAGUGUAAUGCACCUAUUGUGCAUUUUAAAUCCUCGCUCCACUCCACCUCAGGAGUUGUCUCCAACUCGAGGUGCUUGGUUAAAGCCACCUCCAGCUCAUCCCUGCCAUCAGUUUCAAACACUUCCUGCACUACAGGGUCAAUAGCACUCACAGAAAAAACUGAGCUAAAGUUGGAGUUAGAGGGGUACUUCAUAGUAUCAAAAAUAUUAAAAUGCACAAUUUACCCAUCAAACUCCAUGGACAAGGUACCCUUAUUAACAUCAAUUUUCGUCUGCGCAGUGCUCAUAAAAGGUCUACCCAAUAACAAAGGUGAGGGAUCAGGGGAGUGAUCAUCAUCCAUAUCUAGUACAUAAAAAUCAGCUGGAAACACCAAAUCAUUAACCUUUACCAACACAUCUUCAAUCAACCCAUCAGGAUAUGCAUUAGUUCGGUCAGCUAAUUGAAUAAUUAUUCCAGUUUCUUUUAAUGGACCUAGUUUCAAAGAAGCAUAGAUAGAUUUAGGCAUGACAUUAAUUGAUGCUCCCAGAUCCAGCAUGGCCCUUCUGAUCACAGUAUUACCUAUCUUACAGGGAAUAGUAAACAUACCUGGGUCCCCGCACUUUGGUGGGAGCUUUCUCUGCAGGACCGCAGACACAUUUUCUCCAACUAUGACCCGUUCAUCUCCCCUCAACCGCCUUCGGUUGACACACAAGUCCCUUAGGAACUUGGCAUAUUUUGGUACUUGUUUGAUGGCGUCUAAGAGGGGGAUAUUUAUCUCAACCUUGCGAAAAACCUCCAAGAUCUCCUUCUCCUUAUCCUGCUUCUUCGAUUUUUCCAACCUGCUAGGAAAAGGAGGCGGGUUAGUUUUAACUGUAAUUAUUGGGUCAGGAAGUACCUCUGGAUCUGCACCAUUGCUGUCCUCCCUUUCGAGCUCAUUUUCGAUCUUCUCUUCAUCCUUGUCCUUGGGAAUCACAGGUUCAGGCCCCUGAAUUUCUUUCCCACUCCUUAGGAUCAUUGCGCUCACGUUCUUCGGAUUCAACUCCGGUUGAGAUGGCAGCUUCCCUUGGUUCUGGGACUCCCAACGGUUCAUUCUGGUGGCCAAUUGACCUAUCUGAUUCCUUAUGUCCUGCAUUUCGGAGUCCGUCUUUUGCUGAUUUUGCAUAAUAGCUGCCUCCGUCCUUUGCUGAUUCUGCGCCAUGGUUGUCAUCAUUUGUUUCAGCAUCUCAUCCGUAGAUGAACCAGAUUGAGGGAGCGGAGGUGGUCGGGGUUGGUAUUGCUGCUGGUACCCUGGUGGCUUAUUUGGCACAAAGUUAGACUGCCUGUUUGGCGUGAAGUUGGAUUGCCUAUUUCCACCAUAACUGAGGUUGGGAUGAUCUCUCCACCCGGGGUUGUAGGUGCUUGAGUAAGGGUCGUACUGCUUCCUUGGCGCGGGCGCGUGGUCAGCCAUGUUCACCUGUUCCGCAGUUUCUUCCUGAAUCAUUGGGCACAUGUCUGCAGAGUGACCUAUACCAGUGCAAAUCCCGCAUACCCUGGCUUGUGAUGCAUUUCUCACAGCCUAUUGCCUAACGAACGCAGUCAACUCAUUUAGCUGCUGCUGCACAGAGGGUGUCUCUAUCUCAUUCACCCUACGUAUUGGGACAUCCUAUCUUGUACUGAAUUGCUGUGAAUUCUCUGCCAUCCCCUCUAUUAACUCCCGUGCUUCCUGAGGGGUUUUGUUCACCAGUGCCCCUCCACUUGCAGCAUCAAUGAUGCUCCUGUCUCUAAAAAUGAGCCCCUCAUAGAAAUAUUGUAUGAUCAACUGCUCACUUAUUUGGUGAUGGGGGCACCUGCGCAACAAGCUCUUAUACCGUUCCCAAUACUCGUAAAGUGACUCCUCGGGAUGCUGCUUGAUCCCACAAAUUUCUUUCCUUAGACUCGCAGCCCUGGACGCAGGAAAAUAUUUAUCCAGAAAUUUUUUCUUCAAUUGGUCCCACGUGGUGAUGCUACCUGGUGACAGGUAGUACAGCCAGUCCUUCGCAGAAUCUUUCAAGGAGAAGGGGAAUGCCCUCAUUUUUAUCUGCUCUUCUGUGAUUCCCGGGGGUUUCAUACUGUUGCAAACGACAUCAAACUCCUGCAGAUGCUUAUACGGCUCUUCACCUGGUAAACCAUGAAAAGAGAGUAAAAGCUGAAUCAGACCAGAUUUUAGUUCAAAUGGAAUGUUGUCAUUUAAAGCUGGGAAAGUAAUGCAUAACGGCUGCUGAGUUAAAUCAGGAGCAGCCAACUCCCUUAAUGUUUAUGCAUUAGCCAUGGUGCCUUCCUGCUGGUCAGAGUCACUCGAAGUGUUACCAAACGAAUCUGUUGGUUCAACUUCUGACUCGGGUCUUUGAGAUGUAGCACUAGAGUGCUCUUCUCUGAGCUGUCUGGUUUCCUUUCUCGUUCUACGCGCGGUCUUCUCUACCUCAGGAUCAAAAACCAAAUCACCUGUGCGACAAGAUCGAGGCAUACACUAGAAGAAAACCAGAAAAUUAGGACAAAAUUGAAUUUAAGAAGAAACAAAUAAUAACGCCAGUCCCCGGCAACGGCGCCAAAAAUUGACAGGUCGUCAACCUGUGCAAUAAUAAAAUUAAACCUAAUUGCCAGUUAAAAUGACCAAAACCCAAUUCCAAGUACUGGAGCAGGGACUCUAGGUGUGCAAUGGGUUACUUGAUUCACCCUGUUCCCGAAGAGUUUGCUUGAUCCGAUAUACCCGAAUGGAAUGGUUAUUCCUUUUCACAAAUGAUUAGGAAUUUGUAGACAGGGCAAGUAGGGUCGUAUCCACAGAGACUGGGUAUAUUUGUUUCUUAAGAAAUCCAAAGUAACACAGGGGGUGAUUUUGUAGGAACGACGAUAAUUAAAUAAAUUCAAAUGAGAAAGUAAAAAUAAAUAAUUAACUAGAAAUUAAACCACAAUUUACUGAACUCAGGAUAACAAUAGUUAAAGGCCUCAAUUAAUUAAAAUAAGGAAACAAUCAAAAAUAAAAUAAAGUAGGUAAUUAAAAGUCAAAUGGCAAUCCACUACAAUCAAGGAAAUAUUAACUAAAGAUCUAGCCAAGAAAUAACUUCAGCAAUGGUUCACCUAAUCGAUCAUUGAUGCAAAGCAAUCCCAAUUAUUUACUAAUAAAUAGGUUAUAACUACCAAACAAGCGAUGGCAGUCAACCCCUCCUUACUGUGUCGGUGAUCAAGGUACGCCCGUUAAUCACUGCUCUAAUUGAGAAAUAAUCCUAGGUACGCCCGUAGAAUUUAAUUCCCCAACUGCCUUACGUAUUAGAGGAGCCCUAUUCUACCCAAAUAACACACUACCAGGGUUAUUUUAGAUUAGCCCGCGUAUCCCCCUGACACGAAUCUAAUCGUGCCAGUUGUCACUAAUUUGAGGUAAUUAAACAAUUACGGAUUCAAUACCCCAAUUGACAAUAGAUUAUCAAACCAAUGAAUUAUCCGGAUCCAAGACAAUCAACUAAUUAAAUAAUCAUAAGCACUGCAACCAAGGAAUAUGCGAAUACCAAUAAAUAAAGGAAAAGAUAAAAUUAAAUCGAUCUCACAAUUUACAGGUGAUCCAAAGCAUCAGUCGUUUCUUGACUAGAACGAGGGGGUUAGCUCAUAUUGGAUGAACUAAGCCCGCGGGAAAUUCCAGCAAAAGUCACGGCCGUUGUAUGCAUUUCAAGAGCCGCAAUUCGUCAAACACUUGGAAAGCGAAUGUAAGGCACGGGUAACAAUUGAAGCUUUCUAAUUGUUCCUAGCAUUCGUAAAGCAAAUUCACUCCAGAAGUACAGUGAGGAAAAGUCAAAGAAAGUGGGCUUCAAUUCCUUGCUCCUGACAUGCGUGGAGACAAGCCAAUGCAAGACUACAAUAAACUAACAAGGAAAAGUCAAGAAUUGGAGCUAAGCUCCCCUGCCAUGCGCAGGAAUCCGAAAAGUAAAAAGUAAAGCUUCAAAGAAAAGUCAACAAUUCUUCCUAAGCUACAGACGGAAGAUCCAGCACAAAAGCCAGCUCCCUUUUUUAUCCCUUUUUCCCCCUUCUUAUUGCGGCGGCUCACCAGGAGAGGAGAGCCCUCCGUCCGUCCUUUCUUCCGAAAAUUACCAAAAUGGGCAUGACAUCUUCUCUUCCAAAAGUGCCCCUGGGACAAGCUUUCUCAUCUGAAUUCUUUUUUUUUCCAAUUUGGCACCUGUUAUCAUAUUUAUAUUCUACUCCCUGAAAUAAACGUCAAAUACUAAAAGUGAGUAGAAUCCAGCAAAUAAAUCCACAUCAAGUCAGGUAAUAGGAGGAAUUAAUAAUAAAAUAAAUGAAUAAAUUGCACCCUAUCAGAAAAAUGCAAAAAUUUGUUAUUUAUCAUUAAGGAUCAUAUCGCAUAUAACAUCAAAAAAUAGUAUAUUAUUUAUAUCUUUCACUUAAUAUAAUAUCCAAAUUACUCUUUUCAGUUACAUACCCAUUGUUAGACAAAAUCAACAACAAAUAACCAAAAAAUUUGCAACCAAAAUAUUACCAAAAAAAUAAACUUUAACAUCAUAAAUAUUUUUAUCAACAUAUUAAAGUUAGUUAUUGAAAUUUUUAUGGUGUUAAACUUCACUCUUAGCAAUAUUUUGGUUACAGAUUUUUUUGAUUAUUUAUUGUUGAUCGUGUUUGACAAUGGAUUUGUAACUGAAAAGAAUAAUUUGAAUCUUACAUUAAGUGAAAUAUAUAAAAUAUUAUACUAUUUUUUAUGGCAUAUGUGAUUCUUUUUUUUUUUUUUAUCAGAACGGCAACAUUGUAUUAAUAGUAAACCAAUUACAGUAUAGGUGGGCAACCGCCCUCACAAUCUGCCUGGACUUGUUCCAGCAGCCAAACUGGGAAGUUUUCCUUCCAUUCAGUAUUUUGUUCCAAAGUAAUAGCUACUUUAGCUAGUUUAUGGCUAACAAAGUUGUUCACCCUAUUUGCAAAGGUAAAACAACAUUCAUCAAAUUUUAUUCAUGUACAAUUGUUGCUAUCACCACGUCCUCCUCCUCCUCCUCACUGCACACUACUUGACUACCACCCUUCGCCAACCUUGCUGUUGCAUGUGCAACUAUCAUGGCCUCUCUUAGCGCCUUUGCUUCUUCGACCUUUGGACUGGCACAGCUAAAAUUUGGAACAGCCCAGGCCCACCCGCAAUCUUCCCAACCAAUCCCUGGCCACCCUUUUCCCACCCAGCUUCUAUGGCAUGUGUGAUUCAAUCCUUCUUGAUAGGAUUGGUAAUAGAGGCAGAGGGGGGAGCCGGCUGCAUCCGGUCUACUUUUCAUAGAUAGUACAAUAUUGCGAAAUCGAUCGCAUUCACACAAGAAUAUUUCGAAGUCAUUGCAUCGCUAAGUUGCAAAAAAGUACAAACACUUGUUAUUAUAUAGCUUAAGAUUCAAAACUUUAGAGCACAACCCUCCACCUAACACAAUUGAAUAAUGAAUAUUCACGAUUGUCAAAUCUGUCAAAGCACAGUUUGAGGACAACCCAUUCCAACCUGCAAAAGAUUUUUGACUUUUUUAAAGUUGUUGAGAGCUGUAAAAAGACUUACCAUGCUUACAUCUUCCGAGCCUUGGGAGUUAAAAAUGAAGGCACUGAGUGCUAUAAAAAGGGGGCUAGAGGCUGCCUAGAAGCAUAUCAGCCUAAAACAAGAAUUUGUAGUUAUGAUGGGAAGCAAAGCAAAAGCAAUGGGGUCUGGGCUGACUCCUCUUCUUACCACUGUUUUAGUGGUAUUUGUUGCUCUUGGCUUGCCCUCAGAAACUGCAGCUGAUGAUCACUACAAGUAUUCAUCUCCUCCUCCUCCUUACCACUAUCCCUCACCACCACCUCCAGUGCAUUUACCUCCACCAGUGUACAAAUACAAGUCCCCACCACCACCUCAUCAUGUUUACAAGUACAAAUCUCCACCACCCCCACCACCACACCCAGUUUACAAGUAUAAGUCGCCACCACCACCUCCUCAUCCGGUAUACAAGUACAAGUCUCCUCCGCCACCUCCUCAUCCGGUACCACACCCAGUUUACAAGUAUAAGUCACCACCACCACCUCCUCAUCCGGUACCACACCCAGUUUACAAGUAUAAGUCUCCUCCGCCACCAGUUUACAAAUAUAAGUCUCCUCCACCACCACCUCCAGUGUACAAAUACAAGUCUCCACCACCACCAGUUUACCACUACAAGUCUCCACCACCUCCUCCCCCAGUUUACAAAUACAAGUCUCCACCACCACCACCACCAGUUUACCACUACAAGUCACCACCACCUCCUCCCCCAGUUUACAAAUACAAGUCUCCACCACCUCCUCACCACUACUAAGCAAUUGCUUCUGAGGUAAUAACACUUGUUCAAUAUACCCACUUCUGCAUGAUAAAGCAUAUCUCUAUCAACACAAACUGUCAUGUCUAUCAUGCUAAGUGCCUUCACUUCAUCCACCAAAAUGACUGCUAGAAAAUUUUUUUUAUGUUACCAAAGAAAGGCAUCAUUUUUUCCCUCUGUUAUCAAGAACUUGUACAGUAUAUAGAUUAAAGAGUAUUUUUUUAACUAGCUUAUCAACUGAGAAAUGCAUAUAGCUGAUAGCCAGCUGAAUAUUUGCAGGCAAAGGAGAAGGAAACCAGUGUUUGAGACCUUCUUGAAGAUGUAGAAGCAUAAGAAUUAAAGCCCAAUGUGAAGAUGAUGAUUUCAAGUUUUUCUACGUUACCAUUUCUUUAUCUAAAUUGGUUGUAGCGCCUUAGUUCCUUUGUUUAUGGGAUUUGUAUCGUUUUACGUACCAUGCAGUACAUGUCAUGUUUGUAAGGUUUUCUAUCCUGCCGGCAAACCGCAGGUUCCAUGUAAUAAAUCAAUACUAUUUAUAUUACGACACUUUUCUCUGUUUCUCUUAUAUUUUGUCGUCUUUAAUAUUCUUAAUCAUAUUUUUAACAAAAAUAUUCAAACACUUAGGCAAUCUGGUCUAAUGCUAAUUGUAUGUUUUACUUUUCUUUUUCACCUGCUCCCCUUUUCAACUCAAAAGGAUGCAAUAGUUUGUGAUCACUGUUGAAGACGGAAGCAUGAUACUAAUGAAUAUAUCAUUGAAACUCAAGGAAACUAACAUUAUGAAAAGUGUAAAUCUUGAUUUGAUGCAACUAUUUAUUCGUGGAAUCUAUAGUUACAAAACUCAAACUCUGACUGCGCCAUUGAUAAAUUAUUAAUGACGCUAUCAUCAUUAUUUAUCCCCAACUAGUUUCGACUACAACUGAACCCAAUAUUUUCCCCAUGAUAAAAGUUUUUUACUAUUUUACUGGCCUCUCUUCAAAUUUUAAAAAUUACACUAAUCUUCAUUGAGAUUAAUUAUCUUGUAGCAUUUAAGUCCAAUUAAUAAUUAAAAAAUAAUAUUAUGAGAGAGAAAAUAAUAUAAUUUUAUCAUUGCCCCCCAUCUUGCUAUAUUAUUUAAUUAAUUUAAUAGCAACCCACACAUUAAAGAAAAAUACUAAAAUUUGCUGCUUUUCAUUAAAGAUCAAAUUGCAUAUGCCAUAAAACAUAGUAUAUCAUUCUAUAUGUUUCACUUAAUGUAAGAUCCCAAUUGUUCUUUUCAAUUACAAACCCAUUGUCAAACAUGAUCAAUAACAAAUAACCAAAAAAUUUGCAACCAAAAUAUUACAAAAAAAAACUUUAACAUCAUAAAUAUUCUUACCACCUCUAGUGCAUUCACCCUCAUAAAAUAAUUCAAGACCCUACUGUCAUAAAAUGACUGAUCAACUCCUGUAAACCUAAUUUGACAACAUUUAAAUGGAGAACUUUAGCUAAAAGAAUUAUGGUCAAGCUAAAGAAAAAACCAGUUAUUUUCCAACAUAUGCAAUCAUUGAUCAGGGAAAAAAAAAAGAAGCAAAAAGACAUCUUCAAUCAUUUAAUAGCUUACAGGGCAAAUUAACCCCUAAGCGAAAACUGGUUGCUCUAGAAUCAAAAUUUUACUUUAGUUACCCAGGCAACUUUUUUUGUUGCCUUUUCUUUUUCUUUUUUGGGUAUAUAUAUAGCUCCAGUUUUGCCCCCUCUGUCAAGCUUAUAUAAUUAUUAAGAUAAUAAAAGUGCCUUUAAUAGUAUUAAUAUAUCCAUUGACUUGAGCUGUCAUCGAUCGGUUUGGGCUACUUCGAUUCCAUGAGAACAAAUGGUAAUAAAAGUACUCAGAAAAUGGGGAGUCAUGAAACCCUUUUGUUCUAUUCAUUGCUAAGAUGCUUUUCUCUAUAAAGACACUUCCUAACGAAAAUACUUUGUAGAUUUCUUUACUCCAAGUGGUGCAUGGAAAAUUAAUAUUUUCAAUUAUCAAAUAAAAUUCCCUUUUUUCGGUGUAGAUUUCAUCCAUUCAGCUGUUAACACUCCGAAUUGACUAAUCUUUUCGUUUCCAUUUUCCAACUUGCGAAUACGGCAUCUUACAUAUUGUCUGCUGAAUAUGAAUACAUAUCCCUUUUCUGAGCAGGUGCAGAGUCAUUAUCAUUUUUAUUCCCACCUAACAAAUUAGUUAAUAAUCUUUUAAAGAACAUGUUAAAUUAAUUUAUUGGUAUGAAUAGUAGUCAAAGAAGUAUGUUAAAGUUAGUAAUCUUUAAAAUAAUAUGUUAAAAUUAUUCGUACAAAUUAGCCAGAGAAGUAGCAUAAACACCGCGAUGCAAUUAAUACUUUCAAUCUCAAGGUCUCUAUUAUGGAAAUUUGCAUCGGUCAACAUACACAAAGCAUUAUUGUAUGCACGUCUCUCUAUUAUGGAAAUUUGCAUAGGUCAAUAUACACUUGGCAUAGUUGCAUGCACGUCCAAUUUUUUUUUAUUUUUAUUUUUGGUAUUUUACUUCCUGCCUUAAGUUGCCUGCAGAUGUUUGUAUUACAAAUAUAUGGUAUACUAAAUAUAUAGUAUGCACAUUAAUUUCUUUGGGUUGCUUAAGGGUAUAUUGUUAAUAAUAGGGGGUUUAACCAUAAAUUAUAACAAUGAUGAAGUAAUAUAUAUUAGAAAAUUAACACAAUUAUGAUUUUUUUUUUUGUAAAAUUCAAAUUUUAUUAAUAAGAAAUGAAAUAGGCAGUAAGCAUUUACAAACCGAAAACAAAAUCCUACAACAACUCUAGGACUCUACACCUUAUUAAAAAAAAACAUUUUGAUAGCGUUUUUCCAAAAGCAGAAGAUGGAAAAUUGCCCAUUUGUACUGGGGAGUUCGUGAUCUUUUCCUCAUUCUAGUCUACUUACAAUUCUUGGAAAAAGGAAUACUCACAUCUCAAACAACAGCCUGUUCAUCUGCAGUGUCCUGCCGAAUUCUAGAAAGUUUGGUGGCAAUGUUAAUUACAUUUCAAAAUUGACUGCUGCGAUAACUAAUUCGAUGGCUUACUACAUGGUCAACGUUUGGAUCUCUUCCUGUCCUUUUUGGAUGCACAUUUUUUUUCUCUAGGUAAUAUAUAAUCUCCCAACUCAUUUCUUUACAAAUGCACCUUUAAUCACCACCAAAAGGUGUGGACAUGAUCUUUACCCUAGAAAACUAUUCACCGACAGGCAAAUUGACGUCAGAAAUACUAAGAGGAAUUCUAGUUUCCUUCGGGUUAAUGCCAUUUUGUACCCUUCAACUGUAACUCAAUUUCUAAGCUGUAAUUUGUGACAUUAUAGUCCUUAAACUAUGAAACCCUUUCUUAUUUAAUUACAAUGGUUAAUACAAUGCCCGUGACUAGACAAGUAUGAAGCAACCAUAACAAAAAAAAAAUCCAAAAUUAGAGAAAAGAAAGAAGUUGCGACCAAAGUAUGUAUCAAGGCAUAGUAUAGAAAUAAAAGUGUCAAAAUUAAGAGUUUAGGGAUAAAAAAGAAUCAAAAUAUAGUUUAGGAAUUGAUUUGUCUCAAUUAGAGUUUAGAUGUCAACUAAGAAGAGAGAUAUAGUUGAAGGGUAGAAUAUAGAUAUAACAGUUCAAUGAUUGAUAUCAACGAGACAAUGACAACUUUGGAUUAUUACCAACCUCUUCUUGAUGGAAAAGGAAAUAGAGAAGAAAGUCGGGCCUGGUCUAAGCCUGUUUCGGAGGCAAAACAACAUUAUGAAAUCACCGGCAUUCACACAAAUAUGUCAAAGUCACCGGCAUGCUAAGUUGCAAAAUUUAUACAAACACUGAAUAUUAUAUUCUUCUCAAAAUUUUUGUUUAAGAUUUAACAAUUAGAGCACGGUACACGAAUUAGCAAUAUUAAAUAAUGAAUGUUCACGAUUGAUAAAGUUAUCAAAGUACAGUUUGAGGACAACCCAUUCCAACGUGUACAAGAUGUUUAGCCUUUGAAAAGUUAAUUAGAGAAGGUGACGAGAUUUUACUAGGCUUACAACUUCUAGGCCUUGGGAGUAAAAAGUGAAGACACUGAGUGCUAUAAAAAGGGGGCUAGAUGUUGCCUAGAAGCAUAUCAGCCUCGGACCACAUUUUGUAGCAAUGGGGAGCAAAGCAAAAGCAAUGGGGUCUAGGCUGACUCCUCUUUUUACCACCGUUUUAGUGGUAUUUGUUGCACUUGGCUUGCCUUCAGAAACUGCAGCUGAUUACGACAAGUAUUCACCUCCUCCUCCUCCUUACCAUUAUUACUCACCACCACCUCUUGUGCAUUCACCUCCACCACCGCCAGUUUAUAAGUCACCCCCACCACCUUAUCACUACUUCUCACCACCACCUCCAGUGUAUCCAUCUCCACCACCAUCUGUUUACAAGUCACCUCCACCACCUUCGCCAGUAUACAAGUCCCCACCACCACCUUAUCAAUAUUCCUCACCACCACCUCCAGUGCAUUCACCUCCACCACCACCGAUUUAUAAGUCACCUCCACCACCUCCUCCAGUUUACAAGUCCCCGCCACCACCUUACCAUUAUUCCGCACCAUCACCUCCAGUGCAUUCACCUCCACCACCACCGAUUUACAAGUCACCUCCACCACCUCCUCCAGUUUACAAGUCUCCAUCACCACCUUACCAUUAUUCCUCACCACCACCUCCAGUGCAUUCACCCCUACCACCACCGGUUUACAAGUCUCUGCCACCACCUUACCAUUAUUCCUCACCACCACCUCCUAUGCAUGCACCUCCACCACCAAUAUACAAGUCACCUCCACCACCUCCUCCAGUUUACAAGUCUCCACCACCACCUUACCAUUAUUCCUCACCACCACCUCCAGUGCAUUCACCCCUACCACCACCAGUUUACAAGUCUCCGCCACCACCUUACCAUUAUUCCUCACCACCACCUCCUGUGCAUGCACUGCCACCACCAAUUUACAAGUCACCUCCACCACCUCCUCCAGUUUACAAGUCCCCACCACCACCUUACCAUUAUUCCUCACCACUACCUCCAGUGCAUUCACCUCCACCACCACCGAUUUACAAGUCACCUUCACCACCUCCUCCAGUUUACAAGUCUUCACCACCACCUUACCAUUAUUCCUCACCACCACCACUCUUCAAUUUGGAUGUAAUUCAAUUUUCCUUGUAAUCGGUGGCCCUCCUUCGGAAUCCAAAUAGUCAUUGAGUGCAGCCUUCUUUCUUUAUUUUUUACUCAUUUUCACCUCAUAAAUUGCUUUCAUCCCCUAAAACUUGUUCGCUGGAAUUUUGAAUUUACCCAUACAACUAAACUCAGAAAAUUCUUACACAAAGGGAUUAGUAGCAUGAAUAGCAAACACAGAAUAAGAGAUAACAGUAUGUUUUAUUGUAUUAAAAAUAUUAAAGUGGAUUAUUUCUCCAUCGAAUUCCAUUGUGAGAGUAUCGUUACUAACAUCAAUCUUAGUUUGAGCAGUACUCAAGAAUGACCUUCCUAAUAUAAUGGGUGAUGGAUUUGGGACACUUUCAUCAUCCAUAUAAAACACAUAAAAAUCAACAGAAAAAAUUAAUCCAUCUACUUGAACUAAAAACAUCCUCAACUACCCCAUUUAGAUAAGCAAAUAUACGAUCAGCCAAUUGAAUUAUUAUCCCUAUUUCUUUUAAAUGUUCUAAAUUUAGGGAAUCAUAAAUUGAUUUAGACAUCACAUUAAUAGAAAUCUUUAAAUCUAUCAUGGCAUUUUUUAUAUUAGAAUGUCCAAUCUUACAUGAGAUAGUAAACAUACCUAGAUUCUCGCAUUUAGGUGGUAGUUUCCUUUGUAAAAUUGCUGAAACGUUCUCAUCUACCACAAUAUGCUUGUCCUCCUCAAUUUCUUCUUGUUGACACACAAGUUUUUCAAGCAUUUAACGUAUUUUGGAACUUAUUUGAUUUGCGUCCAACAAAGGGAUAUUGAUUGCCACCUUGCGAAAAUCUCUAAAAUCUCCUUUUCUUUAUCUUGUUUCUUUGAUUUCUCUAACCUGCUUGGAAAAGGUGGUGAGUUAGUUCCAACUCUAAUUAUAGAAUCAACAAUUACCUUUGGAUUCACAUUUCUCAUUCCUUCCUCCUCAAGCUCUUUGUCGAUUCGAUCUUCAUUUUUAUCCUUUGGAAUCACAACUUCGGAUCCCUGAAUUUUCUUCUCGCUCCUUAAGGUCAUUACACUUACAUUCUUCAGGUUCAGUUCAGGUUGAGACGACAAUUUUUCAUAGAUUUGGGAUUCCAGGCGGUUGAUUGCUAUUACCAUCUGACUCAUCUGACUCUGCAGUGCUUGCACCUGUCCCAAUUGAUUCCUCAUACUUUGCAAGUCAAAAUCCAUCUUUUGUUGAUUAGCAAUUAAUUGCUUCAUUAUCUCUUCUAUAGAUGGACUUGAGUUUGAAAGAGGUGGUGGCGGGCGAGACUGAUACUGUUAUUGAUACCCUUGCUAUCUAUUUGGUGCAAAAUCUGGCUACCUAUUUCCUCCAUAGCUGAGGUUGGGAUGAUCUCUCCAACCAAUAUUGUACGUAUUCGUGUACGAGUCGUAUGGUUUUCUUGGCACGGCGCGUGACCAGCCAUGUUCACUUGCUCCGUACUUUUCUCUUGAAUCAUUGAGCACAUCUCUGUAGAAUGACCCAUAGCAGUGCAGAUCCCACACAUCUUGACUCGUGAUGCAUUUCCUAUAGCUAAUUGCCUAACAAAGGAUGUUAAUUCGGUCAACUGCUGUUGGAUAGAAUAUGUUUCUACCUCAUUUACUUUGCGUGUUGGGGCAUCCUCCCUCGUACCAAACUGUUGCGAAUUUUCCGCCAUUCCUUCAACUAGCUCCCACGCUUCUCGAGAAGUCUUGUUCACCAAUGCCCUUCUACUUGCAGCAUCAAUUAUACUCCUGUCUCUAAAACGCAGCCCCUCGCAAAAAUAUUGGAUGAGCAAUUGCUCACUUAUUUGGUGUUGAGGGAACUUGAUGCAUAACUUCUUGAAUCGCUCCCAAUAAUCAUAAAGCGACUCUCCUGGAUGCUACUUGAUACCGUAUAUCUCCUUCCUUAGACUUGCAGCUCGAGAUGCAAGAAAAUAUUUGUCCAAGAACUUUUUCUUCAGCUGAUCCCACGUGGUGAUGCUACCUGGUGGUAGAUAGCACAGCCAGUCUUUUGCGGAGUCCUUCAAGGAGAAGGGAAAUGCCCUCAUUUUUAUCUAUUUUUCUGUAAUUCUCGGAGGUUUUAUGCUGUUGCAAACGACAUCAAACUCUUGCAAGUGCUUAUACGGUUCCUCACCUGGUAAACCAUAGAAAGAUGGCAAGAGAUGAAUUAGACCAGAUUUUAACUCAAAUGAAGUGUUAUCAUUUAAAAAUAGAAAAGUAACUGAGAUGCAGCACUGGAAUGUUCUUCUCGAAAUUGUCUGGUCUCUUUCUUUGUUCUACGCGUAGUCUUCUCUACCUUAGGAUCAAAAAUUAAUUUACCUGUACGAGAAGAACGAGGCAUACACUAGAAAAACACUAGAAAAUUAGAACAAAAAUGAACAUAAAAAGAAACAAAUAAACCAACGUCAGUCCCCAGCAACGGCGCUAAAAAUUGACAAGUUGUCGAUGCCUGUGCAAUAAUAAAAAUAAACCUAGUUACCAAUUAAAAUAAUCAGAGCCUAAUUCUGAGUACUAGAGCAGGGACUAUAGGUGUGCAAUGGGUUACUUGAUUCACCCUAUUCCUGAAGUUUGCUUAACCCGAUAUACCAGAAUGAGAUUGCUUAUUCAAAAGGAAUUAUUGAUUUGUAAACAGGGCAAGUAGGGUCGUAUCAUCAGGGAUUGAAAAAAUUUGUUUCUUUUCAAAUCCACAGUAACAAGGGGAUGUUUUUGUAUAAAUGAUAACAAUCUAAGGAGUGCAAAUAGAAAUAAAUAGAUAACUAGAAAUUAAAUGACAAUUCACUAAAAUUAGAGUAAUAAUAAUUAAAGGUCUAGCUAAGAAAUAACUUCAGCAAUGGUUCACCUAAUUGAUCAUCGACGCAAAGGCAAUUCCAAUUAUUUACUAAUAAAUAGGUUAUAACUGCAAAACAAGCAAUGACAGUCAACCCCUCCUUACUGUCGGUCGGUGAUUAAGGUACGCCCAAUCACUGCUCUAGUUGAGAAAUAAUUUUAGGGACGCUCGUAAGAUUUAAUUUUCCAAUUGCCUUACGUAUUAGAGGAGCCAUAAUCUAACCAAAUAACGCUACCAGGAUUAUUUUAAAUUAACCCGUGUAUUCCCUUGAUACAAAUUCAAUCAUGUCAGUUGUCACUAUUUCAAGGUAAUGAAACAAUUACGGAUUUAAUAUCCUAAUUGACAAUAGGUUACUAAAUCAAUUCACUAUUUCGAUCCAAGAUAAUCAAUCAAUUUAACAACUAAUAGCACUGCAAUCGGAGAAUAUGUAAAUACCAAUAAAUAAGAGGAAAAGAUAAAAUUAAAUCGAUCUCACAAUUUUUAAACAAAUCAAAGUAUCCGUUGUUUCUUGACUAGAAAAGAAAAUUUAGUUCAUUCCUAAUGUGAAAGACCCACGUGAGAAUUCAAAAAUAAUAUUCACGGAUAUUGUCUUGAUUCAAUAGAUUCAAUUGCGUUGGAAUAAGGAUAAAAAGCCAAACUAUAGAGAGUGAUUCAAUGUUUUGUUUCGUUUGCAUUUUUUCUACACAUAUGGAAGAAGAAAAACAACUAAAGGACGAAAAAAAAAAGUCAAAGAAAGGCACCCAAAGUAGUGCUUGGUCUCUACCAUCCUAUUUCCUAUCUAAUUACUACUUCCCUUCUGCGGCUGCCUAGAGGAAGAAAGAGAAAGCAGACUUCAGGUCUUGUUCCAUCUCCUCCCUUUUCGGCAAUUCCCCAAAAGUAGAAAAGUUCCUCCGUUUACCAAAAUGCCCCUGGAAUGAGGACUGCUACUUGAACUCAUUUUCUUGAUAACUGUCAAAUUAGCACUUGUUAUGGUAUUUGCGUCUACUUCCUGUAAUAAAUGUAAAUUGCCAAAAGUGAGUAAACUGAUAAUUAAUUUACAUCAGGUCAGGUAAUAGGAAAAAUUAAUUAUAAAAUAAAUGAUAAAAUUGCAACCUAUCACUUAGAAUAACCAGAAAUAAAACAAAACAAGAAAUGAAAGAAAUAAGAGGGUAGCAUAGACAUUUUGGAUUUUUCUGUUAAUUUGGAUGAUUUCCACCUACGGUCUAAUUUAAUCCAAAACACAAAUGGAUUAUGUGGAGAUUUUUAAACAAUGAGGGAGUAUCGUGACCGAAUCCCAAACCACAAAGGGGAUUUACUAUAUUUUACUCUUAAAUUUUGGUUUCAUCUCAUAGCAUACAAGAGUACUAUUUCACUGUCUGUCGACCAGGGAGGAGGGUUGGGUUGGGUGGUACGGGGGAGGGAGUCUAAGUAAGAGGUCUCAGGUUCGAAUCCUCCUGUUUAUACUAAAAAAAAAAAUUUACUAUCUGUCGACAAAGAUUUUCUAUGGUUGAUGUACCAUAGGAAAAAUCUGCCUAUACAAUUAUUUGGAAAAAUUAUCCAUCCAAACAUAGUCACGAUAGCAUUUUUUCAAAAACACUAGAUGCAAAAUUGUCCCCUUAAACGUGGAAAUUCAUGAUCUUUCCUCGACUAGUCUACUUGUCAAUUUUUGAAAAAAGAAUACUCACGCCAAAAACACGGCCUCUUCAUCUGCAGAAUUCUAAAAAGUUACGUAAACUCUAUAAACAAGUUGAUAGGUACAAUCGUACCCAAGAUCAAGUACAGAUAGUUGUACAUUCACUGCUGCAAUAACUAAUCUGAUGACUUACAAACACAUCAUGGUCAAUCGUUGAAUGGUAAUGAGUCUUUUGUUAUGCAUUAGUAUUAGUGUGUACACUCUAAUAGAUUGAUACUUAUACUCUUUAAAUUAUCAUAAUAAUACCCUUAAUUAACUUUAACCCUUAAAAAGAAUACGUGUUAAUACACGAGAGUGUGUAACCUGAAUUGUUACUUAUACAUUAGUGUGUAAUAGAACGGCAAGCAUUAUGGUGGUCAUUGAGCAACUUAUAGGAGAAAUAGUCCUAUAAGCUGUUCAAUGACCAAUCACAACUUGCUAAUUGGAUGACUAAUAUAGCUCUAGCUGUAAUGUUUUAAUUAAAUUCCACACUAACGUUGGGAUGACUUUUUAAUCAAAAAAAAAAAAGCCUUAGUUCAAGCUUUUCCCCUUAUUGUGCAUUUUUUAAAACAUUUGAUAGGCACUGCAAAUCUGUCAUUUUGGACAUUUUAUUAUUAACUAACAAUGAAAGCCGUGGACAUCAACCCAUAUCCAACAAAAUAUUAAAUUAAUAUUAGAAAAAUUAUUAAGUAAUUGGAAAAAAAAAAGAAGAGGCUAAUUUUCAUUGAAACCCACCGACAAACUAUCCGUGUCCAUAGCUUUUGAAUAGUGCAUUCAACGUUUAAUUGUAUGGUCCAGUUCAUUGCCGAUUACAUGGAGUAAAGAUUGUGCUCUUUCCUUUUUCACCCCUUUUGGAAUCGAUACUGUGGAGAAUUGGGUUUUUCCCUCCUUUUUUUCUUUUCUUUCCUUCUGUGCUUUGCAAAACAUACGUAAAAAUAUGAAAUCCGAAGCAUUCUUUAAUUGGGAUUAAGUAUUGUUGUUGAAAUUAAAAAGAAGAAAGAAAGAACAACAAAAAUCCCAAUCUGGGUUGAUUGUUGAGCUCUAGAUUGGCUGCAUCGUGCUUCCAUAGAAGUUCUCUUAGUGUGAUACGCUGCUUUCAAUCAGUUUUAAUAUUUAAGUAGAGUGCAAAAUAACUUUACUAUUUAAUGGGUUAUAAUGCACCAUUUGGUACCUCUCACCCACCUAUGAUUUGAUUUACUACUGGCAUGGUAAUGGACAGAGUUGGGGGAGCAGGAGGAGGGAGAUGGCGGUACCAGUCCGUCAACCACAGCACACCCUCCCUCGGACUUUGCGUGGUAGCGAAGUGGAGGCAGAUCGAGCACACAUGCACUAACGCCUUAAGUAUGUACAAUAUAUGUAUGCCAAAAGCAUAGCCAAGCCUACCAGCGCAUUUCAAUAAUAUAACCCGGAAAUUAAGGGCAUUGAAUUAAGUACGAUGAAUCAUAUUGGUGCACAAUUACAGUUUGAAGCUACCGAUUCGAGUAAAUUUAAGCGUAAGCACAAUCAAUCGCCAGUCAAAUGCUGAAAUAUGCAUAUGCAUGGAUGAAUGUAUGGGUUUCUUAGUUCCAGACCAAAGGCCAACAAUAAGGGAAGGAAGGACAGUUCUCAUUUUUAGCACGGACAAGGAGAUGAAGAAAAGUGUAUGUAGCUUGAGACAGAACAAUGGCAUGUGACCGCUCCUGAGACCACAUAACGUGGGGUGGGGAUGGGACGGCCAAGAAUGAAGAUGCCUGUCGGUCUCUCCGUGCUGCUACCAUAUGAAUCCCCCGUUAACCAAUUCAAGAUAAGCCUGAAGUUCUUUUCAUCCCCAAACCCUGUCCCAUCUGUGUAAAUCCAACAUCAUCAUUUACGACCUGCAACUCAGGUUAAGCAUGUUCUAUUGAGAUUCAGACACCACCCUUCAAAAGAUAUACUACUGUGAAACCAGCAGCUUAAUAUCAUUGUAUAAAAAAAAAAAAAAAAGAAAGAAGAAAAGACAUGAAAAGCAAAUUUUGUGGGGAUAAUUUCAAAAUCUCUCCUAAAGUUUUUUACUAUUUUACUGGCCUCCUUUCAAAUUUUAAAAAUUACACCAGUCUUCCUUGAGAUUAUUUAUCUUGUAACAUUGAGGUCCAAUCAAUAAUUAAAAAAUGAUAUUAUGAGAGAGAAAAAAAAUAAACUUUAACAUCAUAAAUAUUCUUAUCAACAUAUUAAAGUUAGUUACUGAAAUUUUUAUGGUGUUAAACUUCACUCUUUGUAAUAUUUUAGUUACAGAUUUUUUGAUUACUUGUUGUUGAUUUUUUUUUUUUUAGUGUAAACAGGAGGACUCGAACCUAAGACCUCUCACUUACACUCCCUCCCCCCGUACCACCCCAACCCAACCCAACCCUCCCCUCGUUGUUGAUCAUGUUUGACAAUGGAUUUGUAAUUGAAAAGAACAAUUUGGAUCUUACAUUGAGUGAAAUAUAUAGAAUGAUAUACUAUUUUUUAUGGCAUAUGUGAUUCAAUCCUUGAUGAUAAAAGCAAAUUCAAGUGUUUUCUUUAAUGUUUGUGCUGAUAUUAGAUUAAUUAAAUAAUUUAGUAGAUGAAGGAAAAUGGUGAAAUCAUAUUAUCUUCUCUUUCCUAAUAUCACUAUUUAAUUAUUGAUUGAACUUAGAUAUUACAAAUAAUAAAUCUCAAGGGAGAUUAGUAUAAUUUUCAAAUUUUGGAGAGAAGCUAAUGAAAUAGUCAAAAACCUUAAGGGAGGUUUACAAAAUUAUCCCAAAUUUGUGGGAAUUAGAAUAAUUGUACUGGACGGCACUGCCGCAACAGAGGGAAAGAGGAGGAGGUGCAGUUAACUUUUUGUUGUUUGAAAUCCUUGGUGAAAUAUUACAGAAAGACAGAUAAAACAGUUAGUACAUAGAUGUAUAUGACAGGGAAAAUGGUACGUCUGUUAAUCACAUUUGAAACACUUUCAUUGGUGAAUGACGAAAACUAUCAGGCUUGCCCAAUAGUUGAUCAUUGACCAAGACAAAUCUUGCCAUGCUAGAGGUACCAUCUUUUCGUACCUCUUUAGUGCACAGGACAUUCCUUUGUUUCAUCUAGCUAAUAAUCUACCAACUCAUUUCUUUGCAAAUGCACCUUUUAUGGUCACGUCUACGAAAGCUUUACAGGAUCUUUACCCAAAAAAUCAAUUCACCGACUCGCAUUUGAUGUCAAAAUUUCUUUACUUUACUCCAAGAUUGACUGUUAAUAAUAAUGCCACUUUGAAUUAUCACACCAUCCUUCUUGAUAGGAUUUGUGCUAGAGGUAGGGAGGGAGUCGCUGCAGCCGGUCUUCUCUUCAUAGACAGUACAAUAUUGCGAAAUCGAUCGCAUUCACGCAAUAUUAUAUUUCCAAGUCGUUGCAUGGGUAAGCUGCCAAAAAGUACGAACACAUGUUAUUAUAUAGCUUAAGAUUCAAAACUUUCGAGCAUAACCCUCCACCUAACACAAUUGAAUAAUGGAUAUUCACGAUUGUCAAAUCUGUCAAAGUACAGUUUGAGGACAACCCAUUCCAACCUGCAAAAGGUUUUUUUACUUUUCUAAAGUUGUUGAGAGCUGUUAAAAGAUUUACCAUGCUUACAUCUUCCGAGCCUUGGGAGUUAAAAAUGAAGGCACUGAGUGCUAUAAAAAGGGAAUAGAGGCUGCCUAGAAGCAUACCAGCCUAAAACAAGGAUUUGUAGUUAUGAUGGGAAGCAAAGCAAAAGCAAUGGGGUCUGGGCUGACUCCUCUUCUUGCCACUGUUUUAGUGGUGUUUGUUGCUCUUGGCUUGCCCUCAGAAACUGCAGCUGAUGAUCACUACAAGUAUUCAUCUCCUCCUCCUCCUUACACUAUCCCUCACCACCACCUCCAGUGCAUAUACCUCCACCUCAUCCUGUUUACAAGUACAAAUCUCCACCACCCCCACCACCACACCCAGUUUACAAGUAUAAGUCACCACCACCACCUCCUCAUCCGGUACCACACCCAGUUCCUCAUCCGGUGCCACACCCAGUUCCUCAUCCGGUGCCACACCCAGUUUACAAGUAUAAGUCACCACCACCACCUCCUCAUCCGGUACCACACCCAGUUCCUCAUCCGGUACCCACACCCAGUUUACAAGUAUAAGUCACACCACCACCUCCUCAUCCGGUACCACACCCAGUUUACAAGUAUAAGUCACCACCACCACCUCCUCAUCCGGUAUACAAGUAUAAGUCUCUCCGCCACCAACACCCAGUUUACAAGUAUAAGUCACCACCACCACCUCCUCAUCCGGUGCCACACCCAGUUUACCACUACAAGUCACCACCACCACCUCCUCAUCCGGUACCACACCAGUUUACCAUACAAGUCACCACCAAUCCUCACCCAGUUUACAAAUACGAGUCUCCACCACCUCCAGUUUAUAAGUACAAGUCACCACCACCUCCUCCACCAGUUUACAAGUAUAAAUCUCCUCCACCACCACCACCAGUUUACCACUACAAGUCUCCACCACCUCCUCCCCCAGUUUACAAAUACAAGUCUCCACCACCUCCUCACCACUACUAAGCAAUUGCUUCUGAGG
rnacentral:lncRNA from 1 species